CAUCGCAUCAAAUUGAUAGGGAAGCGCAGAAACCAUGAUGUAGAUGAUGGUGAUCCUUUGCACCCACGACAAGAUAGUUCUUUAAGAUUCUUCAUAAGAAAAAUCGAUGAUGGAGGUUGCCUUAUAGCUGUACCACUUAUAUCAAGUUUUUCCAAACUUUCUACUUGCCCAAGCGUCUCAGGCACAUUUUCAAGUUUGAAGCAGCCUGAGAGAUUCAAAGUUUUGAGGGAUUUCAAACCAUUUAUAUUGCUAUGAAGUCUCACGAGACUUCUGCAGUCAUUCAAAUUUAACAAUUCAAGUCUGGUCAAAAGCUCAAUAGAUAAAGGUAGUUCUUUGAUAUCAAUUCCAUCCAAACGAAGUUCCUGCAGACACUCCAUACCUCCUAUAAUGUCUGGAAAUUUCUUUAAUUUCAAGCAACCAGAUAGAAUAAGCGUUUUAAGAGAUUCCAUAAAAAUCUUGCCUGGAAGAGUUGUAAGACUUGUACAGCCUUUCAAAUUCAACAAGAUCAGCUCCUUGUGAAGCAGCAAAGACGGGUGAAUUUCACGUAACCUUGUACAUCCUUCAAGAUCCAACACCUCUAAGUUUGGGACCUUUGUGAAGUCUGGUGUCUUAAUCAGAUUCUCCGAAUGGCUGAGUUUCAUGACUCUCAACAUGUUUAAAGGCUGUUGAAAAUAAAAAGGAGCUAAAAUGAUAUUUCUUAAUUCAUGUACUACUAUAAUAAUAAAAUUGUUAUCAACAAUUAUUCACUGAAAAAUAUAAAUUAGUGACCAAAAAAAAAAAAAUUGAUCUUACUUUGAUUCCCUUCCAUAAUUCUUCAAUGCGGCUGUAGCACAUUUUAAAUUCAACAGUUUUAUCCAAUUGCAAAUUUGAUGGCAAAGAUUUCAAAGGAUACCGAUGCCAAUCAAGUAAUCGCAACCUGUUCGAGAGGUAUUCUAGGCCUUCAGGAAGUUGCACAUUACUGAUUUUGAGCAAUCUUAGGUUGGUCAUCAGUGAAAAUGCUUUAGCACUUAAAUGCACAUCAUUUCCACGAAGGAAAUAAUCAUCAACCAUUAUUCCUUCAACUACUUCACUUCCCUGAAAAUUAUAAACAAAUUUGUUCGUUAGAGAUUUAACUAGCUAAAAGAAGUGAGCUGAGCUGGAAAAUAAAUACUUUUAGAUCCCCUUUAUUAUCACUUACUGUAUUUUGUGACAACACAUGGUGUACAUCUGCUUCCUUCCACAAUCUACUGCGUUUUCCAGGCUCGUCGGGGGAUUGUCUCCUAACAAUUUGGUGACCCAUUUCUUGUAUCAAAUCAUGCAUCCACAAUCUGUUAUUCUCAUGUACUGUUAAUAAAGAUUUUUCUAUGAGAACUUCUAUUCCAAUGACUGGGGAAAAACCACAUCCUUCUAGAAUUUUCGAUACAUAAUCUCUAGUCUUCCAUUUAAAGAAACAUGCAAUAUCGAGAAAUAUUUUCUUCUCUAAUUCUUGUAGUCCGUCAAAACUUAUUUGAAGUAUACUCAUAAUCUUAUUGGGAGGCUCUAUUUGUAGCCUUUCCAAGGUGCUUUUCCAUUGAUCCACGGAUCUACCAUUCAAAAAGGAACCCAAAACUUCGAGAGCUAACGGAAGACCACCGGCAUACCGUAGAACACGUUCAGACAGCUGCACACAUUCUUCAAGAGGCUUUUGGAUUUUAAAAGCUUUCAUGUUGAAAAGUUGAAGAGCAUCAUGGUAAUUUAGUUCAUUAGGCUUAUAUACUUCAUCCAUUCCAUGUGUCCUUAAUAGAUGUUCAUCUCGCGAUGUUACGAUGAUCCUACUGCCUGAACCAAACCACUCACGCUUUCCAGCUAAAUACUCUAAUUGCUUUAUGUCAACCACAUCAUCGAUAACAAGAAGAACCUUUUUGUUUUGCAGCCUGCUUCCUAAAAUGUUGAUGCCAUCACCGACAUUCCAUAUGCUAUCUUUUUCAAGCUUCAAUAUUUCGUAAAGGAGUUGCCUUUGAAAAGAGAUUACACUGCCUUCGUUUUCAAAUUUUUCUCUAACAUCGGCAAGAAAACUACUCCCUUCAAAUUCAUGAGAGAUCAAGUCAUAAACAACUCUUGCAAGAGUCGUCUUACCUAAACCUCCCAUACCACAAAUGCCUAUCAUACGAACAUCAUCAUUAGGCCCUUCAUCCAUAAGAGACCUCAAUUCUUCCAAGCGUGAAUCUAUUCCCACUAGCUUCUUAAGAGUCUCUGAUUUUACAGGAAUUUUACUUGAUAUCGCCUUGACAAUAUCCCAAAUAAAUUCUGACUCAUUCCUACAGUUAAAGAACAAAGAAAGAUCAGUAUGGUUAAAUUACAGUGAGUUUGAAUGCGGUAUUAAAUAAAUUUAGUAAUAGAAAAAGCCCAAAAUAUGCAAUAUUCGUUGGACAAAAUUGAAGUAAUGUAAGAUGUUGUUACAUAUGGCUAAUCUUUAGGUGCGUUCGUGUAAAUAUCUGCAUCCAUUGGUACCACUUUUGUUCGUAAAUAUUCUUAUAUGGAGCUAUUAUUCAAUUAGUACACAUCAUAUCAUGCACAUAUUGAAUAAAAGUUGUUUAAUUGACAACAGUAUGCUGAUUAAAGCUAUUUAAAAUGAUAUACAAAAUAAUAAGAAUGGCUACCUGUACUCUUUCAAUUCCCAGCCAGAAAUAUUAGCCACCUCUUUCAAAGCGUCUCUCCAAUUUUUCACCUUUUCUAGAUUCUCCCUAAAAGCUUCUUCAUGUUUCGAAAAAGCUUCUCGAAAACUUCCGGUUUGUUUCCUUACCACAGUGGGUUCAACAUCAUAGAAAAUUGGAAAAACCAUUUGUUGAUGAUCGUUUUUGUUCUUGCAUUGAACAAUCUUAACAAGUUCAUCCAAGCACCAAGUGGAGGAAGCAUAGUUUUGGGAGAAAACAAUAAUUGAAAUUCUAGAAUCUUCAAUUGCAUUAAGAAGUCCAGGUGAAAUGGAUGUUCCUCUCUCGAGUUCUUUGUCAUCCUUGAAUACAUAAAUUCCUUUUCCAUUCAAAGCAGCAUAGAGAUGACUUAUGAAGCUUUUACGGGUGUCUGCUCCUCUAAAGCUUAAAAAGGCAUCAUAUGGCCAAUGAGGCAUAUUUUGUAUGCUCGAGGAAGCCAUUACAAUAUUAAUUUGUUCUGAAAAUUUUUUUUUAAAAAAGAAAUGAUUGCCUAGGAACAAUACUAUGUAAACAACAACAUUUAUCUAGAGUUAUGGAUUAUCUCAAAGUGUCAAAGUCGUAUCCACUAGCUUAGGGAGUGUUUGGUGCACUACAUUAUGUCGCAGUACUAUGUUUUAGUGUAGUAUGUACAAUAGUGUUUAUUUAAAUAUUUUAUACUAAUAUUAUUAUCAAAUUUUAUUAUUUGACUAAUAAAAUUUAAAAAUUUAUUAAUAAAUAAUACUUAAUUAUAUUGCUUGAGCCUUAUUGCGUAGCAAUAUUACAUUAACCUUUAAAACAGUGCCAUAUUUAUUGCGGUAUAUGCAUGAUCUUGUUUAUCUAAAUUUUUUUAUAAUAUUAUUUUAUUAAAUUUAUUGGUUAAAUUCAUUAUUAAAAUAAACACUUCAUUAAUGAAGUACUUCUAUUUCUAUUUAAGUAAAUUAUAAAUCUCUCUAAAAAAAGUAAAUUAUAAAUGUGUUAAGUAAUAAAAUAAUUGAUUAAAAUUAUUUUUACAUAAUAAAAGUAAAAUAAUAAAAAUGAUUUUAUAAAAUAAAAGUAAAAAAAAGUGUGUAAUUAUUUAUAUUAAAUUCAUAUUAUUUGGAUUUAUUUAUAUUUAAUUAUAUUAUUUGAUUUAAAUAUCUUAUUUAAAUUUAGGUAAAAUGACACUUACACCCCAAGAUUUGGGAAAAAAUGGUUCUGUAGACACCAUAUUUUCAAUAAGAAACACUAAAAUCCUCUUUUAACUAUGAUACCAUUUAGCUCUAAUAACUCAAAAAAAUUAAUUUCAAUGUUUUAUAAUUAAUAUAAAUAUGAUAUUAAAUAAAUGGAACAAUAUCUAUUAAAAAAUAUUUGUAAUAAAUAGAAUUAUAAUAUUAAGAUAAAUAUAUAAAAAUAAUUUUAAUAUUAUUAAUACAUGAAAUCAUUUUUUUUAAUUGUAAAAUCUAUUUAACCUAAUGAUGUAUUUAAAUUUUUAAUAAUAAAUACAAAUAUAUUAGUAAAAUAUAAUAAUUUACAUUUUUUAAAAUUAUUUUAUUUUUAAAAUAUUCUAAUAUUAUUGGUCUAUUAGAAAAAUUAAAAUAUUAAAUUAUAUAUGUAUUUAUUAAAAAUUGUUAAAGUCAAUGUUUUUAGUUACUAUCUACAAAAGUAGUAUAGCUGAAAAAAGAUUUUGGCGUCCUUUAUUAAAAAUUUGAGACUUUACAUAACUAUUUCCUUAAAUUUCUAACUAGAUUAUAACUUAUUAUUUUAAUAAAUAGUUAAAUGCUAAAAUACAAUUUUUGAAGUAAUUUUUAAAUAAUAAUAUUCAAUGUCAGAUUGAAUUAAAAUUCUCUUAUGAUUUAAUAUGUGAUUGGUGGUUAAUAUAUAAUGAAAAUAAAGAAGUUCAAUAGGUACCUCUUUGUAUGUUGUUUUAUAAAAGAUUUAUCUACAAUAACUUAAAAGAAAUCAGAGUUACAUAUUUAUCACCAAAAAAAUAAAAACAAAAAUAUUAAGGCAAUAACUAAUCAUCGAAACUAUAUAUAAGCAAAGAGAUUUUGAGAGAGAAACUGAAACUUUUUCAUUUCCUUUCAACAACCCGAUAAAAAUGGACAAAUAUAUAAUAAUUGUAUUCUUUUUUUCAGACCUCGACGGGGAGGGUGAAUUUGAUUAAAAAUAAUUGACAAUAAAUUGGCCCAAAUAUUUUUAAAGUAAAAAUUUAUUGAAAUAAAAAGUUAUUAAACUUGACAAUGGUUCUGAAUUCAAAUUAAUGAUCUUAUUCUCAAACAAACUAAACAGAUAAUCCAUCAGCUUCUCAAUUACUCUCUUUACCAAAAAGAAAAUUAAAAUUAUACAUAAUAAAUCCCAAAAUGUAAAGUAUUUGUUUUUCAAGUGCCGAUUUGAGAGUGUGUACACCGAUCUCUACUUGAGCAAAUCUUGAUUAAAGCCUCUUAGAGGAGUUUGUACAAAAUUAACAUUAAAGAAUUUCUUUCAAUUUUAUCAUUAUUUAUUUGUUUUUAAACAUUAAGAUAUACAAAUUAAUUCUGAAAAUAAAAGAGAGAGAGAUGUAUAAGAUCGAACUUACGGCUUUUGAGUGUAUUGUAGGACGCUAGUUAAAUGAACUCCGAUGCAGUAUUUGAUUCAAAGAAUUUAAUCAUGCAAAUAUAUUCUUUUGGCGAAAAAUAAAGCAAUCAGCAAAUAUGUAUGUAUUUCCAAAAGCAAGUCUUCGUCAAAAAGUGACUUUCUUAAUAAUUAAUAGACAUUUGUCACUGUUUACUCACAUGAUGGAGUUACCAUCAAACUUGCUGGAAGCUUCAAGGAAUCUAAGCGAAGAUUAUCUGGCUUUUCAAUUGAUGAUGCAUCCACGCCACUCUGCCCAUUACCCAUGUUGAAACCAUUGGAUUCCAUUAAAAUGGAAUGGAAUCCAACGGUUGAUAUUAAUAAUUAAUUAAAAAUAGUUAAAACUACUGGCAACCCAUAGGAAUGGUAAAUCUUUAUUAGUUAAAUUUCAGUUGGAUCCCUAAAAGAUGUUGGAUUCUUUUGGUAACAUUGUAGUUUUUUUAAACUAAUUAUUGUUAAUUGAAUUAUAGAAAUAAUCAACUAUAAAGAUAAUCAAUCAAACAUUCGAUAUGAAUUUCAAAAAUUUUAUAAGUUUUAAAAACAGUCGUAUGUACUUGAUAAAUCUUAUUAUUAAACUAUCAUAAGAUUGUAAAUGACAAGAAUGUAAAUGAUUAAGCUAGACAUAAUUUUGAAUAAAAUUUAUUUACAUAUUUAUAAAUAUGUAUAUAAAAUAAUUUUUCGUGUGUAUAUAUAAUAUUUGAUGACUAAAGUAAAUAUUUUAUAUUAUCAAUUUUAUUUUUUAUUUUGUUAUCUCAAUAUAAUUGAUGAUAAUAAUAGUAAUCUCUUUAAAAUUAAUGAUUUUAUUUCCUAAUUAAUAAAGAUAAUUCAAUAUAAACACUAUCAAUAAAUUUAAAAAAUCAAUUUAUGGUAAUGAAAAUAAAUAUGCAAAAUAAUGAACAUCCACAACACGAAGAUUUUUUUACGAGGGAACCUUUGAUCCUCACGAUUUAAGACAAAAAUCUUGAUAUAUUAUUAUGUCCACUUGUAGACAAAACAAUUUACUAUGAAAAUAAUGUGAGUUUACAAUGGAUCAAGAACACAUACAAAGCUUCGCAAUCCUAAACAUCUCAAGUCUAAAUCCUAUUGUGCCAACCCUCACAGACUAAAACACAUUAUCUAAAAUACGUUUGAACAUUUUCCAAGUGGAUUUAGGUGGAUAGCCUUACCAAGACUUAGGUCUUGGGUUUGAGUCUCAUGUAGUAUAGUCUUAUAGACUUUAAUUCGGUGCUCUAAGGAAUCUCCUAUUGUUCCUAUCUAAGUUUCUUUGCCGUAUUCACCAGUGCAUUUUAUUCAUUGCAAAGAUGCCUUAUUUUCUAUUGCUAAUGCUAUUGGUAAGCCUCUGUGAGUAGACCAUGCUACUAUUGCUGUUAAUCGACCCUCGGUCGCUAGAGUUCUAAUUGAGUUGGAUGUUUCGUGGCCGUUGUUGCCCAAACUUUGGAUUGAAGGUGAUGGCGGUUUCUAGUAGAAUGUCAUUUUUAAGCAUGUUCCUUUAUAUUGUGCCUCGUGUAAACAUCUUGGGCACUCUACUAAUACUUGUUUUGUUGCCAAUCCUGGGCUCUGGGAACCUUGGCAGCCUAUUAGUCAGGUGCAGGAUACUGUUGUUCAUGAUAAAAGCAAGAUGUUGAUGUCUGAUGCUGCUGUGCAUCCAAAGGGGAUGGCGAAGAGGUUCAGCCAUUGGGGCCUAAUGGUAGUGAGGGUGCUCCUCUAGAUGCUCAAUUACUUAUUUAUUAGGAUACUGCAGAAGAUGGGUUUGAUCUGAUUUCUAUGAAAAGAAUUCAAACUGAUGAUGGUUUGAAGGAUCCUACUACUUUAGGAGAUGCUGUUGGAUGCACUGAGGUCUCUAACCCUCCUUUUUUAGAUGAUCCGAGUGUUCAGAGGGCUUCCACUGAUGCUACUUUUUUUUGAGUUGCUGAAGAGGAUAUUCGCUCCAUGAUCGUGGGCUUCAAACCCCAUUCUACAGACAUCCUUUUUCAGUUUGAUGAGAAUUUUAGCUUUGAUGGGAAUCCUGUGACUAAUGAAUAUUUUGCAUAUGAGCCUGAGGGUACUAGAGGGCAUGAUCUUGAUGACUUUCGUGUUGCCGGGCCACAUGCCUCUGUUCUAAGAAAGGUUUCACAUUAGUUACUAGCCGCAAGAAUUGGAAGCGAUUCUCUAGGCGGUUGCAUUAAUUAGUCCUAUCUUCCAUUGCUUUUGUUAUUUUUCCUGUUAUUGGAUGUAUUUGUUCCCAUACUUCGAGGUUUUGGCAUAUGUCUCUCUCCAUAUGAAUUUUAUUUUAUUUUAUUAAUUUACUAGUGAAGGGUCCCGCCUAACCCCACACCCCACCUUAAGGUGGUUUUUAAUUUUUAAAAAAAUCCUUAUAGUUCUCACAAUUUUUUUUCUAUGUGAAUCAAGCAUCAAAAUCUGCUCACAAGAAUAAUCUAAGAGUAAAUUGAUAUUGGAUGUGAGAGAAUCCGUCUUGGAUUUAACACCUUCAAUCUCAAAGACCUUGCAUCAACAAACUUGAUGAAGCUAAAGACAAGAGAAUAAAAUAAAUGCUAAUUUAAUUCCUGAUGUCUGACAAUAACAUAGUUUGCACUCAUUAAAAUUCCAAUUUAAAACAUUUGCUUCUAACCCUUAAGAAAAGUAUUUCUCCAAAAUCUAGGGUUUAAAAAUAAAUUUUAAGGACAUAAAAAUAAGAAGUCACUAAAUUCUUCUCCAAGAUAAAAUUUUUUGGCCUCAGCACUUGUACGCUCGCUCGAAAUCGACGGCCGGUGGAGCUUAAAAUGAUGCUUUUACAUUUCAAAGAGAUGAGGGAAUUGCUAUUGGAUCCACCAAAUUGGAUUAAAUCAAUGGGUUGAAGUAGUGGAGUACGUGGCAGCUUCAGAACCCUUGGACGGCGUUCCAUGAUCAAAUGAUGGUCCGGAUACAAAGUCAGCCACCCAGUAACCUAACACACGCGGAUCAGCGGCCAACAGGACACGUCACAUACAUCCUGCGGUCCAACCAAACGCGGGUUGAUAUCGGGUCAAACACGUAUUCAGCGGACGGACCUACGUGAGGUCGCAUUCAGAAUCAGAGGUCAAUCAAGUUGAGUCAACAGAAAAGUCGAUAAAGAUGCAUCAUAACUCCGUACAGCAAAAGUACACAAGAUUCCAAUCUCCCUCAAAAUCUGUCGGGGGACUCCAAAUGGAUAAAAUAAUAAUUUUUCUCCUAAUGAUUUUUAGCAUAAAGUUUUCACAAAUUUUAAUACAUUGGACAUUUUAAUUUUAUUUGAAAUGAAAUGCUAUCAGUAAAUGGCUCUUAAAUAAUCAUAAUCAGCACACAACCAGCAAAUUGAAGGAGCAGAAAACCAAGAGAACAAACUUUCCUCUUAAAAUUCAUUCAAUUGAAUUUUAUAUGUGAAAAAAAAAUAAUACAUAAAUAUGUAAGACAAAUAUUCUUGCAAAGCAAACGCUGAGAUAUGAGUAAAAUUAAAAAUGUAAGAAAAUUAACUGGCAUUUUUGAGCUUAUUGGAAGCAAUAAAGAUCGUAAAUUUUUACUUGAACUUCUAAUUAAGGUUUUAUUUAAAAUUGAGGUUGGGAAGCUGUAAUUUUUAAACUACAACACUAAAGUGUUUAAUAAAUAUUAAUUAUUAUAUCCUGAAAAUUAAGUUGUAUGAUGAAAAAUUUAUUAUAUUUUUAUUAAUUUUGUAAAAAUUAUUAUUUAAAAGUUAUAUUCAUUAUAUAUUAUUAAUUUUUAUCUUAUAAUUACAAAUUUUUUAAUAAUUUAAAACUAAAAAAUUACAGUAUCUCGAUAUGAAAGAAGACUUAACUUUCUUUCAAAGAAAUCAAUGAAAGGAAUGUUUUGUGUUCUAAUUAAUUUCUCAAAAACAAAAAGUGUAAUCAAAAGUGUAUGCCGAAAGCAAUUACGAAGAAUGAUCAUGAUCUUCUUUAGUGGUGCAUGAAAUCAACAAUAUGGUGGACAUGAUGUUGAGGAAAGCAAUGAUUUCGUUUAGUAUUUUAUCAAGGGCGGCUUCAAUGUAAUUGUAUUUUAUAAGCCAUACCAAUGCAUAAUUUUUAGGCAUAAUUUUAGCAACAGGUGAGAGACAGUGUAAGAAACUAACAUGAGGCCAUUUACUACAGUACUUGUCCGACAGUGACAUAUUCUGCAACCCCACGGAAAAAAAAAGUGAGUAAAUAAACAAAAUAAAAAGACAUAACAUCUAUUGCAUAAGUUUUAGGCAUAAUGUUAGCACAGGUGAGAGUGAGAGACUGACCUCAGAAUUUUUAAUGUUGCCAAAUCAUAGUUGCCAGUCAAUUUCAAGCAAUCCACACACUCAAGGCUUAACAAUGGGAGUCGAUGCUCGUUUAAUUUUAAUACAUCUGAUAAUGUCUCCAACGACACACAACCAUCUAACAAAAUCCAUUGUAUACUGGCUGGAAGUCGAGGAAGAGUUUGAAGCAUUUUGCAUUCCUCUAAUUCAAUCUCCUGAAGAUUAGAAAGACGGUAGAUGCUUGCCGGUAGCGAAACAAAACUGUUUCUACUCAAACAUAACUUUUCUAAUGAGCAUAAGUCGCCAAUACUACUUGGGAUUGCUCCUUCCCCUAGGUCACAGUCACUGAUAUCCAAUUUCGUUAAACUACACAAACCUGACAGAGAAGACGGCAAACUCAAAGCCACCGGAUCUGAACUCCAUUGCAUCAAAUUGAUAGGAGAGCGCAGAAACCAUGAUGCAGAUGAUGGUGAUCCUUUGCACCCACGACAAGAUAGUUCUUUAAGAUUCUUCAUAAGAAAAAUCGACGAUAGAGGUUGCCUUAUAGCUGUACCACUUAUAUCAAGUUCUUCCAGACUUUCUACUUGCCCAAGCGUCUCAGGCACAUUUUCAAGUUUGAAGCAGCCUGAGAGAUUCAAAGUUUUGAGGGAUUUCAAACCAUUUAUACUGCUAGGAAGUCUCACGAGACUUCUACAAUCAUUCAAAUUCAACCAUUGAAGUUUGGUCAAAAGCUCUAUAGAUGAUGGCACUUCUGUGAUAGAAGUUCCAUCUAAAAAGAGCUCUGACAGAUCUACCACACUUAUCACAGUCUCUAGAAAUUUCACUAUUUUCGAGCAACUAGAUAGCACGAGCGUUUGUAGACAUUCUAAACUGCCUAUUGUAAUUGGAAGACUCGCGAGAUUUCUCCAAUCUUUCAAAUUCAAUGAAACAAGGCCAGACAUAAGUUCAAUUGACACUGGCAGUUCUUUGUGUUGGGGAAAAAUUAGAUUUUUAAAUUUUUAUAAAACCUUUUGAAGAUCGCUCUCAUAUAAUAUAUAAGAAUUUGUAUUCUAGAAAUCGUACCUUGAAAAUUCGAGUUGGCUUUUUCCGCUGAAGUGAUUUAGGCUCCCAGAUCACGAUCCGCCAUCACCACUCCUGUUAGAUCACGAUCCGUCACCACCACGCUUGUUAGAUCACGAACUGUCACCAAUGAUCUUCCAGGUUAUGACUCAGGUUCGAUUUGCACUUGACGUGUGGGCGCCUUUAUCACUACCAAAGCAACUAGCACGAGAAAAUUUUUCUCUCAACAAUAGAGAGAAAAAUCUUAUUCUCUGAUCUGUAUAAAGUGGCUGCUCCUUUUUCUUUAGAGAAAAUAAGCCUUUUAUAUCACCCUUUAGUGAAAACCCUAGGCUCCAAAUAAUCAAAAAAUAAAACCCACGUUAUUUUCUUUUUCAAUAGGGGACCCACCUUGUAAAAUAACAUAAGGCCCCUUACACAAAAGCUAAUUAAAUGGAGCCUCCCACUAAAUGAUAUAUUUAGGCUUUUGACCCAAAUAGCUAGUUAUCUUACUUAUUAGUCCAGUAGUGGUGCAGUCAAUUAAAUGAGCUAAUCCGGGGAUCAUUUGGGAACAUACAAUACUGGCUACAAUAAUUAGGCCUGUAAUUAAACUAGCCCAAUUAUUUAAUUCCAAAUCUACUCCACUAAAAGAUUGGAACUGACUUCCAUAAUUGUAUACUCAAAUAAUAAUUCGUCCCAAGCCACAUUGAUUUCUUUACUGCACAAUCCUUUGUACCACAUCGUUAAUUAAAUUGAUAUCUCAACUGUCCAAUCAAUUUAAUAACAUCUUAUUCCUUGAUCAUUACUGGUUUUCUCUAAUGAUCAUUUUCAACAUACUAAAUAGUUGACACACUCUGGCUAGAGAAUUCUAUGAUCAAGUACCGAAAACCUAUCAAGAGAUGUGUUGUACAAAUUCUAUAUUGUUAAUCCAUAACUCCAAUACUCAUAAUUGCUCCCACCAAUAUACCGGGUAAUCUUGACCACAAGGAUGUGUCGUGCCCAUUGGUAACUCAAAUGAAAUAACAAUUACAAUCAUGAAAUCAUAAUUAACUCAAGAUUAAGAUUACAGUAAAAUCAACGCCUAUGAGAUUUAGUAAGUCUGACAGUUAUUACAAAGUUAAUUAAAUCUCAUAUGUGAUCUUGUUCAAUGUAGUCGUACUACAUCAAUAAAUUCAUACAUGAUUAAGACUAAUCAUUCAAUGAAUUUAUUACAGUCUAUACCUAAAUAAAGUGCCUAACUUUAUUUAUCAACUGCGAACUAAAUUUAUUUAAUCAUAAGAUAACUUGUAUUUAUGUCUUCUGUGAAUCCACAUGGUGAUCACAUAAAUACAUAUAAUAUGAUUAAAUGGACUUUAAUACAAAUAUUAAUGCAAUUAAGAUAUUUGAAUAAAAUACCUCAUUAAUUUUAGUAAUAAAAAAAAUAUUUAUUACAAUUAAAUAAACACAUAUGCUUUUAAAGAGCAUAUUUUCUCAACAAUCUCCCACUAGCUCUCAAAGCAUAUCUAGCAUAUUGCUCAUGCUCUAGGGCUCUAAGUGCAGGUUAUAAAGGUUUCCCACUAAUGGCCAUUGUAAUAAGAUCUGUCAUUUAGCAUCUAAUGCCAUUUGGGGUACUGUCAUAUAACCUUUCUACACUAUUCCCUUAUAAGAUGAUACUUCUUGUCAAUAUGUUUUGUUUCUUGUAGUUCCUUGGUUCCUUAGAUUGAGCUACCGCACCACCAUUAUCACAAAAUAGUUUAAGGGGUGCAGUUACAACAGGUACCACCUCAAGAUUACGUAGGAACUUACGGAGCCAUAUAACUUCUUUUGCAGCUUCAGAUGUAGCCACAUAUUCAGCUUUAGUUAUUAAGUCUGUGAUACAAGAUUGUUUCACACUCAUCCAACUAAUAGCUCCACUUCCUAAUAUAAACACAUAGUCGGAAGUUGAUUUUCUGGAAUCCUUAUCUAACAUAAAGUCAGAAUCAGUAUAACCCACUGGAAUGAGUUCAUCACCGGAAUACCCAAGCAUGUAAUUUUUAGUUCUUUUCAGAUACUUCAUUAUAUGCUUGACUGCAGUCCAGUAUUGAGGUCCAGGAUUAAAUUGAUAUCUGCUAACCAUCCCUACCACAAAACAGAUGUCUGGCAGUGCAAAGCAUGGCAUACAUGAGACUUCCCACAACUUCUGCACAGGGAACUCGUCUCAUUCUCUCUAUCUCUUCAGAUGUUUUAGGUGAUUGAUCCUUAGAGAAUGUAAUUCCAUGUCUGAAUGGUAAUAAACCAGUCUUGGAAUUUUCCAUGCUAAAUCUAGCCAAUAUCUUAUCGAUAUAGACCGCUUGAGACAAGGCUGAAGUUUUAUUCUUCCGGUCUCGUAGUAACUUGAUACCAAGAACAUAACUUAUCUCUCCCAGGUCUUUCAUAUUAAAUUGUUUUGCUAACCAAAUCUUUAUUGUAGUCAAUACUUUUAUAUCAUUUCCAAUCAGAAGAAUAUUGUCUACACAAAGAACUAGGAAGGCUACAAAAUUUCCCUGAAUUUUCUUGUACACACAUGGUUCAUCAAUGUUCUGAAUGAAUCCAAGCGAUUUAAUUGCUUGAUCAAAUCUGAUGUUCCAUGACCGGGAUGCUUGCUUCAAUCCAUAAAUGGAUCUCUACAACUUACAUACCAUGUGUUCUUGGCCUUUUUUGUAUAAAUCUAUCUGGUUGCUGCAUGUAGAUGUUUUCUUCAAGAUGCCUGUUAAGAAAGGCAGUCUUGACAUCCAUUUGCCAAAUUUCAUAAUCUAGCACUGCAGCAAUGGAGAGCAGAAUCCUGAUGGAUUUAAGCAUAGCAACCGGAGAAAAUGUUUCCUCAUAAUUGAUUCCUUCUUUCUGAGUAAACCCUUCGGCUACUAAUCUUGCUUUAAAUGUUUCCAACCUUUUGUCUACUCCUUUUUUUCUCUUAUAGAUCCACUUGCACCCUAUAGGUUUUACCCCAUUUGAUGCCUCUACAAGUUCCCAGACUUUAUUGGAAUACAUAGAUUCCAUUUUUUUAUUCAUGGCCUUUUUCAAAAAAUUCAACAUCUCUAUCUAUUAGAGCUUCGUUGUAACUAGUGGGAUCUUGUACAUGUUCAUCUGAGAUAGCUGUAUAGGUUUCUCCCAAAAGCAUGUAUCUCGCAGGUAACCUAGUUACCCUCCCACUACGACGAGGUUCUAAAAGUGAUGGUUGUUCAAGGAUAAUCCUGUGCUGAUCAGCUGGUUGUUGCUGUUCUUCCUGUUCUAUAACAGGUGUUGAAAGCUUAGCAUCAACCUGAUCUCUUUUAUUUCUCUAGUUUUACCUUAUUCUUAGGUUAUAAGUAAUUAUAUAGUCUUCCUCAAAGAAAGUAAAGAAUAUUUCUAUAAAUACAUUCCUAUCUUGAGGACUAUAAUUCAGACUUUUCCUUAUUCCUUUAAGAUACCUAAAACACGCAAGCUUCUGAACACGAAUCCAUCUUCUCUAUCUCUGGUUCUAGUAGAAAUACUAGUAAACUCCAAAUACGAAUGUGUCUCAAACCAUGUUUGUGACUUUUUCAUAAUUUCUUGGAGUAGUAGACACCAAGAUAGAUGAAACUAAGUUCAACAAAACUUUGUAGUUUCAAAUACUAGUAUCUGGAAUAAAAAAGGUAAAUGAUAAACCACUUAGUAUAUAUGUUGUCUUAUCCAAAAGAAUCUUGUUUCUCCAUUUAAUUAUACUAUUGUAUCAUAGUGUUCAUUGACAACCAAAUAGUGCUUGAAUUCUCCAUAGAGAUAUUCUUUGUUUCGAUCAUAUCGAAGUUCUUUUAUGUUCCUGUCUAAUUGCUUCUGUCUUAUCCACGUACUCUUUUGAAUUUCAAAAGCAAUGGAAUGAUGACGCAUUUAGACAAACAUAAAUAAAAUGAAUAUUCAUCAACAAGAUUGAUAGAAUACUCAUAACCUCUUAUAACAUGUAAACUGAUUAGUCCGUAUACAUUUGUAUGCGCUAAAUCAUCAAAUACAAUGUUAUGCUUUUAGCUCAAAAAGAGCAUCCUUGUCAUAUUACUUUUCUAAAUAAGAUUUAUAGAGUUACAAUGAUCAAUCUUAAUAGGCCAACAAGUCUAUCAUUAAUCAUUUUCUUAAAAUCUUAUUAUAGUUUAUAUGACUUAAGCAUAAAUAUCAGAGGUAAUUUUGGUUUGAAGAAACAUUUCUUUUCUUAGAUAAAUGCAUAUACUCUUUAUCAUUAUAUCUUACUUUGAAUAGAUCAAUGGACUUAUAUGAUAUAAAUUGUCUUUAUAAAUAAUCAAAAUAAAUAAUAAACAGAGGAUAAAAAAAUAACAGUGUACUCCUGUUUAUUAAAACAAGUCACCGAAAUUAAUAUUCCUCUAAUAAUUGAAAAAAUAAAGACAAAUAUCAAAACUUUAAGUCUUGUAAAAUUGAUCUAGCCUUUCAAUUGAUAUAAACUAGCAUGUCCUCAACUGCUAUUUGAAGCUUUAUUCACUUAAUCUCUUGGUUUCCUGAAAACCAAAUAAAUGAAUUACAAAUAAGAUUAGUUAUCUCAGAAUUCAUUAUUGUAUGAAUCAAUAGAAAUCUGAACUAAUUAGGAAGCUUAAAGAUUUCCUAUACUUGAUUUUAACAAUCUUAGGACAAUCUUUCUUCCAAUGACCCUUCUGUCCACAUUUGUAACACUUGCCUUUUGGCUUGCCACUUCUUUUAGUGGACAGUUUGCCGAUCCUAACUCUUGCUUGCUCAUUCUUGUCUUUCGACUUAAGCCUUGAAGAGAAUCAUUUUUCAGGAAGUUUUUUGCUAUGAUAAAAUUCUUCUAUAGCAUGUAGUUCGUGCAUUAAUUCAAUUAAGGUCAUAUCUUUAUUGUUUAAGAUAUAGCUGACCUUAAACUCUUUGAAUGUAUCAGGUAAAGAUUCAAUCACCAUGUUAAUCUUUGAUUUAUCAUUGAUUUGAACACCAUGAAUCUCUACCUCAUUCAAAUAGUCCAUCAUUUUGAGGACAUGAUCACAAACUUUUGUGCCCUCUUCCAUCUUAGUAUCCGUAAUACGUUUUAAUGUUGCUUCUCUGGCAAAAUGGGUAUUUUGCCCAAACAUCUGAUGAAGACUAGCCAUUAUUUCAGUGGCUGUUUCCAUGCUCUGAUGUUUCUUAUGCAGUUCCACAGAAAUCGAAGCCAAUAUAUAGCGCUUAGCCAUUUUGUUAGCUUCGCACCAUUUCUUAUAAGGCUCCCUCUGAUUUCUAUAAUCGUAUAACGAUGGUUCAGGAGGGCAAGGCUGGGUCAACACAUAUUUGCUUCCUUUAGCAGUGAGAAUAUUAAAUAGAUUGCGUUUCCAAUCUAAAUAAUUUUCGCCAGUGAGUUCAUUUUUAACAAGGAUAAUUAAUAAUGGGUUGAUGGAAGACAUUUUUUGAAAAAAAUAAAAUAAACAUGCAUAAAUACUUUGAAACAAUAUUCACAAUAAAUGACAAAAAUGCAAAAAACCAUAAAUGCAUUUUAAUUUAUUGUAACGAUAAUCUAGUACCGCUUUGACAAGCUAUCCGUUGGGGAAGUCAUGUCUACACUUACUAGACCCAAUUAUCCAUUAGAUUAUUUACUUUCAUGUAGAGACAUGAUAAAUAAUUAUCGUUAUCCCUCUGGGCCUAAAUUUGUUAACAGACAUUCGUUGGGAAGGUUAAUAACAAACUUUAGUUGAGUGUAUAACCAUUGUUUCAAUCUACGUAUUUUUCAUAUCAAUAGUCACCGUUGGGGUGAACAAUCGAUUGAAAAAUAUUUUGAUUUUAUCUUUGAAGAAGUUCAUCAAAUAAAAUAUCUAAUAUAUAUACCCUCCGAAGGGAGCAUCACCGUAUCAUGAAGUCGAGGUAUAUAUAUAAUUUUAUUAUUGAACUAACAAUGGAGCCCGUGGGAAAAUUAUCUUGAAUUUUCCCUCUCCCACUCAAUAUUUUAAAAUUGGUUUUUCCUUUUAAAACAUACAUAUUGUUAAUUGCAUGCUUCCUAUAAUAUUAUCUAGAUGAUAUCCAAUAUUAUUAAGCAUAGGCAAAUUUCAAACAAUAUAAUGAAAUUCAUAAUUAAUGAAUGACAUGUAUCAUUAUGCAUAGAGUGGCACUAUCUAUCCUAUAUGACAUGUUAUCAUGGCAUGUUAUCAUCCAAAACAUAACAUAUAGAAAAAACAAUUAAAUAAUCUUAAUUCAUGGCUUUCCUAAUAAUGAAAAAAUACAUUAACCCUAAGCCUAAUCUUCAUUGGGCUUCUUGUAAAUGUCCAUCUUCCAUAAUCUUGUUUUUGUUAAUGGACUAGGAGAAAUUAGGCUUUUAAAUUUAUAAUUGGUCCAAUUUUAAUUUGGAAAGAAAAUAAAUAAAUAAUUAAAAUAAAAAUUUAUUAAAAUAAAACUUUUAGACCAAAAAUAAAUUUAAUGUAUUCAAUUUUAUCUAUGCAUUUUAAUCCAUUAAACCCAAUUGAAAUUGGGCCUAAAACUAGGAUUCAUUAAGCCCAAAACUAUGUUUGAACUUAAAUGCAAAAAAUUAAAAUUUUUCUGCCAAAAUGAAAACUUAUGGAACCAUAGGGACCUCCAUAAUAAAAACCAUGAAACCCUAAAUCCAUAUUUUUCUUUCUUCUUUCCCCAACCGCCAUCUCCAAAAACCUCCAGCCACUGUUCACUAUUGCCACCGAUCUCCGACGCCGACGCCAAACCAACCGCUGCCGCCUGGCCGGAAAACGUGCCAAAACAUAUUGAAUGCAGAGUGGUUGUUGAUUCAAGUCUGGUUCAGCUAACUCUCUAAGAGUUCUUUCUACAGGUGCAGGUCUGUCCAUCACUUGUUUUUCUGAAUCGCUAGAUGAUUCAACUAAAUCAGGCAUUGUAUCUGUUUCAGAAAGCAAAGGCGACGAGGAUCGUUGCUUAGCUCGCUUCGUCUGCUGUCUCAGCUAGCGAGCUGUCUUCUCAAUUUCAGGAUCAAACGAAAGUGUACCUGUACGAGAAGAACGAACCAUACACCAAGUAAAACGUAAAAAGGAUUAAAUAAAUGACACCAAUCCCCGGCAACGGCGCCAAAAUUUGAUGGUUGCUGAAGCUAACAAAAAUAAAUUCCUACUCUAAAUAAAUUGUGUAUAGUGAUUGAGUAGGGUAGUGUCCACAGUGAUUGGUAAUUAUUUAAAUCCUUUUGAAACGUAAAACGUAAAAUGGGGGAAUUGUUGACAAUAAUAAAAAUCAAAUUAAAAUAACAAGAAUGCAAAUUAAAGUUGUAAUUCAAAUUAGAGAAAGCUCUGGUUGAAGGAAUUAACUCAGCUUGAUUCGACUACUGAUCAUUGAUUCAAAUAUAGAUUAUUAUUACUUAUGAAUAGACCGGUUAUAGCUACUGAGACCCUCUAAUAGCCAAUCUCUCCUUAACUAGUCGAUAACCAAGGUACAACCAUUGGUUAUUUCCCUAAUCAAUCGACAACCCUAGAUACGAUCAUAAGAUUUAAUCAAUUGACAGCCUGAAAAACCAGAGAGACCCAAAUCCUAAUCAACACAUAUGAUGAUUCAUUUAAAUUAGAUUGUUUAUUCUCACAACACAACUCACUGAUAUGUUAUUUGUCACAAACAUUAAAUUCUUCAUACGAUGAAUUCUUUAAUUGACAAUAGAUUAAGUUGAUAAUUAAAUAGUGGCCAAUUACCUAAUUAACAAACAUAAUCAUGAAAAUAAUUCAGAGAAUAAACAAAUACCCAAAAAGUAAUAAAACAAUCAAAGCACAAGAAAGAUCUCACAGUAGUGAUGAAUCAAAGCUGCAUUAACCUUCAACCAGAAAAAUAGGUUUAGUUCUUCAUAGAGAGAAGAGAAAAGUUUAGAUGUAGGGUUUCUUUUUCCUCUUCCAAAAGUCCCCCUUUUUCAUAAUAGAUUCCUCUCUUAAAUACUCUCUCUCUCUUCUCCUCUAGAAUUCUAUUUAAAAUAAAAUACUAAUAUCUGAAAUAUUAAAUUCGUAAUUACAAAAAUAACCAAAAAUACAAAACACGUUAAACUAAAAACUGUAGGUCCAUAGUUGACAGCACGCGCCCACGCCUUAUCAACAAAGUUCUUCUGACGCUCAUAAUUUCUCCAAGAGAACAAUCAUCUUUAAAUAUCAUCUUAUAGCUCAAUUUUAUCACAAAUCAAUAAAAUUGCACCUACAAAAGUAAAACACAAGUAAAUCAUCAUUAUUAAGUGCAAAACAUCGAUAUUAAGGGAAGUAAACAAUGCAAAACUAGUGCAUAAAUUGCACUCUAACAACUGGUCACAUUAGAAAGGCUUUAUCACUGACAUUGUUGCUAAAGCAAUCAAAUAUGAUGCUUCGACUACAUCAGUUUCCUAAACAUUAUAACAAAAAAUAAGUGGGGAAAAAAAUUAAAGAAAGAAAUUAUUGAUAAAACUAUGCAAAGAGUUAACUAGUUAAAUUAGUGAUCAUGAUCCCAAAAUUGCAAGUUUUCAACAUAACUGAACAUUUACUUGUGUUUUGUAAUAAUACAUGGCAUACAUCUGCUUCCUCCCACAAUCUAAUGCAGCUUCCAGGCUCCUGAGGGAAUUGCCUCAUAACAAUUUGUCUACCCCAUUUCUUGUAACUACUCACGCAUCCACAGUCCGCUGAAAUCAUCUACGGUUAAUAGAGGUUUUUCAAUAGGACUAACAAUUUUGAUAAUUGGGUCAAAAUCACAAUAUUUGAGAUUUUUUUUCACAUAAUCUCUUAGGGGUGUUCGCGGAUCGGAUUUUACAGAUUGGACAUCGAUCCAUAUCCGAUCCAUCAUUUUGUGGAUUAUAAUUUUUCAAUCCAAUCCAAUCCAUGGAUUGAUAAAAUUCAAUCCAAAUCCAAUCCAUAUAUCUGCAGAUCAGAUGCGGAUUUGACUCAAUUCAUAUCCAAUCCACACGUCUGCGGAUUGAAUGCAGAUUUGACUCAAUCCAUAUUCAAUCCAUCAUUUUGUACAUUAGUUUUCGAAUUAAAAAAUUUUAAUUCUCUCCAACUAAUGAAAUAAAAAAAAACUAAUAUAAAAAUAAUUUUGCUACCAAUUAAAUUUAAAAUUGAAUAAAAUUUAAAUAAAUUAAUUGUUUAAAUAAACCUAAAAUAAUACAUUUAAAAUUUCAAAAUAUAACGCAUCGAGACUAAUUAUUCAAAUAAAGCUACAACAAUACGUUCAAAGUUUCAAAAUAUAACAUACCAAGCUUAAUUGUUCAAAUAAAAUUACAAUAAUACGUUAAUAUAACACUGAAAUUAAUUAUUCAAAUAAAGCCAGAAUUAAUUGAAAUGGCGAAGUUUUGGAAACCAAACACAGUCUGAUCCUUUACCAGGGCUGUUGCUCCUGUCGAAAAGUGGUGAUUACGGAGCCGUCCAUGAUGGGAACUAGGAGAAGCCGUACAGGUGGUGAUCUUGAAGGUUGUGAUAGUGCAAUUGUUCAGCUGGAACCAGUGAAUGUGAAGUGGCUCGAUGGACUUGGGAAAGAAGAUGGCUUGCUCUUACCAGAAUCGCGCGGCUGAUGUCCUUCAAAUCUGUGUCGAGAGUGUAUCCAACCAGUAUUGAGUGUUGCUAGUGUGUGUAACAACAGGGAAGCUUAGGGUUUUUUGUUUGCAAAUUGUUGAUGAUUUGGCGUCAUGUUACUUUGUUUUUGGGUGACUUUGCAAAUUGUUAGUGACUUGGCGUCAUAUUAUUUUGUUUUUGGGUGACUUUGCAAAUUGUUGGUGACUUGGCGUUAUGUUACUUUACUUUUGCUAGUACAUGUGACUUUGUUUUUAUUUUGUUUUACAAUUUUUACAAGUUAUAUUUGUGUAUUUGAUUAUUUAAUUAUUUUUCAUUUUAUAUUAUUAUUAGGUAAUGGCUAAGAUAUGUUAUAGUGCUUAUGUAACUAUGUAAUCUCACAUUUAUAAUUUUUUAAAUUAAAUUAUAUAUAUAUAUAUAUAUUGACGGAUUCACGUAUUUUUGCGGAUUUACAGAAGUAAAUCCAUAUCCAAUCCAUCGACUGCGGAUUUUUAAAUUUUCAAUCCAUAUCCAAUCCACCAAUCCAUAGAUUGGAUUUAUACGGUUCAGAUUAAGCGGAUCAGAUUAGAUUCUGAACACCCCUCUAAUCUUUAUACUUCCCUCAUAGAAACAUGCAAUAUUGAGAAAUAUUCUUUUUUCUUUUUCUUUUGACCCAUCAAAACUUAUUUGAAGUACAUGAAGAAUCUCACUUUCAGGACCUCUUUGUAGUCAUUGUAGUGCACUUUCCUGUUCAGCUAUAGUUCUACCAAACAAAAAUGAGCCCAGAACCUUCAGAGCUAAUGGAAGACCACCAGCAUUAAGGGGAAAAAAAUAAAACUUUACAAAACUAAGUUUUUGGUUUUUAGUGAAUGAGGUUUCUCAUCUCAUCUCCACCUUAGGGGAAAAAAAAUAAAACUAAAACUAAACUAAAACUAAAAUUGAUCAAGAAUUGUAGACGCAAAUAUUUCUCAAAGACCAAAGUUUACCUGUACAAAAAUAUGAAACUUGAUAAUGGUUCUGUUUUGGAAAUAAAUGAUGUUUUUCUUCAUAUUACUUCUGAAAAUUCAAAAACAAAAAUGAAAAUAAAGAGAACUGCAUAGCAUAGGACUUACAGCUUCGAUAUGUUGCAAGCAGUAGAGGAAUUUUCUUAAUAAGAAUUCCGACCGCAAACAUUCUAAGCCCUAACAUCCAAUAUGUUUUAAAUAUCAACUACAUGUCAACGACGGGGAAUUCCAAGGAAUCUUCUAUUUAAAGAAUCAACCAUUGUCAAUUCUUAUAAACGAAGUCUUCAAAUUGACAUUGCGGCCUCUGUUGUUUAAAGGAAAAAAAAAUUCAGUAGUUGUCAAUUCCUAUCAACCAAGUCCUCCAACCAAAAUUACAUACGGGGGUGGAGAAAAGAAAAAUAAAAAUCAAAUGUUGAAUCCUCUUGAUUGUAUCAUGGAUAAAUCUGAUUUAGAUCUGAGUCCAUAUUUUAAUAGAUUCAUCGACCCAUUUUCAGACGUGCCAUGAAUUGUAAAUUAAGCCAAAUAUUCACAAAAAACAACAAAGAAACAAAAACCAGAUUCUGUGUUUAGCCGCAAAUGGGCUGUUUCACAGCCAAGCAAGAAAACAAAUGAAGAAAAUUAAUUGCUUUCCAGUGGUUCAAGAAUUAAUACCAUUAUUGAUUGCUUCGAGAGUGUGGGAUUUAUCCCACCAUUUCCGCCAAGCCCAUAGACGUUAUGUGGAUCAAAGCUCACAAUUCAGGAAAGUUUUUUUUGCCUUUAAUCUUUUAUCCUUACGCUUUAAUUUUUAUGUGAGCUUUGAUUAUCUUACAUUGGGGACAAUGUAAGUUCUUGGUGUGGGGGAGGGAUUUUUGCAUUAUUGAUGUCUGGAAGUAGUAUUUUCACUCUACUCAUCCUUAAAUGAUUUUGGAGUUAGUAUGCUUCAUAUAUUAUUAUUUUUUCUUUUCUUUUCUUUCUCACUACUCUUUUCCCAUCUAUCUCAAAUUAUUUACAUCUAUUUUUAUUUUAUCAUACUCUUUCAUCACUCACAUUUUAUCUUUCACUUUUCAUAUUAUUACAUACAUCUUUCUCACUUCUUAUCAUUUUUACCUUUCCUUUUAUAUAUCACUCAUACCUUCUUCUCAUUCUAUACCACUAUUGAUGAUUGAUUCAUUUGAAGAGUGUACAUGAUUUGAUGGCAAUUUUACCAACUUUGUGAGGAUUUAACCCUAUGAGCAACCACUUUGCUCUAAUAUUUUUGUUAUGUGAAUAUCAAUCUUAGUUUGUUUAUUCUAGAACUUGCUUUGUUAUGCAUGUUGAAGCCGCAUUACGGGAUUUUAUGCAUUAAAAUGAUAAGGGUAAACCCUUUUCCAUUUUUCUAUUCUCGCAUUUUUUUUUCUCUACCUGAAGACCUUUAUUUACUAUCUUUGUUUGAGCCUUAACCAUUACCCAUCUAAUUCUCUCCGUCUACUUAACCAUUUUUCUUCUUUUUGAGCCUCAAUUUAAGGAGAUUUUUGGACUCAUUGUGUGGAUAUAAUUUGUUGCUUUUCUACCUUGUAUUAAAGUUUCUCAAUUAGAUCAACAAGCAUUAUGCUUGAAUUAAAUUGUGCAAGGUUCGUUUCUUUUGUUUGAUUCGAAAAAAAAAUAAAAAAUAAAAAAAAAAGAAAAAAAAAAGAAAAAGAAAAAUUGAAAAAAAAGAUCAAAAAAAAUGUUUCCAUUCUUGGUGACUUGAAUAGAAAUAAGCAUUUUGAUAUCAUAAGUUCAUUCAAUGAGUUCAUUAUUCUCAUUUUGAUCUCUUUUUCUUUUGUAGACCUUUCUUUUUCAUUUAACCUAUUUAACCCCAUUACAACCUUUUUAAGACCCUUAGAUUUUUGCAUUUUAUUCAUAUUUUGUGGAUUGAGAUGUGAUAUAUGAGCAAGCUUAUGGUAAUAGCAUUCUUUGAUUUGAUUUGAGUGCAUAAAUGAUACCCUAAACACUUUGAGUGCAUGGAGUGAAGUCAUUGAGAGGGCUAUUAAAUCUUGUUGCACUUGAAUUUUGAAUGGAUCUUCUUGGUGGUUGAAUGUUCUUAUUCUAUCUUAUGAGAUUCUAUGCUUUAAAAAUCCUUGUCUCUCGAAUGUUGAUCGACUUAAUUUCUUGAGGUAUGCUUGCUUAAAAUUGUUUUUGGAUGAGUUGAGAUGAGAAUUGAGUGGAGAUUUGGGAUUAAUCUUGAGUUAUAUGCUUGAGGACAAGCAUCAUCUUGGUGUGGGGGAAUUUGUUAGAGUGCAAUUUAUGCACUAGUUUUCAUUAUUCACUUCUCUUAAUAUCGAUGUUUUGCACUUAAUAAUAGUUAUUUACUUGUGUUUUACUUUUAUAGGUGCAAUUUUAUUGAUUGGUAAUAAAAUUGAGCUAUAAGAUGAUGUUUAAGGAUGAUUGUUCUCUUGGAGAAAUUAUGAGUGUCAAAAGAACUUUGUUGAUAAGGCGUGGGCGCGUGCUGUCAACUGCGGACCUGCAGUUUUUAGUUUAACGUGUUUUAUAUUUUUGGUUAUUUUUGUAAUUACGAAUUUAAUAUUUCAGAUAUUAGUAUUUUAUUUUAAAUAGAAAUCUAAAAGAGAAGAGAGAGAGAGUAUUUAAGGGAGGAAUCUAUUGUGAAAAAAGGGGAGAUUGGAGAAAAAGAAAGAAACCCUAGAUCUAAACCUUUCUCUUCUCUCUAUGAAGAACUAAACCUAUUUUUCUGGUUGAAAGAUAAUGAAGCUUUGAUUCAUCACUAUUGUGAUGACUUUCUUAUGCUUUAAUUGUUUUAUUGCUUUUUGGGUAUUUGUUUAUUGUCUGAAUUAUUUUCAUGAUUAUGUUUGUUAAUUAGGUAAUUGGCCACUAUUUAAUUAUCAACUUAAUCUAUUGUCAAUUAAAGGAUUCAUCGUAUGAAGAUUUUAAUGUUUGUGACAAAUAACAUAGCAGUGAGUUGUGUUAUGAGAAUAAACAAUCUAAUUUAAAUGAAUCAUCGCAUGUGUUGAUUAGGAUUUGGGUCUCUCUGGUCUUUCAGGCUGUCAAUUGAUUAAAUCCUAUGAUCAUAUCUAGGGUUGUCUAUUGAUUAGGGAAAUAACUAACGGUCGUACCUUGGUUAUCGACUAGUUCAGGAGAGAUUGGCUAUUAGAGGGUCUUAGUAGCUAUAAUCGGUCUAUUCAUAAGUAAUAAUAAUCUAUAUUUGAAUUAAUGAUCAGUAGUCGAAUCAAGCUGAGUUAAUUCCUUCAACCAGAGCUUUCUCUAAUUUGAAUUACAACUUUAAUUUACAUUCUUGUUAUUUUAAUUUGAUUUUUAUUAUUGUCAACAAUUCCCCCAUUUUACGUUUUACGUUUCAAAAGGAUUUAAAUAAUUACCGAUCUCUGUGGACACGACCCUGCUCAAUCACUAUACACAAUUUAUUUAGAGUAAGUAUUUAUUUUUGUUGGCUUCGACAACCAUCAAAUUUUGGCGCCGUUGCCAGGGAUUGGUGUCAUUUAUUUAAUCCUUUUUACGUUUUCUUGGUGUAUGGUUCGUUCUUCUCAUACAGGUACACUUUCGUUUGAUCCUGAAAUUGAGAAGACAGCUCACCAGCUGAGACAGCAGACGAAGCGAGCUAAGCAACGAUCCUCGUCACCUUUGCUUUCUGAAAUAGAUACGGUGCCUGAUUUGGUUUAAUCAUCUAGCGAUUCAGAAGAACAAGUGAUGGAUAGAGCUGCACCUGUAGAAAAAACUCUUAGAGAGUUAGCUGAACUAGACUUGAAUCAGCAACCACUCUACAUUCAAUAUGUAGAUUUGGAGGUAAAUUUUGAAUUAAAGUCUGGUCUUAUUCAUUUAUUACCCAAGUUUCAUGGUUUUGCAGGUGAAGAUCCUCAUAAACAUCUCGAGGAGUUUCAUGUUGUAUGUUCAAGUAUGAGACCACAAGGCGUGACUGAAGAGCAGAUUAAGCUGCGUGCUUUUCCUUUCUCUUUAGAUGGACUAGCUAAAGACUGGUUGUACUACUUGCCUCCUGGAUCAAUUACAACAUGGAAUGGUUUGAAGAAGCAGUUUCUCGAGAAGUACUUUCCUGCUUCAAGAGCUGCCAACAUCAGAAAAGAUAUUUGUGGGAUCAGACAACUUCCUGGGGAAACUUUGUAUGAGUAUUGAGAGCGAUUCAAACAAUUGUGUGCCAGCUGUCCUCAGCAUCAGAUUUCUGAUCAACUUCUUAUUCAAUAUUUUUACGAAGGACUGUCAUUAAUGGAUAGGAGUAUGAUAGAUGCUGCUAGUGGAGGUGUGUUCGUGAACAAGACUCCAACUCAAGUAAGGGAGUUGAUCUCAAAUAUGGCUGCCAAUGCACAACAAUUUGGCAGCAGGCAAGAUGCCACUUCAAGAAUGGUGAAUGAGGUAAAUAUUUCUUCUGUUGAACAACGUUUAGAUAAACUUACUUCUCUUGUGGAAAAGUUUGUUUUAGGUAAUGUGCAACAGAUAAAGACUUGUGGCAUUUGUUCCAAUAUGGGUCAUUCAACUGAUAUGUGUCCUACACCUCAAGAAGAACCCGUUGAACAAGCCAAUGCAAUUGGAGGAUUUCCAGGCAUGCCUCAGAGGAGGUAUGAUCCUCAUGCACAAACAUACAAUCCGGGAUGGAAGGAUCACCCCAACUUCAGCUAUGGAGUUAGGCCGUAAGGAUUCCCACAACAGUAUCCACCAAGACAACCAGCACCUCCACAGUCAAACUCCAAGUUAGGUAUAUCUCUUAAAGAAAUUGUUAAAUCACUUGCGACUAACGCUCAACAAUUUUAGCAGCCAACCACAACAAGCAUUCAGAAUUUGGAGAGCAAAGUGAGUCAAUUGGCAACUACGAUGAGCCGUCUAGAGUCUCAAGUAUCAGGGAGAUUGCCUUUACAAUCUGAGGUGAAUCCAAAGCAAAACGCUAGUGCCAUCAUCCUUAGAAGUGGGAAGGAGUUGCAAGAGCCUAGUAAGAAAGUGACAAAGCAUGUAGAAGAUGAGCUUGAGAAGAAUGAAUUGAUGCCUAAAUCCAAAGAUGCACAACCCACCAGAGCGAAACCCCUACCUAUUGUGAUACCUCCUCCUUUUCCAAAUCAGUUUGCAAAAUCCAAGAAGGAGGAACAAGGGAAAGACAUCCUUGAGACAUUUCGCAAGGUUGAGGUAAACAUUCCCUUAUUAGAUGCUAUAAAACAAAUACCUCGAUAUGCUAAAUUCCUUAAGGAACUAUGCACCUCCAAGAGAAAAUUAAGAGGAGAUGAAAGAGUUCACAUGGGAGAGAAUGUUUCCGCAGUUCUCCAAAAGAAACUACCUCCUAAGUGCAAGGAUCUAGGUAUGUUUACUAUCUCUUGCAAAAUUGGUAGUGUUAGAGUUGAAAAGGCUAUGUUAGAUCUAAGAGCUUCAAUUAAUGUCAUGCCUCGUUCUAUUUAUUCAUCUUUGAAUGUUGGGGCAUUAAAAGAAACUGGCGUGAUAAUUCAACUAGCUGAUAGGUCUAAUACAUAUCGUGAUGGGGUAUUAGAGGAUAUCUUAGUACAAGUUAAUGAGUUGGUUUUUCCUGCUGAUUUUUAUGUACUUGAUAUGGAAGAGGAUAACUCCUCUAAUUCUAUCCCAAUUUUGCUAGGAAGACCUUUUCUUAACACUGCUAGAACUAAAAUGGAUGUACAUAAAGGGACUCUUACUAUGGAGUUUAAUGGAGAGGUUAUAGAGUUCAAUAUGUAUGAUGCUAUGAAAUAUCUCAGUGAGGAACAUUCGGUAUUUUCUAUGGAUGUUAUUAACCCUAUAGUGCAGGAAGUUUUUUAUUUGGAUGUUGAAGAUUCAUUGGUAGCUGCUUUAAAUAACAGUUUGGGCCUCGAAAGAUUGCAAAAGGAUGAAAAUGAGUUUGUUUUAAAUUCUGUAUUGCAAGAGACAAUUUAUGAAUUAAAUUCUUUGAGAACUUUAACUCAUCAUAUGUCUAAUAUUGAAUUACCUUCAUCUCAUGCAAAACUUCUUCCAUCUAAUUUGUAGGCACCGAAAAUAGAGCUUAAACCAUUGCCGAGUUAUCUAAAGUACAUGUUUCUAGGAGAGGAUGAGACACUUCCGGUGAUCAUCUCUUCAAAGCUUAGUACUUUAGAGGAAGAGAAACUUAUUAGAGUGCUGAAGGAUUACAAAAAGGCUAUUAGGUGGACAAUUACAGAUAUUAAAAGGAUAAGUCCGUCUAUGUGCAUGCAUAGAAUACUACUGGAGGAAGAUGCCAAACCUUUAAUUCAAGCUCAACGCCGUUUGAAUCCACUCAUAAUGGAAGUAGUGAAGAAAGAAAUUCUAAAACUUCUUGAUGCAGGUAUAAUCUAUCCAAUUUCGGAUAGCAAAUGGGUAAGUCCGGUACAAGUAGUACCAAAGAAAACUGGGAUAACAAUUAUUGAGAAUUCUUAUGGUGAGUUAGUACCUACCCGAGUUUAGAAUGGGUGGAAGGUUUGUAUUGAUUUUAGAAAGCUUGAUUCACUCACUAGGAAGGAUCAUUUUCCUAUUCCUUUUAUUGAUCAGAUGCUUGAAAGGUUAGCAGAAAAAUCUCACUUUUGUUGUCUUGAUGGCUAUUCAGGUUUUCAUCAGAUACCAGUUGCGCCCGAGGAUCAGGAGAGGACUGCCUUCACAUGUCCUUUUGGAACCUUUGCGUACCGACGUAUGCCAUUUGGUCUUUGUAACGCUCCCGCCACUUUUCAGAGGUGCAUGGUCAGUAUUUUUUCAGACUAUGUAGAAAACACUAUAGAGGUAUUUAUGGACGAUUUUAUGGUCUAUGCUGAUUCUUUCGAUGAUUGUCUCUGUAAUCUGAAGAAAGUGCUUGAAAGAUGCAUUGAAACAAACCUUGUCUUGAAUUAUGAAAAAUGUCAUUUUAUGGUAAAUUAAGGCAUUAUUUUGGGUCAUGUAGUCUAUGUUAGAGGAAUUGAGGUAAAUAAAGCUAAAAUAGAUGUUAUUAAAUCUUUACCUUAUCCCACAUGUGUGCGGGAAGUUCGUUCUUUCCUUGGUCAUGCAGGUUUCUAUAGACAAUUUAUCAAGGAUUUUUCGAAGAUAGCUCAGCCUUUAUGCAAGCUUCUUCAGAAAGAUGUGACGUUUGAUUUUAAUGAAGCAUGCAAGGUAGCAUUUGAUAAACUUAAGGAGUUAUUGACUUCAGCUCCAAUUAUACAGCCACCAGACUGGAGCCUCCCUUUUGAGAUAAUGUGCGACGCCAGUAAUUAUAUUAUUGGUGCUGUUCUCGAACAAAGGGUUGGAAGAGCUGCUCAUGUGAUAUAUUACGCAUCGAGAACACUUGAUAGUGCUCAAUGCAAUUACUCAACAAUGGAAAAAGAACUUUUAGCUAUUGUUUUUGCUUUAGAAAAAUUCCGUUCAUAUUUAUUGGGUACUAAAGUGAUUGUUUUUUCUGACCAUGUAGCUUUCAGAUAUUUGCUCACCAAGAAGGAAGCGAAACCGAGACUUAUUCGCUGGAUCCUACUGCUUCAAGAAUUCAACUUGGAGAUCCGUGACAAGAAAGGAACAGAAAACUUAGUUGCAGACCACCUUAGUAGAUUGAUCACGAGUGAAGAAGCAGCACCUUUGAAGGAUGAUUUUCCAGAUGAGCAUCUCUUUGUAACUCAAGGUAUGGUUCCUUGGUACGCUAACAUUGUCAAUUACUUAGUUACAAGAAUACUACCUAGUGAUCUGACGAGGGCUCAAAAAGAUAAAAUUAAGAGCGAUGCUAAAUACUAUGUUUGGGAUGACCCUUACUUGUGGAAACAUUACUCUGACCAAGUCAUCAGAAGGUGCGUAUCUGAGUUUGAAAUUCCUUUUAUUCUUCAGUUUUGUCACUCAUAUGCAUGUGGUGGUCAUUUUGGUCCCAAAAGGACAGCAUCCAAGGUGUUAGAAUGUGGUUUAUUUUGGCCUACUUUAUUUCGUGAUUCAUACAUGUUUUGUAAGUCGUGUGAGAAUUGUCAAAAGACUGGUAAUUUAAGUCAUAGAAAUCAAAUGCCACUUACCCCUAUUCUUGUAUGUGAAAUAUUUGAUAUGUGGGGCAUUGAUUUUAUGGGACAUUUUCCCUCAUCUUUUGGCAAUGCUUACAUUCUUUUAGCAGUGGAUUACGUUUCUAAGGGGGUAGAGGCUAAGGCCACCUGGACUGACAAUGCUAAAGUUGUUGUAGAUUUUGUCAAGUUUAAUAUUUUUGCCAGGUUUGGUGUACCGAGAGCGAUGAUAAGUGAUAGAGGCACUCAUUUCUGUAAUCGAGUGGUGGAAGCUUUGUUCAAAAGAUAUCAUGUUACCCACCGAGUGUCUACCGCCUAUCAUCCGCAGUCAAGUGAACAAGCUGAGAUAUCAAACAGAGAAAUCAAGUCUAUUCUUGAAAAGAUAGUUAGUCCAAAUCGAAAGGAUUGGAGUUUGCGAUUAGAUGAUGCAUUAUGGGCGUAUUGCAUGGCUUACAAAACUCCCAUAGGUAUGUCUCCUUAUCGUUUAGUAUUUGGUAAGCCUUGUCAUUUACCUGUAGAACUUGAGCACAGAGCAUACUGGGCAGUUAAGCAAUGCAAUAUGCGGAUGGAUGAAGCGGGAAAGCAAAGGAAGUUGCAGCUGCAAGAGUUGGAGGAGAUUAGAAAUGAAUCCUACGAGAGUUCGCGAUUUUACAAGAAAAAGACGAAGACAUUUCAUGACAGAAUAAUUUUGAGAAAGGAGUUCUCUGUUGGUCAAAAAGUUCUUCUUUUUCAUUUUAAACUUAAACUUUUUCCUAGUAAAUUACGUUCUCAUUGGGUAGGACCUUUUAUUGUUACUAAUGUUAUUCCUCAUGGUGCAGUUGAGAUUCGGACUCCAACCUCUGAUAAAGUCUUUAAGGUUAAUGGUCAUCGUUUAAAACCUUUUUAUGAAGGUUUUUCGGUGAAUAUUGUGGAGGAAAUGGCUCUCGAGAGUCCUAUUUAUGGAGAUUGAUGCAUAAAUGUGUCUAGCCAAAGACAUAAAACAAAGGCGCUUUUUGGGAGGCAACCCAAGUGAUUUGUUUAUUUUGGUUUUUGUUUUAUCUUCUUUUAGUUUUGAUUCAAAUAAAAAAAAAUUAAAUAAUGUGUUUGCUUAUUUUGGUCAGAAGAAAAUUUUUGAUAAGGCGUGCCCACGUGCUUAUUAGAAAAGUACUUUUGAAAUUUUUAGUGUCUCAAAGUGAUUCAUCACUAAAAAAAAAAAUAUUUUUUUUCCUUCUUUUCUUUCUUUUAUAUAUAUAUAUAUAUUUAUUUAUUUAUUUAAAAAAAUGAAAAAAAAAACAAAAAUCACAAAUCACAAAUCAUUGUUCACAAAUCCAUAAGUCAAAAAAAAAAAUUCAUUGUUGAUUAUCGUUUUCACCAGCAGCAGCCGCAUCAGUCCCACCUGCAACCACUAGCCCGCGCGCAGCAAGCCCCAGCCAUCACCAUCGCGCAGUGCAUCAGUCCCGCGUGCGCAACGCAGCCGAGCAGCAGCAGACGAGCACACCCCGCAACGCAGAUCCUCAGCUCCAGCCCCCGCGCGCAGUUCAAAUCAAUCCAGUCGUCACCAUCACGCAGCAGCACAGCCGCGGGCAACGCAAUGCAACCAGCAGCCCACGUGCGCCGCACAAUCAGUCCCACGCGCAACACAAGCCCCAGCAAAGCAACUAGCAUCACGCAACCCCCGCAACGCAGCACGAACCAACCAACUCCUAAGUGAUCUUUCUUUCCUAAAAAAUUAUAUGCUAAGAAUCGAUGCACACAUUUCAAAACAGGAUCACGUAAGAAAGAACUCUUUGAUUUACUCGGGUCAUAGGCAUUGUGAUCAACAGAUAAAUUACACCAAAGACCAUAAGGCUCAAAAUUUUCGCUAAAGUCACAAGUUGUUCCUAAAUAUGCAUCACUAGAAGAAUAAUAAUCAUCAAUGAAUCCUAAAGCUAGGUUAAAAUUCGUGAUAGAGUGUGAAAAAUUUCGUUCCAUUAACCUAAACUUUAUAACAUUCGGGAUAUGCAAAGUAAAAUCAUUCGGUAUAUUAAAUUGAAAAGUAGCAUAGAACUCCCUAAUCAACUCAACAUAACCCAAACAAUCAACAUCAACAAACUUACGCAAACCAAUCUUAUCUAUCAAAGAAUCAAAAUUAUCCUUAACAUUCAAUUUUUCAAGAGUCGGGUAAUGAAUAUACUUAGCUGGAAGUAUUUUUCGCUUGGAAAUAUCUUUAUACCUUUCUUUCUCUUGUUGAGUCGUGAAUGUGAGGCACCCUCCGAGAUUGGAUUCCGCAAGUGGCAAAACACUCAUGUCUUUUCCAUAUUUCGAUCUUUGUCUCACGGCUUGGCGUGAAUUUGAAACUGUAUUCCAUGGAACCGUAGUGGGAGUGGCAAUCUUGGAUUUCUUUGCGACGGGUGUCUUUUUAGAUGACUUGGAAGUUGAUGCUUUCCUCUUCGGCAUUGUUACAAUAAUUUCACUCACGGAUUUCGAUUCACCCGGUUGGAAUACAGGGCGUAGGCUGGUUGCGGACGAUUGUUGCUCGGUUGGAGCUUGGCGCGAUGGUGGAUUGCUGGUUGUGCGCUGGUGAUACUGGUUGAGUGCGGGAUGCUACGCGUUGGGGCUGAUUCUGAUGCGCGCUGCAGGGGCUGGUUCUGCUGCGGUAGUGACGCUGGUUGUGUUGCGUGCGCGGGCUGGAGCUGAUUCUGCUGCGCGCACGGGCUGCUGGAUUUGUGCGCUAGGGUUGAUUGCACGUGAGAGCUGGGCUGAUGCUGGUUCUGCGCGCUGCUAAGCAAAGGCUGGAUCUGCGCGCGCGGGUUGCUGCGUGGCUGCUCGGUGAAGGUUGGAGAAGAAAACCAAUUCUGUGAAUUAGGGAUUUUGUGAACAGUAAUUUUUUUUGUUUUUUUUUCAAAUAAUAUAUAUAUAUAUAUAUAAAAGAAAGAAAAGAAAGGAAAAAAACCUUUUUUUUCAUUUUUUUAAUUUUCAAAUAAAUAAAUAAUUUUUUUUUUUUAAUGAUGAAUCACUUUGAGACACAAAAAAAAUUUCAGAAGUACUUUUCUAAUAAGCAUGUGGGCACGCCUUAAAACCAUUUUACUUUAAAAAUCACAGAAGUACUUAUUAGUUAAGACGUGGGCACGCCUUAUCAAAAAUUUUCUUCUAGCCAAAAUAAGCAAACACAUUAUUUUUAAAAAAAAAUCUGAAUCAAAAUUAAAAGAAGAUAUAACAAAAACCAAAAUAAAUAAAUCAUUUAGGUUGCCUCCCAAAAAGCGCCUCUAUUUUAUGUUUUUGGCUAGACACAUUUAUGCAUCAAUCUCCAUAAUUAGGACUCUCGAGAGCCACAUCCUCCACAAUAUUCAUCGAAAAACCUUCAUAAAAAGGUUUUAAGCGAUGAUCAUUAACCUUAAAAACUUUGUCAGAGGUCGGACUCCGAAUCUCAACUGCACCAUGAGGAAAAAUAUUAGUAACAAUAAAAGGUCCAACCCAGGAAGAACGUAAUUUACCCAGAAAAAGUUUAAGCUUAGAAUGAAAAAGAAGAACUUUUUGACCAACAGAGAACUCCUUUCUCAAAAUCAUUCUAUCAUGAAAUGUCUUCGUUUUUUUCCUUGUAAAAAACUUCCUGCACUAUAGGGUUAAUAACAUCCACAAAAAAUACCGAAUGUUCCUCACUAGGAUAUUUCAUGGCAUCAUUCAUAUUGAAUUCUAUAACCUCUCCAUCAAACUCCAUAAUGAGAGUCCCUUUAUGUACAUCCAUUUUAGUCCUGCCAGUCUUAAGAAAUGGUCUUCCUAGCAAAAUUGGGACAGAAUUAGAGGAGUUAUCCUCUUCCAUAUCAAGUACAUAAAAAUCGGCAGGAAAAACCAACUCAAUAACUUGUACUAAGACAUCUUCUAAUACUCCAUCAGGAUAUGCAUUAGACCUAUCAGCUAGUUGAAUUAUCACGCCAGUUUCUUUUAAUGGACCAACAUUCAAAGAUGAAUAAAUGGAAUGAGGCAUGACAUUAAUAGAAGCUCUUAGAUCUAACAUAGCCUUUUCAACUCUAACACUACCAAUUUUACAAGGGAUAGUAAACAUACCUGGAUCCUUACACUUAGGAGGUAGUUUCUUUUGGAGAACUGCUGAAACAUUCUCCCCCAUGUGAACUUUUUCAUCUCCUCUUAAUUUUCUCUUGGAGGUGCACAGUUCCUUAAGGACUUUAGUAUAUCGAGGUAUUUGUUUUAUAGCAUCUAAUAAAGGAAUGUUUACCUCAACCUUGCGAAAUGUCUCAAGGAUGUCUUUCUCUUGUUCCUCCUUCUUGGAUUUUGCAAACCGGCUUGGAAAAGGAGGAGGUAUCACAAUAGGUAGGGGUUUUGCUCUGGUGGGUUGCGCAUCUUGAGAUUUAGGCAUCAAUUCAUUCUUUUCAAGCUCAUCUUCUACAUGCUUUGUCACUUUCUUACUAGGCUCUUGCAACUCUUUCGCACUUCUAAGGAUGACAACACUAACGUUUUGCUUUGGAUUCACCUCAGAUUGUGAAGGAAACCUCCCUAAUACUUGAGACUCCAGACGACUCACUGUAGUCGCCAAUUGACUCAUUUGGUUCUCUAAAUUCUGAAGGCUUGUUGUAGUUGCCUGCUGAAAUUGUUGAGUGUUAGUCGCAAGUGAUUUAACAAUUUCUUUAAGACAUAUACCUGACUUGGAGUUUGACUGUGGAGGUGCUGGUUGUCUUGGUGGAUACUGUUGUGGGAAUCCUAAUGGCCUAACUCCAUAGCUGAAGUUGGGGUGAUCCUUCCAUCCCGGAUUGUAUGUUUGUGCAUGAGGAUCAUACCUCCUCUGAGGCAUGCCUGGAAAUCCUCCAACUGCAUUGCUUGUUCAACGGGUUCUUCUUGAAGUGUAGGACACAUAUCAGUUGAAUGACCCAUAUUGUAACAAAUGCCACAAGUCUUCACUUGUUGCACAUUACCUACAACAAACUUUUCCACAAGAAAAGUAAGUUUAUCUAAACGUUGUUCAACAGAAGAAAUAUUUACCUCAUUCACCAUUUUUGAAGUGGAAUCUUGCCUGCUGCCAAAUUGUUGUGCAUUGGCAGCCAUAUUUGAGAUAAACUCCCUUGCUUGAGUAGGGGUCUUGUUCACCAACACGCCUCCACUAACAGCAUCUAUCAUACUCUUAUCCAUUAAUGAUAGUCCUUCAUAAAAUAUUGAAUAAGAAGUUGAUCAGAAAUCUGAUGCUGAGGACAGCUGGCACACAAUUGUUUGAAUCGCUCCCAAUACUCAUAUAAAGUCUCCCCAGGAAGUUGUCUGAUCCCACAAAUGUCUUUUCUGAUGUUGGCAGCUCUUAAAGCAGGAAAGUAUUUCUUAAGGAACUGCUUCUUCAAACCAUUCCAUGUUGUAAUCGAUCCAGGAGGCAAGUAGUACAACCAGUCUUUAGCUAGUCCAUCUAAAGAGAAAGGAAAAGCACGCAGCUUAAUCUGCUCUUCAGUCACGCCUUGUGGCCUCAUACUUGAACACACAACAUGAAACUCCUUGAGAUGUUUAUGAGGAUCUUCACCUACAAAACCAUGAAACUUGGGUAAUAAAUGAAUAAGACAGACUUUAAUUCAAAAUUUACCUCCAAGUCUACAUGUUGAAUGCAGAGUGGUUGCUGAUUCAAGUCUGGUUCAGCUAACUCUCUAAGAGUUCUUUCUACGUGUGCAGCUCUAUCCAUCACUUGUUCUUUUGAAUCGCUAGAUGAUUCAACUAAAUCAGACACCGUAUUUGUUUCAGAAAGCAAAGGCAACGAGGAUCGUUGCUUAGCUCGCUUCGUCUGUUGUCUCAGCUGGCGAGCUGUCUUCUCAAUUUCAGGAUCAAACGAAAGUGUACCUGUACAAGAAGAACGAACCAUACACCAAGUAAAACGUAAAAAGGAUUAAAUAAACGACACCAAUCCCCGGCAACGGCGCCAAACUUUGAUGGUUGUCGAAGUCAGCAAAAAUAAAUACCUACUCUAAAUAAAUUAUGUAUAGUGAUUGAGCAGGGUCGUGUCCAUAGAGAUCGGUAAUUAUUUAAAUCCUUUUAAAAUGUGAAACGUAAAAUGGGGGAAUUGUUGACAAUAAUAAAAAUCAAAUUAAAAUAACAAGAAUGCAAAUUAAAGUUGUAAUUCAAAUUGGAGAAAGCUCUGGUUGAAGGAAUUAACUCAGCUUGAUUCGACUACUAAUCAUUGAUUCAAAUAUAAAUUAUUACUACUUAUGAAUAGACCGAUUAUAGCUACUGAGACCCUCUAAUAGCCAAUCUCUCCUUAACUAGUCGAUAACCAAGGUACGACCAUUGGUUAUUUCCCUAAUCAAUAGACAACCAUAGAUACGAUCAUAGGAUUUAAUUAAUUGACAACCUCAAAAACCAAAGAGACCCAAAUCCUAAUCAACAAACACAUACGAUGGUUCAUUUAAAUUAGAUUGUUUAUUCUCACAACACAACUCUCUGCUAUGUUAUUUGUCACAAACAUUAAAAUCUUCAUACGAUGAAUCCUUUAAUUGACAAUAGAUUAAGUUGAUAAUUAAAUAGUGGCCAAUUAUCUAAUUAACAAACAUAAUCAUGAUAAUAAUUCAGAGAAUAAACAAAUACCCAAAAAGUAAUAAAACAGUUAAAGCAUAAGAAAGAUCUCAUAGUAGUGAUGAAUCAAAGCUUCAUUAACCUUCAACCAGAAUAAUAGGUUUAGUUCUUCAUAGAGAGAAGAGAAAAAUUUAGAUCUAGGGUUUCUCCCUUUUCUCCCCAAAAGUCCCUCUUUUUCACAAUAGAUUCCUCCCUUAAAUACUCUCUCUCUCUUCUCCUCUAGAAUUCUAUUUAAAAUAAAAUACUAAUAUCUGAAAUAUUAAAUUUGUAAUUACAAAAAUAACCAAAAAUAGAAAACACAUUAAACUAAAAACUGCAGGUCCGUAGUUGACAGCACGCACUCACGCCUUAUCAACAAAGUUCUUCUGACGCUCAUAAUUUCUCCAAGAGAACAAUCAUCCUUAAACAUCAUCUUGUAGCUCAAUUUUAUCACCAAUCAAUAAAAUUGUACCUACAAAAGUAAAACACAAGUAAAUCACUAUUAUUAAGUGCAAAACAUCGAUAUUAAGGGAAGUAAACAAUGCAAAACUAGUGCAUAAAUUGCACUCUAACACCUCUUGAUUGUAUCAUGGAUAAAUCUGAUUUAGAUCUGAGUCCAUAUUUUAACAGAUUCAUCAACCCAUUUUCAGACAUGCCAUGAAUUGUAAAUUAAGCCAAAUAUUCACAAAAAACAACAAAGAAACAAAAAACAGAUUCUGUGUUCAGCCGCAAAUGGGCUGUUUCACAGCCAAGCAAGAAAACAAAUGAAGAAAAUUAAUUGCUUUCCACUGGUUCAAGAAUUAAUACCAUUAUUGAUUGCUUCUCUAUUGGAAGAAAUAAUUUUGAAUAAAGCACAGCAUCAUUACUAUAAAUGUGAUGAUAAUUUUCAAUCAUCGGAAGAUGAUAAUUUCUUCAUACAUGCGUUCUAUGGCCUGACUCUGUUUUAUGUCUAAAACUCAAGAAAUUCGACAAUUCCUUUGUUCUACCACAUCGUUCAUUCAACAAUAAAUAAUCAGAUUCUGUCACGUAUAUUUUUAUUUAGAAAAUUGCAAAAAAGUUAGUCGCUAGAAAAACUAAUUGUAAUUGAUUAAAUAAACACUGGGCUUGUGCUCGCUAUAUUGAAUCAAAACAAUACAUAUUUAGUGAAGGAAUCUCAAAAUGUGCUCACUAGCUAUGACUCGUGUAGGACAAACAUUCACAAACUGACCUUGUUGAUUGAUUGCUUUUGCUUGGCAAAUCAUAGAGUUGAUGCAACACAUCAGGUGGGAUGCACGUUCCUUCGUGGGCAUAUUAUCCAACACGUCCUAGGCAUGAGAAUAAUACCAUAAUUCCUCAACAACUCCCCUCUUCAUCUGAUCAUAUUCAUAUAGAUAUUUGUCUUUCUUCCUAAAAUCCUCAAUCCAAGCUUGCCAAUUCAUUUAAUAAUAUAUUUAUAUUGAUUUUUAAAAUAUAAUACCAAAUUUGGGGUUACUAUGGUCAAGAAUAUAAUUUGGAGGGGGGGGGUGGGGAGCGCAAAAUGAAACACUUAAAGUCAAUUAUUAUGUGAUCACUUACAGUUGAUUAUUGAGGGAUUACAAACACUUAAUCCAUCCCAUCAACAACCAAAAAAAAAAAAAAAAAGAAAGAAAGAAAGAAAAGACUCAAGAGUAUUUGCAAAAGAUAAUUAUAAAGAGUGACUAUGGUCAACGGUGGAGAAUGGAAUCAAAGACAUUAUCAAAGGUAACAAAAGCUUCGAUCAUCUAAACACAGAGACUUUUCUUCAAGUAUAGUUAAAUAAUAAUUUAUAUUACUUAAUGAAACAAUAAGUAUUUAUGACAAAUAAGAUACAUGGAAUAAACCAACCUCUCCGCUUAUCAUUUUCUCUAUUGUGUUUUUUUUUUCCUCUGUCUCUCCUUCUUGUUGUUUAGUAGAUGACACAACAUUUCAUUUUGUUUAUUCAAUUUGCUGUUGGAGCAUCUUCCAGGAAAGUACAGAAAUGUAAAUAUACAGGUAAUAUUAUAUUUAUGAAUUAUUUAUAUGUACAGUACAUACUAAGUAACUAAAAUAAGACAAAUGAAAUAAUAAAAAUAUAAAUAUAAAUGAGAUAAGAUCAAAUAUAUGAUAUGAUGAUACUAAGUAAACAAUAUUGUUUAUGGUAGGCUAGUCAUUUGACCAGAUGAGAAAACCAUCUAAAACAUUAUUGCUGUAAUGUUAUACAUUAUGUACGAAACAGGAAUGUAAGCACAGUAGUAAUAUAAUGUUAUACAUAUCAAAAUUAUGUCUACAAAUAAAAAAUAAAUCGCUAGUCGGCGUCUCUGGUUCUGACGCAAUCAAUUUCAAUUUAAGCAUACCUCUGUUGACAACCUGAGUAUGCUUCAUGACAUUCGAACCAGAGCAGAGAAAAUCAACUGCAUAAAUAAUACAGGCCUAGUCACGACAUCGGGAGAGUAAACAAAUGGACUGCAUGGAGAUGCCCCAACUUGGCCAUGAUGCAAGUUGAACACUGACGGAGCUUGUAAGCGAACAGGAGCACCAAGUGCUGGAGUAAUUCGUGAUCACAAAGGGGCUUGGAUCUUUGGCUUCGGAAUGAAUACAGGGCAUUGCUCUGUUACGGUGGCUGAGUUAUGGGGUUUAUAUCAUGGUCUAAAACUGGCAUGGGAGCAUGGGAUAAAGUGGCUGGUGGUGGAAAUUGAUAGCCUAUGUGUCACUGAACUGGUUAGGAAGCCUGUGGAUACUGACAAUGAGUACACUUCCCUUCUUCAGCCUAUCGAGGAGGUUAUGCAGCGUAAUUGGAACAACAUUAUCAUUAACGAUGUCUACCGUGAGGCAGAUUUCACAGCAGACUAUCUCGCUAAUUAUGCUCUAUCUCUUCCUCUAGGUGUUCAUCAUCCUGCUAAUCCCCCACCUGGUGUGACUCCUCUUUUGUACCAUGACUUGUAUGGGGUGGCUUACCCGCGUUCUGUUUUAUUCUAGCUCUUUUUAGAGCCUCAUCAUAUCAAAAAAAUAAAUAAGUAAAAUUAUGAUAAAGAUAUGCGCGUAUGAGAUUAUUUUAGAGACUUUCGGGGUGUCAAAAACUUGACUCUUCUUGAUUAUGGAUUACAAGCUGUUCCGAACUUAGAAUCAAUAAAUUGAAUAGCUGUCGAGCACACUUGUAGAAAGAGUGACCCUAUGAGCACCCCUUUGUCAUUCUUAAAAAAACCCAACUUCAAAUACAACUAUAUAUAAGGAUAAAUAACAAUUAGUCAACCAAUUAGAUCUUUUUUCCUGCAAAUUAACUGUAUUCAUUAACGUCCCUUUUUUUUUUUUUUUAAUUUGUCAUGACUUCCUGCGUAUUGAAAUUAAAUUUUCUUAAAUUUAAAAUAUUCUAUUAUUCUUUUUGUAGUUCUUAUUGAUUGAAUAAUUUUUUUUAAUUACAGAUUACGUACAAUUAUAUUAUAAUUUAAAAUAUGUGUAAUUUAAUUCAAUAAAUUAUAAUUUAAAGUAUUUUAAAUUUAAGUCAAUGAUUAACAUUAAAAAAUUCAUCACCGAUAAAAUUUUUUAAUUCGUAUGUAGGAUUGAUUUGAAAUUAACAACACUGCUAAAAAAAGAAAGAAAGAAAGAAAUUAGAAGAGUGUAUAAAAAAAGGACAUUUUUUAAAUUAAAAGUAAGAAUAACCUUUUUUUUUUAAAAAAAAAAAGAGGUCUUACAAGGAUAUAAGAGGGGUGUCAAUAAUGCGACUCCGUGAAAAGAAUUAACAAGAAAAUAAUAAAAAAUAUUUUUACAAUUAACUCACACAUCUAUUGAAACAAGAACCUAAAACUUAAAGUCUUAGAAAAGCUUCGCGGUGAAGCUAGACCUCAACUUUGAUAAGAAAAUAAUAUUAAAAAUUAGAUGAGUGAUUAAAAAAGGGAUAUUUUGGGAGUUACCAAUAAGAAUAACUAGAAAAAAAAAGUAAUAAAAAAAGGUUUUAUGAAAAGAUCGGGGGGUCAAUAAUCCAGCGUAAAAAGAACAAAAGUAAAAAAAACUCAAAUUAAAUAAGCACAGCUAAAUUCAACGAACUCAUGAAGGCCCAAAAAAGUUCCAACAUCAAAAUAAAAGGGAUAAGAAUCACAAAUGUUCACAAUGAAGACAACCAUGAAUAUAUUUUUUUUUGGGUCAAAAAUCUUUUUGGUCAAAUAUGUGAUAUGAUCCUUGUACAGAAAAAUAUGUGAUAUGAUCUUCAUACAUAAAUGAUAAUUUUACUUCAUCAAAGUUCAUUUGUCAUUCAAUUUCAUUUUUCUCUAUAAAUUGUUAUAAUUUGUACAGUUUCUUUAAUUCGCAGCUUUUUGUGAGACUUAAAAUUGCUUUAAUUUGAAAUGUCAAAUCAGAAGGUGCUAGUGUUAUUCUAGGGUAAAAUCUAUGCAAAUUCAAUAAGAAUCUCAACAAGCGAAAAUCCAUAUCAGCUUCAUGUGCUGUAUAAUUUAGAAUAAGCUUAGUUGGCCUACUCAAAUAGAAAGAACAGUAGAAGCUGUACGCCAAAAGAGUGAAAAUAAUAAUAAUAAUAAUAAAAGAAUAUAUUUAACCAGAUUGCAAUGAGAUACUUAUUUUAUUGUUCACUCAUAGCAAUUUGUAUGCAAUUCAUCAAUUAUGACCCCAGUCCUCAGCCCUUUCAAGUGUACCCAAAAACUCGGACGUUUAAUAAUGGAUACAAAAUGACAGAAUGCUGCAAUGAAACGGAGAAACAAGUAAGAAUGCAAGACAGAGGACUAACUUUCCUUCUUUUUUUAAUUUUCAACUCGUGAGAAAUCCCAAAAUACAAAGCUUCAAUUUGGUCGAGCAACACAUUCUGAUUCUGACCAACUUCUGAAUCCAAGUAGAGCAUUUCUAGUAAUUUAACGUGAAAAUAAAUUGCAAGAUUAGAAUAAAUAAAAACUAAAUGAAAUACCAUGUGCAAAUUUAAAGAGCAUAAAUUGAAAUUGGGAUGUGUACUUACACUGUUACACUAGGCUUUGCCCUUCAUUUGAAUUGUCUAAAUCUUUUAGGUGGUGGUUCCUCAUCUUCAUCGCAGCAGCCACUGCCACUGGCUUCAGCUGUCCCAGCACUUUCUGCAAGGCCUCGCUUUGAUGUUGUGGCUACUUCCAUAUUAGAUCCAACAAAAUCGUGAGGGGAUUCAUACAGAUUAUAAGAAGUAAAAUGAGUCCACUGCUUUGUUGCUUGGUCCAACUCCUCAACUUCGUGCAUAUAAACUGGAUGGAAGCCACACCUCUUCACGUUCAAAUCAGUACCUCGCCGAUAUAGACCUUCUUCAAUAAAUGACAACUUAAAAUGAUUAGAUUCAAAAUUCCACUUAUCAUUGUAGCAUUCUUGUCGAGACAAAUAGAAUAGCCAAAGAUGGUCUGACCCAGCAUGACCGAAGUUCCCUCUAGAACGAAUAAAAUGACUGACAUUAGAACCAUCCAUGGAGCAGUGUAACUCAACUUGGGAAUACGAACGCCAUAAAUAGGUACCAGUUGAAUGCUUAGGGACAUGAAAAACACAGCAAAUAGCAUAUCCCACAACCUUAUUCAUAUUAUACAAAUAUGAAGGCCUUGUGACUGUUAUUGAAGAACCCUCAUUCUGAUACAUGAACCACUCUGGAAUUUCACUUCCUGGAACAACAAUGCUAAAUUUAUGGCUUGGAUCUGACACUGCCUGCAACAGAAAAACAAAAAAUGAACAGGUCCAUACCAUUGCUUAAUUGUCAGGCAUAAUCUUGGCAUAGCUGGAAGAAACGGAGUGAGAGACUGACCUCAAGGUACUCUCGUAGCAUCGAAAUUGCAAAACUGUUGUUCCCUGGCAAUUUCAAGCUAUCUAUACAAUUAAUCAUUGUGUGGUCGGACUUACCUAGUUUUAAAGCACCAGAUAAUGUCACCAAUGAAGAACAACCAUUCACUGUAACUACGUUUAUGCUAGAUGGAAGUUGUGGCAGAGAUUGAAGCCUUUUACAAUCUUCCAACUCUAGGUUUUUAAGAUUUAAAAGACCGUUAAUACUUGCUGGCAGCGUAACAAAUUUGUUUUUACUCAGAUACAACUCGUUUAAUGAGUGUAAGUUGCCAAUAUCACUCGGGAUUGCUCCUUCCCCUAGGCCACAGUCACUGAGAUCUAAUUUUGUUAAAGAGCACAAACCUGACAGAGAAGGCAACAUUAAAUCCACAGGACAUGAACUCUUUCCCAUCAAAUUGAAGGGAAGGAACAAAUGCCAUGAUGCAGCUGAUGGUGGCCCAUUGCACCCUAAAAAAGAGAGUGUUCUAAGAUUGUCCAUAAGAAAAAUGGAGGAUGGAGGUCGUCUUAUAGCUGUUCCGCUUAUAUCAAGUUCUUCCAAACUUUCUACUUGCCCAAGCGUCUCUGGCACAUUUUCAAGUUUGGAGCAGCCAGAGAGAUUCAAAGUUUUUAGUGAUUUCAAACCGUUUAUAUUGCUGGGAAGUCUCACGAGACUUUUGCAGUCAUUCAAAGUCAACUGAACAAGUCCAGAUAGAAGUUCAAUUGAUAGUGGCAGUUCUUUGAUAUCAGUUCCAUCCAAAAGAAGCUCCCGCAGACACUCCAUACUUCCCGCAACGUGUGGAAAUUUCCUCAAUUUCAAGCAACCAGAAAGAACAAGUGUUUUAAGCGAUUUCAUAAAAAUCUUUCCCGGAAGAGUUGUAAGACUUGUACAACCUUUCAAGUUCAACAAAAUCAGCUUAUUGUGAAGCAGUAAAGAUGGGUGAAUCUCACGUAACCUUGUACAUCCUUCAACAUCCAACUCCUCCAAAUUUGGGACCUCUGUGAAGUCUGGAGUCUUAAUCAGAUUCUCUGAAUGGCUGAGUUCCAUGACUUUCAACAUGUUUAAAGGCUGUUGAAAACAAAAAGGAGCUGAAAUGAUAUUUCUUAAUUUAUAUACAGCUAUAAUAAUAAAAUUGUCAUCAACAAUUAUUCACUAAAAAAAUAAAUUAGUGACAAAACAUUGAUCUUACUUUGAUUCCUUUCCAUAAUUCUUCAAUGCAGCUGUAACACAUUUUAAACUCCACAGUUUUAUCCAAUUGCAAAUUUGAUGGCAAAGAUUUCCAAGGAUAUCCAUGCCAAUCAAGUAACCGCAACUUGUUAGAGAGGUGUUCAAGGCCUUGAGGAAGUUGCAGACCACAGAUUUUGAGCAAUCGUAGGUUGGUCAUCUUUGAAAAUGCUUUCGGACUAGCACUUAAAUAAACCUUAUCUUGGAGAAAGUAAUAAUCAUCAAGUAUUAUUCCUUCAACUACUUCAGUUCCCUAAAUAUUAUCAACAAAAUAGUUCAUUAGAGAUUUUACUGGGUAAAAGAAAAAAAAUUUUCCGAUCCCCUUUAUUAGUCACUUACUGUGUUUUGUGACAAUACAUGGCAUAGGUCUGCUUCCUCCCACAAUCUGCUGCGUUUUCCAGGCUCCCGUGGGGACUGCCUCCUAACAAUUUGUCGACCCAUUUCUAGUAACAAAUCAUGCAUCCAUAGUCUGUCGCUCUCACAUAUUGUUAAUAGAGAUUUUUCAAUAAGAACACCAAUGCCAAUUACCGGUUCAAAACCACAGCUAUCGAGAAUUUUUGACACGUAAUCUCUCUUCUCCCCUUUAAAGAAACACGCAACAUCGAGAAAUAUUUCCUUCUCUGCUUCCUUCAAGCCAUCAAAACUUAUCUGGAGUAUAUCUAGAAUCUCAUUUUCAGGUUCUCUUUUUAGUCUUUCCAAGGUACUUGUCCACUCGUCCACAGGUCUACCAAACAAAAAAGAACCCAAAACCUUGAGAGCUAAUGGAAGACCACCAGCAUAAUUUACAACAAGUUGAGAUAGAUGAACAUAUUCUUCCCUGGGCUUCUGUGUUUCAAAGGCUUUCAAACAAAAGAGUUGGAGUGCCUCAUCAUAAGUUAGUGCCUCAAGCUUAAAAACUUCCUCGACUCGAUGCAACUUCAACAAAUGUUCAUCCCUCGUUGUUAUUAUGAUUCUGCUGCCCGGGCCAAACCAAUCGCGCUUUCCAGCUAAUCUUCGUAGUUGCUCAACAUGAGCGACAUCAUCGAUCACGAGAAGGACCUUUUUUUGUCGCAACCUACGUCCUAUCAUGUUAAUACCGUCAUAGACAUUUCGUAUGUUAUUAUCCGCAAGCUUCAGUAAAUCAGAAAUGAGCUGCUUUUGCAAAGAGAUUACACUGCCUUCUUUAUCAUAUUUUUCUUUAACAUCAGCAAGAAAACUACUACCAUCAAACUCGUGGGAGAUCAAGUCAUAAACAACUCUUGCAAGAGUUGUCUUUCCUAGACCUCCCAUACCCCAUAUCCCUAUCAUACGAACAUCAUUGCACCCUGCACCCAUAAGAAACUUCAGUUUCUCCAAGCGUGAUUCUAUUCCUACUAGCUCCUUAAGAAUCUCUGACUCUGUACGAAUUUUACUUGAUAUCACAUUGACAAUUUCCUCAAUAAAUUCUGACUCAUUGCUGCAAAUUGAAAACAACAAGAGAAGAUUACUGUUGUUAAAUUAAAGUUUGGGUAAACAUAGUAACAAAUCAAUUCCAUAUUAUGUAUACAAUCCAAACUAUAUAAUAUUCACUUCAUCAAAUUGAAGUCGUAUAAGCAAGUAACAUAUAUUAUCGCGUGGGUCAGAAACAACAAGAAUGAGAAAAUUCAAUUUCUUUUGCUGUUUUCUUCUCAUGUACAUAUUAUUUCUUUCUGUAGGAGGAUAAAUUAGAUUAAAAGAGAAUUUAUAUCAAUUUUUUAUAAGAACAAUUAUUGCUCACAUGAAAUCAAUUAGAUGAUGAUGAUAAAUGUCCCAAAUGAUGUGUCAUUUAAUAAGUGGUUGAUAAUUCUUUAGAAGAUUCGAGUGAGUUAAUUAUAUUAUUUCAAGAACUAAUUGAUGGACGUCACAUCAUUUUGGGAUGGUUUUUUGAAAUAAAAAAUUUGAGAUGUGUAGCACUACAAUUAGCUAAAUAUGUAAUGAUAUUGAUGGUAGCAUUGGGCUUGCGAUUAUUGUCAUUGUUAUUAUUAACAGUUACUAAAGAGUCAAUCUAAGAGUAAUGUUUUAUUUUUAUUUUUUAGAUGUGAUUAAUAGAGCACAAAGCAACACAAGAUACAUAUGUAUAGUCUUCAAUAGUUCAGAACACAAUAAUUUAUAGUAUCAACAUCCAUAUCUAUUCAUUUGCAAAUAUUAAUUCAUUUAUAGCACUACUACUUUAAUAACGACACAUCAUAUGAUAUAUAUACAUAUUAAACAGAAGCUGUUAAAUUGAAAACAAUGUUGAAUCAUGAAUACUAAUCAUGCAGAACAAAAUAAUAAUAAUAAUAAUAAUAAUAUUUGAGAAUAAGAAUGAUUACCUGUCCUUCAAUUCCCAACCUGAUAUAUUGGCCACCACUUUUAAAGCGUGUCUCCACUUUUGUACUUUUUCUAUAUUAUCCCUGAAAAAUUCUUCGUGUUUGGUAAAAGCUUCUCCAAAACUUGUUGUCUGUUUCCUUACAACAGUUGGUUCCACAUCAUAGAAAAUUGGAAAAAUCUGAUCCUCUCUAUUUUUGUAUUCAACAAUCUUGACAAGUUCAUCCAAGCACCAAGUGGAAGAAGCAUAGUUUCUUGAGAGAACAAUAAUUGAAAUUCUUGAUUCUUCAAUUGCUUUAAGGAGAUUUGGUGCAAUGGAUCCUCCUUUCUCAAGUUGUUUGUCAUCCCUGAAUACAUAAAUUCCUUUAUCGUUCAAAGCAGUAUAGAGAUGACUUAUGAACGUUUGACGGGUGUCUUCUCCUCUAAAGCUUAAGAAGGCAUCGUAUUUCCUAUGAGAGACAUCUUGGCAGCUCGUGGAAGCCAUUAUAUUAAUUUGUUCCUGAAAAUUUAGAAUAAAUCAAGUGAAAUCCAGUGAACGCACAAUACCAUGCAAACAAUAAGAUUCAUUCAAAAUUAUGGGCAUCACAAAAAUGAAAAUUUUAUAAAUUAUAUAUAAAUUCUACUUUUUUUGACAACCUACACAGUAACUCGUAUGAAUAGUGACUCUAAAUAGUAUUGCAUGAACAAUAUUGUAUAAACAGUAAUCCGUGAACAGUAAUUUCAGGAUUAAUUAAUUAGAAAAAUUAAUAUAUCUACCGUUUUAAUUUGUUUAUGCUGAUUAAAAUAGAUCUAAAUUCUUUACACAUGAUAAACCCCAAAAUGUAAUAUAAAUUUUUUCUAGAUGCUAAUCGGGGAGUGUGCACACCAAUCUCUGCUUAAGCAAAUCUUGAUUAUAGCCUCUAAAAGAAAGCAGAGUGUUUGUACGAAAUUAACAUUCAAAGAUUUCUUUCAAUUUUUACAUUUUUUUCUUUUACAUCAAGAUGUGCAAAAUUAAUUCUGAAAAUAAAAGAGAGAGAUUUAUGAGAUAGAACUUACAGCUUUUGAGUGUAUUGCAGGAAGCCCUUAAAUGAAUUCCAAUGCAGUAUUAUUAUUAUUAUUACCACAACUCCGAUGCAGUGUUUGAUUCAAAGAAUUUAUUCAUGUAAAUAUCCUUUGGGAAAAAAUAAAUUAAGCAAUAGGAGUUGUGUUGUUGUCAAAAAGUGGCCUCUUUAAUAAUCAAUAAAUGUUGUCACUGCUUACUCAGACGAUGAACUUAGCAUCGAACUUCCUGGAAGCUUCAAGGAAUCUAAACGAAAAUUAUCAGGCUUUUCAAUUGUAUACGCAUCUUUGCCAUUCUGCCCAUUAGCCGUGUUGAAACCAUUGGAUUCCAUAUUUCCAUUAAAAUGGAGUGGAAUCCAACGGUUGAUAUUAAUAACUAAUUAAAAAUAUUAAAAUUAUCAGCAAUCUAUAGGAAUUAAUGGUAAACAUAAUGAUCUUUAUUACUGAAACUUUAAUGGAGUCCAGCCAGGUGGGAAUCAAUAUGCUUUUUACUGUUUGAAUUUGAUUUUAAGUAGCAAAUAGCUUCUUUUUUUUCAACUUUUAUGUUUGAACUUGUUUCAUUUUUAGUUUUAAUCAAUUCGAUUGACCCAGCACAAUGAUUUAAGGAUAAGAUUGGGUUGGGUUGAACAUAUUUAUUUGAUUGGUUGGUUUGAUUUUUUUUAAACUAAUCAAUAGUGGGUGGGUUGGAUGACCACCCUUACAGAAAGAAAAAUUAAAGUUCUUUAUCAUAGAAAUAUGCAAAAUCCAUACACUUAAAAAAAAUUAUGCUAAACUGUAAUUACUGUUUAAAAGCUUCCAGUGAAAAUUGAUUUAACUUAUAAAAUCUGCGUUGUGUAUAACACAGCCUGAUCAACAAAUAUUGUCAAAUGUUAUUUAUCGAGAUCCAAAGAAAAAAUUUACAAACCUGAAGAUUCAUCGAGACUUACGAAAUUCAAGGAGAUAAAAAUUAUUAAUUAUUAGUGUUAAAAAAGAGAAAAUAGAGAGAAAGAGAAAAAUAAUGUAACAUAAUUACUUUAAUAAUUUCUUUUAACAUAAAAUUAUUGAACAACAAAUUAAUGAUCUUCUUCUUAACUAAACAAACUAAUUGACAGCCUCUCAUUUACUUCCAAAAUACAAUAAAAAAGUUUUUCAGAUGAUGAUUGGAGAGCGUGUUUGCCGACUUUUACUUAAGCAAAUCUUAAUUAGAGCCUCAAAAUGAAGCAAAUCAAGGAGUUGAUACAUAACAAAUUAAAUUACCAUUCAAAGCUUUCUUCCAAUUUUAUUUAUUUCCUUUUUUAAACAUCCAGGAUGUGCAAAUUAAUUCUGAGGAUAAAAGAGAAAUGUAUAAAAUAAAACUUACAGCUUUGAGUGUGUUGAACGAAGCCACCUAAUUGAUCUGAUCAACUCCAAUGAAGUGUCUUGAUUCAAAGGAAAGAAGUUAAUCUCAGGCAAAUAUGUUUCUUUUGGAAACAAAAAUGCAACUUCCAGCUGCCCCAGAUUAAUUUAUAUGUAUUCCAAAAGCAAGUCUUGGUCAUCUCAGAAAGUGGGGGUGAAAAAAGCAAAAAAGCGAAAGGAAUCUAAAUUCUAAAGGUUAUACUUUUUAACUACUUCAUUACCUCAUAGGGGCGAAAAAAAGAAAAAAAUUAGAGAGGUGUGAUUAGAUUUAAACGGGGUGUAUUUUGCAUGCCGCGCUAAAAGCUUAUAGUUGAGAGAAUAAAACUCUUUUUAUGUUUUUUUAAAGUUAUUUAUAAGAUAAGGUAAUUUUGCAUCCUUCUAAACUUAUUCGGCAAUAACCCCAAAUGAUCUUUAAGUAUAAGAAGUAAAGUUUAAAACUAGAUAAAGUAUGUAUAAAACUGAAAAUUAAUUCUAAUUUUAUUCAUAUACCAUAUAUGUCUAGUAAUAUAAAAAUAACUUUUAUUUUAUUUUGGCUUGAUCUACAUUUUUAAAAAAAAUUAAUUUUUCUGUGUAGUAAACAAAUAUUAUGAUAGAAAAUGAAAAAAAUUAUAAAUUUCCAAGGAUAAAUAUAGAAUUCAUGUUUAAAUCAAUUCAAUAAAAUUUAUUCUGAUUAUUUAAAUACAGUUUUUUUUCAGUUAAUGAGUGAUUUUUUUGGCUUGAUUAGUGAUUUUUUUUGCAUAAUUAAUAAAUAAAUCAACUAUUUUCUAGUCUAGUUAACGUUUAAUGUUGUUUUAUAAGUUUUAUAUUAUUUUUACAAGUAUUUUUAAUUUUUAAUUUUAAAACAUCAAUUUACCACUUUUAUAUUGAUUUAUUUAUUUUACUUUUUAUUUACUAGCCAUAUGUAUAAAUUAUAAAAAUUGCUGACUCUAAUUUGUAUGCUUAUUGCUAGUAAUCCACCUCUGCUGUUGGCGGUAACUAGUUAGGAAUUCCAUGAACAAAUUUCACAAAAGGUUUGAACAAAUUUCACAAAUUUUCCAAAAAUGUAGAAGUCCCUCUAGUUCAUUUCCAUUCCCUCUUUUCUAUUUUAAGAAGUAUACACUACGGAUCAUUCUAAUUGCGAAUUUCGAUUCUUAAGUCCCAUGAGUAAAAGCACCAUUAAUGUAGGUCACGAGAGUAACCAGAGUGGUAAAAGGCCGGUAAAGACAACUGUUAGGAAAAGAAUUACAGCAAAUUGGCCGAAACUUAUUACUGACAACUAAUUGUAUUUGUAUACGAAACAAAGUGUUCCAUGCAAGUACGGGGUUGGAUUAGACUUACCCAAGAGUUUAAAAAAUAAUUAAUUAAGUGUUCUCACAGUAUGUAAUACUUUUCUAAAAUAGAUUUGGGUUAAAACACUGUCUUUGGUCUUAAUUUCAAUGCGGAAAAAAAUUUCACACUUUCAAAAGAAAAAAAGAAAUAAUUUGAAAGACAGUGAAGCAAUUAGCUAGUUACAAAUAUCAUAAACAUGUAAGUUGAGCAAUUAGUUUGGAUUCGCAACAAGCACUCGUCGCCUUUCUCAUGCCAAGAAUCUAUUUUGUCAGUCCCAAGUACUUCAUUGCAAACGACUUGCUAAGCUCCCUCAUCAGAUUGCCAAUCUUACUAGCAUCCUGGCCAACAAUUAACAUGUCAUCCACGUAAAGCAAAAGGAUAAUAAAACCAUUAUCACUAAACCUCUUCACAAAAACACAAUGAUCGCACGUAGUCUUGUUGAAAUCACGAUUCUCCAUGAAAGAAUCCAACUUCUUAUACAACUGUCUUGGUGCUUGUUUCAGUCAAUACAAACUUUUCUUCAACUUGCACACAAGUUCUUCUUUACCUUUGACACUGAAUCCUUCAGGUUGCUCUAUGUAUAUUUCCUCCUCCAAGUCACCGUGUAAGAAAGUUAUCUUUACAUCGAGCUGUUAAAUUUCGAAGUUCAAGCUAAUUGCUAGUCCCAGAACAACUCCGAUAGAAGACAUCUUUACCAUAGGAGAAAGUAUUUCUUCAAAAUCAAUACCUACCUUUCUUCUGACCAAAACCCUUCACAACCAAUUUAGCCUUAUAUCGCUGCUGUGAGUUGUUUUCAGUCUUCAACCUAUAAACCCACUUGUUCUUCAGUGCUCUCUUUCCCUUAGGAAGCUUCACUAAGUCAUAAGUGUGGUUCUCAUUUAAGGAUUUCAUCUCUUCUUGUAUGGUUUUAACCCACUCACUAUUAUGCUGGUGAGACAUGGCUUUUUCAAAACAUUUUGGCUCCCUUACAUCUGUAAGCAUCACAUACUUAUGUGGAGGAUAUCUAGUAGAAGGUCACCGUUCUCUAAUAGAUUUUCUCAAUUAUGGCUCAACUGGUGGUGUUGGUGGUUCUAGAGGUGCCUGGUCAACUGUUUUUGCUGGCAAACCAAGCAAAUUUAUUUGGACUUUGGGCUUUGGGGCCCCCAAAUGAGAUGAACCUAACAAGUGGAAUCCGUGCUAGCAGCUUGAGCUUCUGAUUUUCCUGCCAAAACCAAAACUCCGGACUUUAUGAAUUUGAAUCAUUCUUCGUCAAUUAAGGCUUGUAAGUUUUGCUUGAAUUUGAAGUAGUCAUGCAAAACGGAGAAACUUUGCGAAAGUGAAUGUGCAUGGAAAUGGAUCUGCGCCAAAAGUAAAGCCAAGCAUUCAAGCAUGAUAAAAUUAAGAUCAUGUUAUUAGAGAACCUACUAUCAAAACUGAACCUGUGAUCGAGCCAAAAGAAGUGGCCACAUAAGAUUUGAAUUUGCUAUUAUUUGAUUUAACUUUUUCAGUUGUUAAUUGUAGGACUGGUAAGAAUCUGAGCCUAAGUUUCCUCGACCAGUUAUGCUUUUCAUUACUUGCUAACCUUAUCAACAUUCUUGUUCCAUGAGUCUAAUAACAUUAUGUUGAACAACACCGAAAGCAAUUCACAUAGAAGUAAUUGUUGAAAAACUGAGGAUGAUUAAAUUGUUCAAAACUAAAAUUAUGUGGGCAACAGAAGAAUUUUACUAAAAUGAAGGACUUCAUUGAUAUUAUUUACCCUACCACAAUUUGAAAAUGAGGAAUGGAAGACUCAUUCUAAGGAGGAGGUAGUAGUGAGUCUCUUAUUUGCUGGAUUGAUCAUUUUACCCCUCUCCAAAAAUCAAAAUGUUCAUUUUAUCCUCAUUUAUGAUUAAUUAAUAUAUUAUUAUAAUUAAUUAUUAACAAUAAUUAUUAAUAGUACUUAUAUUUAAUUAAUAAUAAUUAUAAAAUAUUACUAUAAUUGAAGAAUUAAUAUAGUUAUUAUUAUUAAUUAAUAUAUUAAUUAUUAUUAACAAUAAUUGUUAAUAGUUAUAAUUUUUAAUAAAUAAUCACAAUAAUUAAUAUUUAUUAUUAAUUAAUAUAUUUUAUAAUUAGUAUAUAAAUAUAAUUAAAUUAUGUAUUAUUAACAAUAAUUAAUAAUAAUAAUAAUCAUCAUCAUCAUUUUUAAUAAAUAAUCGCUAUAAUUAAAAUAUAAAAUAAUAAUGAUGAGAAUAGUUCAUUAUGUACUUUAUAGUAAUAUGUUACAAUGUAACUCAUUCUAAUUCUAAUUCAAAGACAAAGUAAAUACAUUAAUGGCAAUUCAGCUCAUUCCGAUUCUAAUUCCUGCAGUUCAAGUAAAAAACGUAUUUUAAUUCCCAUUAUCCAUACUCAUUUCAGCUCAUCCCAUUCUUACUCAUUCUAAUUUCAGCCCAUUCCGAUUCCAAUUUAGUAAACGCAAUAUAAAAUGGAUUGGAAUCCAAUGGUUGAUAUUAAUAAUUAAUUAAAAGUAGUUAAAACUAUUGACAAUCUACAGGAAUGGUAACUUUUAUUCGUUAGAUUUCAGUUGGGUCCUUACAAGAUAUUGGAUCAUUUUGGUAAUAUUAUAGUUUUUAAAAUAAUUACUAUUAAUUGUAUUAUAGAAAUAAUCAACUAUAAAGAUAACCAAUUAAACGUUUGAUGCAAUUUUCAAAAGUUCUAUGAAUUUUAAAAACAAUUGUAUGCGUUUUGUAAAUCUUACUAUUAAAUUAUAAUAAUAUUAUAAAUAACAUGAAUGUAAAUGAUUGUAAGUGAACAUAAUUUUGAAUAAAAUUUAUUUACAUAUUUAUAAUAUGCAUAUAAAUUAUUUUUUAUUGUGUAUAUAUAAUAAUUGAUAUUUAAAGUAAAUAUUUUUAUUAUUAAUUUUAUUUUUUAUUUCGCUAUCUCAAUAUAAUUAGUAAUAAUAAUAAUCUCUUUAAAGUUAAUGAUUUACUUUCCUAGUUAGUAAGGAUAAUUCAAUAGAAUAAAUUUAAAAAUCAAUUUAUGGUAAUGAAAAUAAAUAUGCAAAAUAAAUGAAUAUCCGCAACACGAAGAUUUUUUUACGAGGAAACCUUUGAUCCUCACGAUUUAGGAUAAAAAUCUCAACAUGUUAUUAUGUCCACUUGUAGAUAGAACAAUUCACUAUGAAAAUAAUGUAAGUUAAAGUGGAUCAACAACACUCACAAAGCUUUGCACCUGUAAAUAUCUCAAAUCUACAUUCUAUUGUGUUAAGCCUCACAAACUGAAAUACGUUAUCUAAAAUACAUUUGAACAUUUUCCAAGUGGAUUUAGGUGGGCAGCCUUGCCAAGAUUUAGGUCUUGGGUUUGAGUCUCAUGUAGCUACGUCUCAUAGACGUUAUUUUGGUGCUAUGAGGAAUCUCCUUUUGUUCCUGUUUGGGUUUCUUUGUCGUAUUUUCUAAUGCAUUUUAAUCAUUACAAAGAUGCCUUAUUUUUUACUGCUAAUGCUAUUGGUAAGCCUCUACGGGUGGACCAUGCUACUACUAUUGUUAAUCGGCCCUUAAUCGCUCGAAUUAUGAUUGAAUAUGAUGUUUUGCGGUCGUUGUUGCCCAAACUUUGGACUGGUGAGGGUGAUGGCAGUUGCUGGCAAGAUUGUCAAUUUUUAGUGUGUUCCUUUAUAUUGUGUCUCGUGUAAGCAUCUUGGCAAGCUGCUGAUGCUUGUUUUGUUGCUAAUCCUGGGCUCUAGGAGCCCCAGCAGCCUGUUGGUCAGGUGCAGGAUGUUGUUGUUCGUGAUAAAGGCAAGGUGCCUAUAUCUGAUGCUAUUGUGCAUUUAAAGGGGGAUCGUGAAGAUGUUAAGCCAUUGAGGCCUGGUGCUGGCAAGGAUGUUUCGGUAGAUGCUUAGCCGCCUAUUUAUCAGGAUACUACAGAAGAUGGGUAUGAUCCAGUUUUUAUGAAAAGAGUUCAGACAUCUAAGGUCUCUAACCCUCCUUAUUUUUUAGAUUAUCCGGGUGUUUAAAGGGCUUCCAUUGGCGCUACUUUUUUUUUCAAGCUGUUGUAGAGGAUAUUUGCUCCAUGGUCGUGGGCUUCAAUUGCCAUUCUACGGACAUCCCUUUUCAGUCUGAUGAGGAGUUUAGCUUUGAUGAGAAUCUUGCAACUAAUGAAUAUUUUGCAUUUGGGCCUAAGGGUACUAGAGGGCGUGAUGUUGAUGACUUUAGUAUUGCCUGGUUGUAUGCCUCUGGUUCUAAGAAAGGUUUCACAUUAGUUACUGGCCCAAGAAUUGUAUGCUAUUCUGUAGCCGGUUGCGUUAAUUACUCCUAUCUUCUAAGCUUUUGUUAUUUUUCUAAUUGUUGAGUGUAUUUGUUCCCGUGCUUAGAGGUUUUGGAAUAUGUCUCCCCCUCCAUAUGAUUUUUCUUUAAUUUUAUUAAUCUAUUGGUAAGGGGGUCCUGCCUAAUCCCCACCUUAGAGUAUUUUUUAAUUAAAAAAAAAUCCGCACAAUCCUCACAAUUUUUUUUCCUACAUGAGUUAAACAUCAAAAUCUGCUGAGGAGAAAAGUUUAAGGGUAAAAUGAUAAUUGGUGUGAGAGAAUCCGUCUUAAAUUUAACACCUUUAAGCUCAAAGACCUUGUAUCAACGAACUUGGUGGAGCUAAAGACAAGAGAAGAAAAUAAAUGCUAAUUAAUUCUUGAUGUUUGAAAAAAAUCCAAUCUAAAACAUUAGCUUCUAACCCUUCAGAAAAGUAUUUCUCAAAAAUCAAGGGUUUAAAAGUAAAUUUUAAGGACAUAAAAGUAAGAAGUCACUAAUAGGAGUGUGUAGUGGGAGUGGGAGUAGGGUAUUUACUUAGACUAAAUGAAAGUAUGGAUUGUCAAUCAGAAUCCCAAUUAUUUGUUUACUUUGUCUUGGAUUGGGAGUAAAUUAUUUUAAAUUACAAUUUUAUCCUUAUGUAAAGAAUUAUAAUUUGUAAUUAAAAAAUUAAUAAAAAAAUAUAUUUGGAAAAUAAAAUAUAUAUUUUAUUAUAUUUAUAAAUUAAUAACAAUUACUAAUAUUCUUAAUAAUGUAAAUCAUACUUUGUUAUUAUUUUUAAUUUAAAUUAUGUGAAUAAAAAUUAUUANNNNNNNNNNNNNNNNNNNNNNNNNNNNNNNNNNNNNNNNNNNNNNNNNNNNNNNNNNNNNNNNNNNNNNNNNNNNNNNNNNNNNNNNNNNNNNNNNNNNAAAUGAAAUAUUAUUAUUGAUAAUAUAGUACAAAAUUAAUUUUUUUAGAAUAAAAUAUUUAUUAUUAUUAAUUAAUUAAUUAAUAUUUAUUAAAAUUAAUGUUUAAUAUUAUUAAUUUAAAUAUAAUAUUUAUUUAUUUUUAUUUUAUUAAAUUUAAUAAAAUAAAUAUGUUAUAAUUAUUAUUUUUAAUAAAUAUGAUAUUAUUUAUUUUAUUAAAUAUGAUAUUAUUUAUUUUAAUUACGAGGGUAAAAUGGAAAGAGGGGGGAGUGGAUUCCCACUCCCACCUCCCCCCAUGGGAGUGGGAAUCUCACUCCCCACUCCAAAAUUAGGUGGGACCCACAGAGUGGGAAUCCCACUCACCCUUUUUUUAAGGUAAGUAAACACUGAAAUAAGAGGAAUCCACACUCCACACUCCCACUCCAGAAAGUAAACACUGCCUAAAUUCUUCCUUGUUGGGUCUAUCUCAUUUGGGGCCCAAAAUCCAAAUAAAUUUGCUUGGUUUGUAAUUAUUACGAAGCCUUGGACUUAGAUGAAAUUCGCCAAGUAAUUUGGCUAUAAAAGCAAGCAGUAGCCCCUGGGACUCAAAAUGACUAAAAUAAUCAUUUUUCUCCUAAUGAUUUUUAGCAUAAAGUUUUGACAAAAUUUAAUAGAUUGGACAUUUUAGUUUUAUUUGAAAUGAAAUGUUAUGAAUAAAUGGCUCUUAAAUAAUCAUAAUCAGCACACAACCAGCAAAUUCAAGGAGCAGAAAACCAAGAGAACAAAAUUUCCUCUUAAAUUAAUUCAAAUUGAAUUUUAUAUAUGAAAAAAUAAGACAUAAAUAUGUAAGACAUUUAUUCUUGCAAAGCAAACGCUUAGAUACAAGUAAAAAAAAAAAAUGUAAGAAAAUUAACUUGCAUGUUUGAGCUUAUUGUAAGCAAUAAAAGAUGGUAAAUUUUUACUUGAAUUUCUAAUUAAGGCCAUGUUCAGAGUUGAAGUUGGACAGCUAUAACUUUUGAAUUACAACACCAAAGUGUUUGAUAAAUACUAACAACUGUAUCUUAAAAAUUAAGUUGUAUGCUGAAAAAUAUAUUAUAACUUUAUUAAUUUUGUGAAAAUUAUUAUUUAAAAUUAUAUUUAUUACAUACUAUUAAUUUUUAUUUUAUAAUUAUAAUUUUUUUUAAUAAUUUAAACUUAAAAAUUAUAGUAUCUCAAUAAGAAAGAGGACUUAGCUUUCUUUCAAAGAAAUCAAUGAGAGGAAUUUUUUAUUUUCUAAUUAAUUUCUCAAAAAACAAAAAGUGUGAUCAAAAGUAUAUGCCGAAAGCAAUUAUGAAGAAUGAUCAUGGUCUUUAGUGGUGUAUGGAAUCAAAGAUAUGGUUGACGUGAUGUUGAGGAAAGUAGAGAUUUCUUUUAGUAUUUUAUCAAGGGCGGCCUCAAUAUAAUUGCAUUUUAUAGCUCAAAGUGAAUAAAAUAUUCUUUUAGAAAAAUUCCACGAUAAUCAUUUUAAGAAUUUAUUCUUUUGGAAAAAUUCCACUAAAAUCUUUUAAGAAUUUAUUCUUUCGGAAGAAUUCCGUCAUAUUCUUUAUUAAUUUUUUUUUUGUUUUUUUAAGUUAUAGAAUCUUGUUAUUGAAAUAAGUAAAGGUUGAAAUAAGUAAAAUGUUGCUUCAUCAUAUAUUUUUACGAUUUUACGUGUUGCAUUACCGAACAUAUUUAACAUAAAUUGUUACCAACAACGGGAACGCAGCUUCCAAUAUCCAAACCGUCUCAUCAUCAGGACAAUUGGACGGAAUCUUCAUCACACGUGUCUCACUAUUAUUGGUUACCGUUUUGGAUCUUCUCACGUGCAUCCGACGGUCAAGAAGGCAGCAACUCUACGUUGCCAUCAAAAAAUUGUUAAGGUUAUGAAUCUAUCCGCAAGGCAGCUGUAAAUAAUUAUACAGGUUGAUGUCUCAAUUUUGGAUAAAUAUUUGUUUAAUCUAUAUAUUUUUGUUUAAGUAUCUGUUUAGUUUUUAUAUUUUAAAAAAGUGUCUCAAGAGAUCACUGCUGUUAAGUAUAUUACACUCAUACACUUGUUUUUUCUUUACUUUUAUAGGAAUACACUUGCAACAAUAUUCUUGAGGAUGUAAAUUAAUUUAUCUAUAAAGAAAGUUAAAGUAAAAAUAAAUAUAUUUUUUUUAUUUUACUUUUGGAAUUAAUUUAGUAGAUUAAUUUUUUAAAUAAUUAUUACAGAGACUAUAAUUGCAAGGGUAUUAAAUAUUGCUUUAAGUUAGCUAGUAUUAAUUUUAUUUUAAAUCAUUGGAAGAUUGCUAUAAGAGUAUGAAAAAUACCAGUUCAUUCAAACUAAUAGUUAUUGGUUAAUUGCUAAUAAAUAACUACGGUUAAAUUUGUUAAUUAACAUUUUUCAUAGAUUAAUUAAUUAAUGUCUCCAAAAUUGUUGUAAGGGCAUUAUUAUAAAACAUAAGAAAAACAAAGGGCAAUAGUACAUAUAUUCAAUAAGUAGGGUGUCUUGAGAUAUUUUUCGAAAUAUAAAAAAUAAACAUAUAUUUAACAUAAAAUAUAUGGACUAUUCGAACAUUUACUCUCACAACUUUUGAUGUGAUUAAUAAAGGAUAAGAGCAUAUUAAAAAAGUAAUUUCUACUUAAAUUUAUAAUAGUUAUGCGAAAUAGAAAAGCUUUGUUAUAGAACGAACCCGCUAUCAAACCCGAAGCUUGAUCCUAAGCUGAGGUUUGUAUUGUACAACUCCUAUCAUUGUCUAAAUCCAGAUUCUAUAAAAUCCAAACGUCGAGAAAAAGUUCUCCGAACAUCAGAAAUGCCUUGCAACAGUUGCUAGAUAGCUGGACCCGGCACCCGGCACCCGGCUAAUGGACUGUUUAACAACAUUAAAUUUUUUUAUUUUAUUUUACACUCAUUAUUCAAUCCGCCAAUCAUUGUUUUUGAUCCAUCUGUGUAAAUCACGACACAAGUAAACUUUUUACUGUACGUUUAUUAUUCAAUUCCAUUUUUCUCCAAAAAAAUUUAGUAUGCACAUUUUUUUCAAAUUUGUGGCAUGCAAGUAAAGUAGAGCUCGAAUCUAAAACUCGAGUCUUAGAAAAAAUUAUAAUUGGAGCCAGUCUAGCCUCUAAGAUAGUAUGUGCCCUUUUUCUUCAAUUUGCAGCUUUUUUGUCAGACCUAAAAUUGAUUUAAUUUGUAAUGUUACCUAACUGGUGGUGAAGAAACAGCAGCCAUUACAUCAGAAAUCGCUAGUGCAGUUCAAGUAAAUUCAUGUAAAGCAAACCCUGAGAUACAAGUAAAAUUGAAAAUGUAAGAAAAUUAACUUACAUAUCUGAGCUUAUUGGAAGAUAAAGCAAUCAAAGAUGAUAAAUUUUUACUUGAAUUUCCAAUUAAGUUUGUUUCAAAGAAAUAAAUCAGUGAGAAGAUUUUUAUCUGUUCUAAUUAAUUUCUCAAAGACAAAAAGUUUAAUCCAAAGUGUAUGCCGAAAGUAAUUAUGAAGAAUGAUUAUGGUCUUUAGUGGCGCAUGAAAUCAAAGAUAUGGUCGACAUGAUAUUGACAAAUGCAAGGAUUUCUUUAAGCAUUUUAUUUAGCGAGUCUUCAAUGUAAUUACAUUUUAUACGGCAAAGUGAAUAAAAUAUUCUUUUAAAAAAAUUUCACUUUAAUCUUUUUAGAAUUUAUUCUUGUGGAAAUAAGGGAGGAUGGGUUUGUGUUUUUUCAAUUGAGUUUGAUAUAUUGAUUUCACAAAUAUUCAUGUCUUGUUUUUUGGUUGGUGCAUACUUUAAUGACUUUGUUUUGCGGUUCUUGUGUUGUAUGUACAUAUGUGCGUCUCAUUCUGAUUCUCACAACUCACAAAUGGCAUCGUUGUUUGUUUCUGAAUCACAACUCAAUUGAUUAAAUUAUUCUUUUAGAAUAAUUUAUUCUUAUAAAUUUCACUUAAAUUUAUAGUAGUCAUGCAAAAGAGAGACUGUAAAAACAAUAAGGGACAAAUAGUAAAUAUUGAUUACACCAUAAGAAAAUUGGGAAUCUCCCAUAAAAUAAAUAUUAAGAUAUGUGCAUAUGAGAUUAUUAUAGAACGAACCUGCUAUCAAACCCGAAGCUUGAUCCUAAGCUGAGGUAUGUAUCGUAAACUUAUAAUCCUUUUUUUUUCUAAUUCGUCCGUGAAAAUUACAACAAAAGUAUUUUUUUUUUUUAUUGUACAUUCAUUAUUCAAUCGGCCAAUCGUUUUUUUUUAAUCCAUCUGUAAAUUUUUUAUUGUACAUUUAUUAUUCAAUUCCAUUUUUCUCCAAAAAAAUUCAUUUGGUAAGCACAUUUUUUCAAAUUUGUGGCAUGCACAUAAAGUAGAGCUCGAAUCUAAAACUUGAGUCGUAGAAAGGCUUCCUUUAUAAUUGGAGCUAAAUCUUGCCUCUAACAUAGUACGUGCCCUUUCUUCAAGUAAAUUCAUGUAAAGCAAACCCUGAGAUGCAAGUAAAAUUGAAAAUGUAAGAAAAUUAACUUACAUGUUUGAGCUUAUUGGAAGCAAUCAAAGAUGAUAAAUUUUUGCUUGAAUUUCCAAUUAAGUUCGUUUCAAAGAAAUCAAUCAGUGAGAGGAUUUUUAUGUGUUCUAAUUAGUUUCUCAAAGAUAAAAAGUUUAAUCAAAAGUGUAUGCCGAAAGUAAUUAUGAAGAAUGAUUCUGGUCUUUAGUGGCGCAUGUGAUCAAAGAUAUGGUCGACAUGAUGUUGACAAAAGCAUGUUAUUAAUGGCGUCUUCAAUGUAAUUGCAUUUUAUAGGGCACAAUGAAUUCCACUUUAAUCUUUUAAGAAUUUAUUCUUGUGGAAUAAUUCCAUUAAAAUAUUUUAAGAAUUUACUCUUUUAGAAAAAUUCCAUUAUAAUCUUUUAAGAAUUUUUUUAUUUAAAUUGUAGAAUUUUCUUGUAAACAGAAGUAAAGAUGGGGAAGUAAAGGUUAAAGGCUCGACAUUUUUUACUUGAAUUUCCAAUUAAGUUUGUUCAAAGAAAUCAAUGAAAGGAUUUUCAUGUGUUCUAAUUAAUUUCUCAAACAACAAUUUUAGUCUAAAGCGUGUGCCGAAAGGAAUAAUGAAGAAUGAUUUUGGUCUUUAGUGUAGAAAAGACAUGGUCUAUUGAUGUUUGACAAAGCUAGCUUCAGUAAUCUACCCAUCAAAGAAAGGAUUUCAAUGUAAUUGCUUUUUUAAGGGAAAAUGAAUAAAUAUUCUUUUGGAUNNNNNNNNNNNNNNNNNNNNNNNNNNNNNNNNNNNNNNNNNNNNNNNNNNNNNNNNNNNNNNNNNNNNNNNNNNNNNNNNNNNNNNNNNNNNNNNNNNNNNNNNNNNNNNNNNNNNNNNNNNNNNNNNNNNNNNNNNNNNNNNNNNNNNNNNNNNNNNNNNNNNNNNNNNNNNNNNNNNNNNNNNNNNNNNNNNNNNNNNNNNNNNNNNNNNNNNNNNNNNNNNNNNNNNNNNNNNNNNNNNNNNNNNNNNNNNNNNNNNNNNNNNNNNNNNNNNNNNNNNNNNNNNNNNNNNNNNNNNNNNNNNNNNNNNNNNNNNNNNNNNAAAUAAUGGUUGAAAGCUUGACAUUUUUCUUUGAAGUGGCUUAAGGCUCGGGAAGAAAGGUUUACGGCUGUCCACUUCUCUUAGAAAUAAUUGGUUUUAGGCAUCUUUUGGUUACAAGCCUCACAAGUUGUAAGUUAUUAUUCAGAUUUUUUUGAUACGAGCAGUGGUCAAUAGAGUCAACUCAGAUAAAACUUAAAUUUCCCGCCCAAACAAAAACUAACAAACAUAAAGAAUUUGAAUCAUCCUUCAAUAAUAACAUAAAUAGCAACUCCAGAGGCUAGUAAUUUGAUCAUUUCUGUAUUUGUCAAUGCAUUAUGGACUCUAAGACCAGGCUCUAAAAUCAAAUAAAUGCUACAGUUGUAUGCAAUUGAUGAAUAGAUAUCAUCAAUUCCAAAAAUUGUUGAUAAUAUUACUUAAGUAAGGUUACGAAUCCAUCCGCAAGACAGCUGUAAAUAGUCAUAUACCCUGACGUAUGAGCUUUUUAUAUGAUUAAUAAAGGAUAAGAGCAUAUUCAAAAAUCAAUUUCUACUUAAAUUGAUAGUGAAUGUGUAUAUCACUGUGCAGAAGUAAAUAAAGUAUGCAAGCAUGAUAAAACAAAGUUCAUGAUAUGUGCCUAUGAGAUUAUUAUAGAAUGAACCUGCUAUAAAAAAUGAUGCAGUGACUAAGCUGGAAGAAAAGGCCACUUAAGAUGUGAAUUUGCUGUUAUUUGAUUCAACUCUUGGCAUGGCUCUUGAGGUUUGAAUCAGCUUAUGGCAGGCAAGUGAGCAAGCUGAUAUUGCUGUUGUAGAUAGCUUGAUGCCCUUAUCAACAUUCUUCUUCCAUGAAUCUGAAUCUUUUGGUCGAAGAUAUUGAUAGCAAUGCACAUAGAAGUAAUACGGCACUGCAUGUUAUAAAGGAAAUUAUUAAUUUUGUAAAGUACCUUAGCGAUUCUGCUUUUGCUAACUUUGUUACUGUCUCCACUGCACUCUGUUCCACAUAGUCGAAAUCAUUCUGCAUUUUGACCUGAUUCUAACAAGACAAUCUAACUUCCAAGCUUUCAAAUUUCCCCAAGGUCUCUGGCACAUUUUUAAGUUUGGAGCAGCCAGAGAGAUACAAUGUUCUAAGCAAUCUCAAACCAUUUAUGGUACUUGGAAGACUCUUGAGAUUUUUACAAUCUUUCAAAUUCAACAAGACAUUGCCAGAAAGAAGUUCAAUAGAUGCUGGCAAUCCUCUUAUAGCAGUUCCUUCCAAAUGAAGCUCCAAGAGCUGAUCCCUGCUUGAAGUUUUCUCUGGGAACUCUCUGAAUUUCAAAGGGCUGGAGAGAUUCAAAGUUGAUAGAUAUUUUAGAGCACUUAUGGUCCGUGGAAGACACUCGAGAUUUUUGCAGCCAUUCAGAGUCAACUGAGCAAGUCCAAAUAGAAGUUCAAUUGAUAAUGUUAAUAUCAGUUCCAUCCGAAAGAACUUCCCACAACGUCUAGAAAUUUCUUCAAUUUCCAGCAACCAGAAAGAACAAGUGUCUUAAGAGAUUUCAUAAAGAUCUUGCCUGGAAGAGUUGAAAGACUUGUACAACCUUUCAAAUUCAACAAAAUCAGCUUCUUUGACGCAGAAAAAAUGAGUGAAUCUCCUGCAACCUUGUAAAUCUUUCAGAAAUCAUCUCCCCUAAAUUUGGUACUCUUGUGAAGUCUGAUUGGUCCUAUUAGAAAAGGCUUUAGCACUGACAUGCAUCUCUUUGUUGUUAAAGCGAUCAAAUAUGAUGCUUCAACUACAUCAGUUUCCUAAACAUUAUAACAAAAAAUAAGUGGGAACAAAAAAAAAAUGAAAGAAAGAAAAUAUUGAUAAAACUACGCAAAGGUUUCACUAGUUAAAUAAGUGAUCAUGAUCCCAAAAUUGCAAGUUUUCAACCUAACUGAACAUUUACUUGUGCUUUGUGAUAAUGCAUGGCAUAUAUCUGCUUCCUUCCACAAUCUAUUGCAGUUUCCAGGCUCCUGAGGGGAUUGCCUCCUAACAAUUUGUCUACCCCAUUUCUUGUAGCUACUCAUGCAUCCACAGUCUGCUGAAAUCAUCUACAGUUAAUAGAGAUUUUUCAAUAGGACCAACAAUUUCGAUAAUUGGGUCAAAAUCACAAUAUUUGAGAAUUUUUUUCACAUAAUCUCUAUACUUCCCUUCACAGAAACAUGCAAUAUCGAGAAAUAUUUUCUUCUCUGUUUCUUUUGACCCAUCAAAACUUAUUUGAAGAACAUCAAGAACCUCAUUUUCAGGAUCUCCCUAUAGUCAUUGUAGUAUAACUCUGAAAAUAUUUUCUUCUCAGCUUUGGAAAUUAAUGAUCUUCUUCUUCAUAUUUAUUCUGAAAAUUCAAAAACAUAAAUGAAAAUAAAGAGAACUGCAUGGCAUAAAAUUUACAACUUUGAUUAUGUUGCAACCAGCAUAGUAAUUUUCUUAAUAAGAAUUCCGACAGUUGUAGUUUUAAAUAUCAACUACAUGUCAACGAUGCAGAAUUCCAAGGCAUCUUCUAUUAAACAAAAACAAAUAAUAAGAACCAACAGUUGUCAAUUCUUAUCAACAAAGUCUUCAAAUUGACAUUGUGGUCUGUUGUUUAACGAAAAAAAGGAAAAUCAAUAGUUGUCAAUUCCUAUCAACCAAAUCCUCAGACCAAAAUUAAACAUGGGGGUGGAGAAAAGAAAAAUAAAAAUCAAAUGUUGAAUCCUCUUGAUUGUUUCAUGGAUAAAUCUGAUCUAGAUCUGAGUCCAUAUUUAACAUAUUCAUCUACCCAUUUUCAGACAUGCCAUGAAUUGUAAAUUAAGCCAAAGAUUCGCAAAAAGCAACAAAGAAACAAAAAACAGAUUCUAUGUUCAGCCACAAAUGGGGUAUUUCACAGCCAAGCACAAUGGUUAUGGAAGAUUGCUAGUAAACAAAUGAAGAAAAUUAAUUGCUUUUCACAGGUUCAAGAAUUAACACUAUUAUUGAUUGCUUCUCAAGUGGAAGAAAUAAUUUUGAAUAAAGCACAACAUCAUUCCUUCCAACAAGGGAGCGCCUAAGUUACGAUCAAUGUAUCUUACGUUUUUUCUUUUAUUCUUCUUGGUAAAUUUCAUUUGAGUCCCUUGAUGUUUCUUUAUUUUCUAUAAUUGAGGGAGUAUUUGUCUCCUUCCAUCUCUUCUACACCUAUUUUUUACCCUUUCCAGAGUUGUAUUUAUUUCUUUUAAUAACAACAAAUGAUUAUCAAACUCAUAUAGAUCUAUGAAUUCAGAAUAUAUUUCUGGUCCUAAAUUUAUUAAACCUAUUCUUUCUUGCUCUAAUAAAUCUAUUUUUUGAUUUAUUAAAUUUAUAUAUGUACUUACUAUAUUUUCCCAUCCUAAAUGCAUAUGUUCUGUACUGUUUAUUAAUUCCUGUAUUGUAUUAACUGCUUGGUUCAUAAUGUUUCAGUUUUAUACCAAUAUAUUAAAAAUUGUAUAAAUUUAUCAAUAAAUUUCAUUUUCUUUUCUAUCAAUAUUUCUCCUCCUGUGGUAUCUAUGUUUCUUUCUAUAAGUUCCUCAGUUAAUUCAAUUUCUAUAUUUCUUAUAUUAUUUUUAUCAGUUUUUAAAGCUUUUACCAAAUUCUUUAUUUCUUCUUUAUUAUAUACCUUUAAUGUAUACAAACUAUUAACUAUUGACUGUAUUGGGUCCAUAAUUUUGUUCUUAUGGCUCUGAUACCAUCUUGCACCGUGUGCCAAAAAAGUAACGAAAAGUAACGAAAAAUAGAAAAAACGAAUAAAAAUAAUAGAAUAAAGAAUUACAGAAAACUAAAAUGUAAAUAAAAAAAAUAUACAAUAAUGUUAAAAAUUUUUAUUUUAUAAGGUAUACAUAUCGUAACUUGUAUUACUAUUAUUUCUUACAUAUAAGGCAAUAACUGAUUCUCCUUCUAUUACCCUAGGUAUAUUAUUAAGAAGACUAGGAAAAUAAAAAUCAUAAUAAUUAUUAUUAGUUUCUAAAAUAUAUGCAGGAUUAUUAGUCAUAUCAUAAAAUAAUUCAAUCUGUAUAAAGUAUAUAUUAUUAUUUAUUAUACUAAAAUAGUAUCUAAUUUCCCUCUAAGUAUCUAUUUUUACAAAAUAUUCUGAUUACAGGUACGUGGCUUGUUAUCCCAAAGUGCAGAGGAUACUAACGCCCAAUAGGGAUCGUCUAUCCAAUUUACGUCAUGGGUUGCUUGCCGAUAUACCUUACAAUCAGUUUAUUUAUUUUAUUUUACUAAAUUCCUAUAUUUCAAGUUCUUCGUUAUCCGAAUUUUCUACGUAAUUUAUGUAUGAUGGUCCGAUUUCUCGAAUUUCAUGUUCCAUAUAUGCUAAAGCUAUGUCAAUUCCUUGCUCUAUUGUUAACAUAAUUAUAUUAUGUUUUAAAUUAUCUAUUUCGAUAUGGUUUAUAAUUUUUCUUUUUAUUUCUUUUGGUAAAUUAAGAGUAUAUACUGCUUGUAGAUCUUCUGUUCUAACUAGCUCUUCUUUACUUCAAAGAUAUGAACUUUGUUUAAAAGAUCCUAAGUUAAAGUCUAUUAUCAUCAUAUAGUCAUUAUAUGUAAUCCUAGUAGUAGAGUUUAUCAUAUAUUCUUUAGAAUUCCCAAGUAAAAUAUCGUUAUUCAUGUUUAAAUUAGCUCUUCCUCCAUCAAUCUCCUCAUCAUCAAUCAUCAACAAACUUCCACCAAAAGAUAAGGUUUGAGAAUUAUUACCUGAGUUGUUCUUAUUUCUUUGCCUUCCGAUCCUCUUCCAGUGACCUGCAGCCUGGUUGUCCUUAUUCCCUCAACGGCCUCCUUGCCUCAACGGGAUCAGCGGACUCGAGCGGCCUUACUGUAUGGAUUUUGAUCGUUGUGCUUGGAAACUUUGAACAAAUUUAGGUUUCUCUUUCCUUUCUUAGGUGUUUUUUUGUUUAUGAUUUCUGAUGGUUUGAUUCUGGAUUCUGAGCUGAAGAGUUGUUUAGUUAUUCAUUUUUGAGAGAGUUUUUUGGAAGAGAUUUCGUGAUUCAAGCUCUGAGAGCCUUUCUUCUUUUUUCUUCUAUUUAUCCAGAAAAAGAUUACAUUCUUGCCCUCUUAUGUUUGGGCUUUUUACAUUAUUGCCUACGUUUUAUUACAUUAUUGCCCUUCUAUCAUUGGGCUUCUUAAGUCACUGCUGACGUUACAUAUUACUUUAGCAUCUUUCUUUUUGCUGCCUGCCAUUUUCCUUAUCUUUGUCGGGCAUCUUCUUUAUGUUGUCUGCUUUAUCUUGUCGGACAUCUUCUUUAUGUUGUCUGCCACUUCCAUGAGUUGAUAAGCUUGAUCCAUAGUUUUACUGCUACUGGGGAAACGCAUAGUGCUUAUUUCAUUGAUGAAAUCUAAUAACAGGUUUGAUGGCGUAUGACUGUCUUCAGAGGUUAUGAGAAUGUAAUUCUGGAAUUUGAUGAUGGUUCUGAAAUUUCUUUUGUAUAGAUCCUUGGCUAUGCUCCAUAUGGCUUUUAUUCCUCUGGCUCUUCGUGUUCUGAUCCAAGGUUCAUUUAUGUGUGGAACAUUUGUGUAGUCUGUCCCAACUUCGACCUUGAAAUUCUUAGUGAGAUGACCUAUAGAGAUCAUAUAAAAGGCUUGAUAUUCUACGUUCUGAUAGUAUUCUGGACUUAUGGUGUAGAAUUUUAGAUAUAUGGGUCUUUUUGGGCGAACCUUGAUACUUCUUUUAUUAAUAAGUCAUCAAGGCUGGCUAUUUCCUGAAGAUUUAUAUCUGGAUAUACUAGAUCUAAAUACCCGUAUUUUGCUAUCUUUCCAACAAGGAGUGGGUCUGCUCCUUUUGUAGCAAUCAUUCUUGGAUACAUAUUUUUUCCUGGUGCUUUGAAAAUUGUAUUCUUGUGGGAACAAGUGGAGUACACCCAUGUCUGCCAUUUUCCUUAUCUUUGUUGGGCAUCUUUGUUUAUGCUGUCUGCUUUAUCUUGUCAGGCAUCUUCUUUAUGUUGUCUGCCACUUCCAUGAGUUGAUAAGCUUGAUCCAUAGUUUUACUGCUACUGGGGAAACGCAUAGUGCUUAUUUCAUUGAUGAAAUCUAAUAACAGGUUUGAUGGCGUAUGACUGUCUUCAGAGGUUAUGAGAAUGUAAUUCUGGAAUUUGAUGAUGGUUCUGAAAUUUCUUUUGUAUAGAUCCUUGGCUAUGCUCCAUAUGGCUUUUAUUCCUCUGGCUCUUCGUGUUCUGAUCCAAGGUUCAUUUAUGUGUGGAACAUUUGUGUAGUCUGUCCCAACUUCGACCUUGAAAUUCUUAGUGAGAUGACCUAUAGAGAUCAUAUAAAAGGCUUGAUAUUCUACGUUCUGAUAGUAUUCUGGACUUAUGGUGUAGAAUUUUAGAUAUAUGGGUCUUUUUGGGCGAACCUUGAUACUUCUUUUAUUAAUAAGUCAUCAAGGCUGGCUAUUUCCUGAAGAUUUAUAUCUGGAUAUACUAGAUCUAAAUACCCGUAUUUUGCUAUCUUUCCAACAAGGAGUGGGUCUGCUCCUUUUGUAGCAAUCAUUCUUGGAUACAUAUUUUUUCCUGGUGCCUUGAAAAUUGUAUUCUUAUGGGAACAAGUGGAGUAUACCCAUGUGGAGAAUUGUUUAUAUUCUUCUUCUUUUGGAUUCAGGGGUUUCUCCUCUUCUUCUGUAUAAGGGUUGUUUAUUUCUAUGAACUUUUUUGGANNNNNNNNNNNNNNNNNNNNNNNNNNNNNNNNNNNNNNNNNNNNNNNNNNNNNNNNNNNNNNNNNNNNNNNNNNNNNNNNNNNNNNNNNNNNNNNNNNNNCUUCCGAUAUUUAUUGGGUUAUGUUUAUUGGGCUCGUGUUUAUAGAGAGAGCUUUUGUUAGGUCGUCUAUGUAUGACUCUAACAAAUUUACUCCUUUUUCAUGAGCCUCAGAAGCUUCUUUUAAAUAGUUUAUUGCAUCAAUUAUGUCAGAUGCUUCUGUUUUGAGCCUUUGUACCUCAGCUUCUAUUUUCCCGAUGAUUCUAUUAACUUUGGGAUUCAUUCUCCAAAUUCUAUGUUCCUGCUUAGGAAAUCUGCAAGGAAAUUGUUAAUUCCUUUUAUAUGGACAAUUUUGAAAUUAUAAUAUGACAGAUAAACUUGCCAUCUAUGCAAUCUUCUAUACUGCGGUUCAUUUGGUAAAAUCCUAUUAAUAAGAGCGUUUACCUGAGAAUUAUCAGUUUCUACAAUAAAUUAUUUUUGGAGUAAAAAUAAUGAGAAUUUUUUAAUCCCUUUGUAUAUUUAUUUAGUUCUUUGUAGUUUAUUACCAUUCUUGCUUUUCCUCUAAUCUGUUCUGCUCUUUUCCUAACCAUAAAAACUGGACUAUUAUGCGGGCUAUUACUGCUUCUAAUAAGUUUUAAAUUUAAUAAUUCUUUUAUUUGAAUUUUAAAUUCUUCUCUAUCUUCUUCUGUAUACAUCAUAGGUUUAAGUCUUAUAAUCCUAUUUUCAAUUAAUUCUAUCUUUGCUCUAGGAUGAUCUGGUUUCCAUAAUGCUAAAGGAUUUUCUUUAUAAACUUGCUCAAGCUGUGAUUUUAUUGUUUCUAAUUGUAUAUUAUAACUUUGUCCUUUUUGUAUUAAAUAAUAUUUUUCAUAAAUAUACUUAUCACCACGCUGGGCUGGCUGAACUCUGUAGGGUUUGAAUUCGCGAGGGAUGCGGAGAAUAUGAUUACAAGGGGUUUUUAAAGUGAUCAUAUAAGGUGUUUGUUGGUAAUAUUGGAACUGUUGUAUGAAAUCAUUUCCUAAAAGGAUAUCACAAUCCAUAUUAUUGUAUUGGAAGAUUUGGUUAACACGUACUAUUUUACUUCCUAGUAAGAUUUCAAAAUUUAGAAUAGAUUGAUUUACAUGUUGUUUAUCUCCUGUAAUACCAAUAAUUUUCAAUUUUCCAUUUGAUUCCCAUUUAUUAGAUAAAAAGGAUUUCAUAAUAGUUAUUUCAUUACCAGUAUCUAUUAAAGCACAAGUAUCUAUAUAUUUUUCUGUUAUAUUUAUUUGUAUAUAUACAGACAUAGGGUACUUUAUAUAAGCUUGUUUUAACAUGUGUAACAAAUUAUUGUUUGGCCUUGGAUUAAGAAAGUUAUCUUAUUAGGUUCAAUUUUGUAAUAUUCUAAAUCAUUUAAAAAACUAUUUCCUAGUACUAUAUGUUUUUCUGGGUCUGUAGUCAUGAAUGAGUCUAUAUAAUAGGCUACUAUUAUUCUAAGUCCUUCUAUUAUUAUGGGGACUUUAACUUCUUGUUUACAAAUAUGUUUAUUCCCAUUGAAGUCAGUAUACUCAUAUGGAACUUCCUUUUCUUUUACUAAGAGUCCUUUAUUUUUUGUGUGAUUCAUAUAAUUAUGGUUUGUGCCAGUGUCUAAUAGUAUAGGUACUUUUGUUGUAUAAUCUAUUCCAUUAAAGUAUUGUCCAAGUAUUUUUACCACAUUAUUUGUUGGUACUGAUUUAAUUAUUUGCUUAUCAGUGUUUAAUCUUCUAGAAGAACUUCCUCUUAUUAAGGUUCUUCCAGCAAAGCUUAUAGGAAUAAUGGAUUUUUCAUUACUAUUAUUUAAAAAUUGUUUUUUAUCAUCGAUAUUUAAUUCAUAAUUUAUUGGGAUUUUGUAAUCUUGGAUUACUGGUUCUAUAAAUGUUGCGAUAUCUUCACAAUCUUUAUUUAUCUCGAUGUAAGGUUUAUUACCAUAUAUUUCUCCGUAAUUUGAAUUAUAGAAACUAUAUAAGGCUGAGUAAUGUAUUGUCAUUAUUCUGUUACCUUCUUUCAUUAAAUUUUUCUUUAAUAACUUAAAAUGUAAGCUUAAUGUUUCGUCUAUGUUUUUAUCUUUAAUGUGUACACAAUAUCUAGGGUGACAAGUAAAUAAUAAUUUAGUAUAACAUAAAUUUCCUUCUAUUGUUCCAAGAUGUCCUAUAUUAGGAUCUGUAAAUCUUUGAUCAUGUAAUGAAAAAACUAUUGGGUUAUCUAUUCCUUCUUUAAAAAGAGAUUUUAUUAAGAUUUGUAUCUCAGCGAGAUAUACAUAUUGAAUUUUUUCUUUAGUUGACUCAUUUUUUAUUUUUCUCAGUGCUAGUUCUAUGGAUUUUUUAUUUAUUAAACUAAAUCUAAUAUUUCCUUCAGCUUGUGUAAUUGUCACAGCAUUUUCUUGUUCAUAAUAUUCAUGUAAUAUUAUUCGUUUUCUUUUAAACAUAUCUCUAAAUCUAUGGAUUAUUCCAUAUUCUGGUUUUUCCAUAUUUAAUUUUAAAAGUUUAUUAUAUUUUUCUUUGUUAAAAGUAGCAACAAGGCUGUAUCCACUUUUGUUUUCUUCUUUUUCUAUUUCUUCUAUCUCUUCUAUGUUUUCAUUAUCUAAUAACUCUUCUUUAUUCUGAUUCAUUUUCAGAUUCUUCAGCCAUAUAAACUUCCUCUCCUAUAUAGUCAGAUAAAUUAUUUAUUUCUUCUAAGUCACUUUCUAUAUUUUCAAAAUCUUCUUUUAAGAGUUUAACUUUUUUCUUUCUUGUACAAUCUGUACUUAUAUGUCCUAUUUCUCCACAAUUCCAACAUUUACAUUUGGACUUAUCUAAUAUUUUUCUCUGGUUUUUAUAUUUUCUUUUAUAAUAUUUUCUUCCUAAUUUUUUAUAUUUUUUCUUAAAAUUAUUAUAUUUUUUAUAUCUCUUUUCUUUAUUAUAAGAUUUUCUGCGUCUUUUAUGAGGUACAUAACAUCCCCAUUGGGUAGGCAUUUCUGUCUUUUCACAACAUAUUUUUGUUAUAUUUUUACUCUUUUUUAUUAAACUUCUUUGGAUACAAAUUUCACUUAAUCUUGUAUUUAAAAAUCUGAUCCUAGAUCCUAAUGUAUCUGGGAUUCUACUAUCACUUUUAUUAGUAUGUUUUUCAUAUUCAUUUAUGAAAUAUCCAUUCCAUGGAUAAGGUAAUUUAGAAUAAUACAAAUUUUUAUAAAUGUUCUGGUCUUCAUGACUCAUGAAUUGUGUAUAAUAAUAUUUACUAAAUUCACAUGUAUAUUCUUUUACAAAACACAUAUUACAGAUUGUCAGGUUUAUUAAUUUCAUUCUAGCAUUUAAUUUAUCAUAUUUUGCUUCAUUUUCUGUAUUUUGUAACCAAUCUUCUCCUAAGAAUUCACUAGCAAUGUAUUCGAUUAUUCUUUCUAUACCUAAUCCUUUAUCUUUUCUUAAUGCUAUUUUGGUUGAGUCUUUUAUUAAUUUUUGUGUAUCGUCACUUAAUCCUUUCCACCAAUUAAAUACAUUUCCUGUAAAACUUGCUAUUAGAAUAUCUGUUAAUAUAUUUAUUUUUUCUUCUUCAGUAUCUACAUUCCAAUCAUCUUUGGAUCCAUUGAAUAUAAAAAAUAAUUUCAUUUGCAUUCCCCAUUCUACUAAAGCAUUUCGGGGGUCUAUUUUACAAUCUAAGUCUAAAAAUGUACCUGCAUUGCUUAUUGGCAUCAAAUGGUCAUUAUUAGGUUGGUAAUCUUUUUUCCAAGGGGUAUUUUUGACGGGCGGAUAGUAUUCAUAAAAAGGUCUAUUUUUCUUUUUAUUUGUUUCAUAUCUAUGGCUAGGUUCUCCAAUAUCAGGUUUUAAUUCUGGACCUCCAGCGACAUUCAUCUUUAAUUGGUAUUCUUUUUCAAAUUCUUCUAAAUUACUAAGGUUAAUAUCACUAAAUUUUUCUGUUAAUUCUUCUAAUGUAUUUUCCAUUAUUCUGUGUCACUAGGUGUGUUUUCGUUUAUCUCUAAUUUUUCUUUUCCCUUUUCUUCUCUUUUUAAUUAUGCUUUUAACUUUUCUGAUUCCUCUAAUAUUUUUGGAUACUGGGUUUUUAUAAACCAAUCAUCAUAACUUCCUGGUUGAGGUUUUGUCAUAUGUUUUUCAAUGCUUGUCUCUAUUAUUCCUGAUUUUAUUAUUUCAAGUUUCUCAACUUUUUUAUUUUUCUUUCGGCUUAUCUGAAUUGUUGAUAAUUCUAUUUUUAUCUUUCAUAUUUCUUGUUUAAUUUCUCUCAUUUCUUCUUUAAGAUUUAAAAGUAUUUCUUUUAAUUCGAUUAAUGUAGUUUCCAUAAAAUGUAGGGGUGCUAACAGAUAUUUUUACUUUUGAGUGUAUGUUACAUCCAACGUAACAUAGUGUUAGCCUUCCAACAAUUGUGAUGAUAUUUUUUUCAUUCAUUCUAUGGCCCGACUCUGUUUUAUGUCUAAAACUCAAGAAAUUCUACAAUUCCUUCGUUCUACCACAUCAUUCACCCAACAACAAAUAAUCAAAUUCUGUCAUGCAUAUUUUUAUAUAGAAAUUUGCAAAAAUGUUAGUCGAUAGAAAAAAAAAUAAUUGAUUAAAUAAACACUGGGUUUGCACUGUGUUUGUGGUAAAAUUCUGUUAAAGACACGUGUACAUAAACUACCAAGGCACUGAAGAUAUGGAAUUUGAUAGUGAAGGAAUGAAUUUCACAAGAGGAAAUGACAAGAAGGAGCGUGCUUAUUUUGUAGCUGACAAACGGACACAUUAAAGAUUGCCAAUAAAUCAUUGGUAUUCGAUCGAGUACCUGGGAUGCCCCUUUGUGCAGACCCUUCACUCUCUUCUUGGUUUUGCCUUCGAUCAUUAGAGUUCCUGGCUGACUCAUUAGUUUGGCUGGCUAUUUGUGCUGAUUAUCGAACACAUAAACAAUAUAUGUAAACAAUAUAUUGACAAUACAUAUUGAUAGUGAAGGAAUCUCAGAAUCUGCUCACUGGCCAUGACUCACGCAGGACAAACCGUCACGAAUUGACCUUGUUGAUUGAUUGCUUUUGCUUGGGAAACCAUAGAGUUGAUGCAACACAUCAGGUGGGAUGCACAUUCGUUCGUAGGCAUAUUAUCGAACACGUCCUAGGCACGAGAAUUAUACCAUAAUUCCUCAACAACUCCUCUCUUGAACCUGGCCUGCAAAUUCCAUAUAAUCAUUCCUUUGUCUAUUUAUCGUUUGUUCUGAGCCCAAAUCAAGCUGAGAUCGAUCAUAUUCAUAUAGAUAUUUGUCUUUCAAAAUGGAACACCAUGACCUUCUUUUAGCGAUAAUACCCUUUAACCUCUAUUAUCCCAAAAAAAAUCAACACUAACGUUUUAUAAUAAAUAGAGAUAUAACAUUAAAAUAAAUGUAAUAAUGUAUACAUUGUAAAAUAAUUUCAAUACUUAAAAAAUAUUUUAAUAUUUUGCAAUCUAUUAGAUAUAUUUUAGUAUAUGUAUUUAAAUUUUAUAAUAAAUAGAAUCAUAAUGUUAAAAAAAAGUGUAUUAAAAUUUAAAUUAUUUUGAAUAUUAUGUAAAAUAGUAAUAACAUUAGUAUGUGAGUUUUUUUAUUGUAAAAUAUAUUUAAUGCAAAUAUUUAUUUAAAAUAUCUAAAAUAAAUAAAAAAUAUUAUUAAAUAAAUAUAACAAUUUAUAUAUUUAAAUGUAUUAAAAUAUUAAACUAUUUUAAUAUUCUUAGUCUAUUGCGUAGAUUACAUUAUUUAUAUAAUAUUUCUAUUUAUUAAAAAUUUUAAAUUUAAUUGUUUAAAGGGUUAAUGGUCAAAAAAGGGUUUUGGUGUCUUUUUCAAAAGUUUUGGGAGUAUUGGUGAUCAUUUCCUAAAAUUUAGGGGGUGUAGUCGUCAUUUUUCCUAUUAUAAUUGAUAUAUUAGAAUGAAAGAAAUAAAAAACCAACAAGCACAAACUAGUGAUACAAAAAUCUUUAUAUUAAAUAAUUCAAAUGAAUAUAUAGUUUAUCAAGAAAUUGAAAAUCCAAGUUGGACUGCAAUUUCAAUUAGGUAAUAGCGAAACAUGAACAUAAUACUAAGCAUGAGUAUAAAAAGGCUUUGCUCUUUAUUAGAUUUCUUAAAUUCUUGUAGCAUGAGGUUCUUCAUAUCAGUAAGGCUUUGCUCAAAAAGAAAAAAAAGAAAAAAUCAAAACACAAACACAAUAUCUAGAGAUGUUUAGCUACAGUGGCCUAUGCCUUCUUUGGCAAGCUUUAUUUGUUUUCUCAGAACAACUUACAAACUUAGAGAGAAAAUUGCAAGCUACAGAAUGGACAUCAUACAAUAUACCUCAUCGGUCAUCAGCUUGUUAUGGGUUUGUAAUAAUUUCCCGCCCUUUCUAACCGAUUUAACAGCUACAUACUGAUACUAAUGCUCUUCAAUACGACAAUAUUUUCGGGUCGUUUGAUCAUUGUGUAUAAGUGAGUGCACGUGACCAACGCGUGCACUCACUUACUAAGUUUAGACGACUUGAGCCGGACGUCGUACACGAGUCCUCUAGGAGUAACCGAGAGAUCGUAUGCAAAGAAACAACAGUUCAUACUAUCAUUUAUUAUUCAGCCGACAUUGCAUCUAGUCUAGGAAUUAGAUUUUGGUUCAUUUUGAACAAUAGGCAUAUGUGGCAAAUAUCACUUGGGAUUUCUCCUCCUUCCACUGGUAGAUUACAGUCGUUGAGAUCCCAUUUUGUUAAAGAACAUAAGCCUGAUAGAGAAGGUAACAUCAAAUUAGUCAUAGGAUCUGAUCUCCUUCACAUCAUAUUGGUAGGGAAGCACAAAUCCCAUGAUGUAGAUGAUAGUGGUCCACUGCUUUAAGAUUCUUCAAGAUAGAAACAGACGUCGGAAGCUGCCUAAUUGUUGUUCCACUAUUAUCAAGCUCUUCCAAGCUAUCUACUUUCCCUAAGUUCUCUGACACAUUUUCAAGUUUGGAGCAGCCAGAGAGAUUCAGAAUUUUGAGAGAUUCAGAAUUUUAAGAGAUUUCAAACCACUGAUGGAACUUGGAAGACACUCGAGAUUUUGCCAAUCUUUAAAAUUCAACAAAACAAGGCCAGUUAGAUAUUUCAACUGACAAUGGCAAUUCUCAAAUAGCAAUUCCAUCUAAAAUGAGCAUAGUUAGAGAUUUCAUACUUCCCCAAAACUUUUCCAGCUUCGAGCAACCAGAGAGCGUUAGAGUUCUUAAACAUCUACUUAUAGUAAUUGGAAGACUCAAGAGAUAUUUACAACCUUUUAAAUUUUGCAAAAAAUGCCAGAGAGAUAUUCAAUUGACAUUGGCAAUCCUCUUAUAGCAGUUCCCAACAAUCGAAGCGCCAACAGAUGUUCCAUACGUCCCAUGAUCUCCGGAAACAAUCUGAAUUUCAAAAGGCCAAAGAAAUUCAAAGUGGAAGGAAAUUUUAGAGCACUUAUGGAAUUUGGAAGACACUCAAUAUUUUUACAACCUUUCAAAUUCAACUAAACAAUUCCAGAUAAAAGUACAAUUGAUAAUAGUAGUCCCUUAAUAUCAGUUAUGGAAUUUGGAAGACACUCAAUAUUUUUACAACCUUUCAAAUUCAACUAAACAAUUCCAGAUAAAAGUACAAUUGAUAAUAGUAGUCCCUUAAUAUCAGUUUCAUCCAAAAGAAGCUGCCACAAAAACUUCAUAUUUCCCACAAUCUCUAGAAAUUUCUUCAACUUUGAGCAACCAGAAAGUACCAAUGUUUUGGAGAUUUCAUAAAAAUUAACCUUAAGUUCUGAAAAGGAUGUGAAGAUGUCCAUAGAAUGAACAUUAAGUUAUGAAAAGUCAUAUACCAUGCAUUCGACUACUUCAGUUCCUUAAAAAUCAUAAAAGCAGAUGAUAAGUGCAAACUAGGAUGUGAAGAUGUCCAUAAAAUUAUUUAUGCAUAGAUUUAAAGCAUAGAAUGUCGAGCAAAACACAUGUUUGAUAGAAUGAGCAAUAUGCUCAAUGAAAUGCCUCUAUGAGUCAAGCAUGUCAGAUGACUCAUAAGAGUGAUUCAGCAAGAGAUGAGAAUAAUAUGGAAUAGUCAUGAAGAUAAGAUCAAAGAUUGAAUUAAGCAAAUGUGGGCAGACUUUUCUCAGGGCACAAAGUCAUUUCCUUCGGAUCAAUGUAACGAUGACCAAAAGAUCUCCUUAAAAGCCUACAUUGUGCAAUUGAUAGCUUGGGCAAAGGAAAACAUUUUGUACGUGUAUCAUUAAAAAAUGAAUAAAAUGUAGGCUGCAUUACAGAAUAUGUUUUACUUUGCAUUAUAUAAUGAUAGCAAUUUUAUACUUCAUUUCUUGACUUUUAGAAUCAUGAACUCAAAAUACAUGCAUUGCACUUUGCCACUUACCGUGUUUUUUGUCAACACAUGAUGUACAUCUGUUACGUUCCACAAUCUGCUGCUGUUGUUCAGCUAAUGUUCUUACAACAUUAGCUAAUUGGUUUACAACACUUUUCGACAGCUACGCAUAUCCUUUGCCUGGCUGAUUGGUUUUGAAGGCUUUCAUACAAAGAAGUCCAAGAGCUUUAUCAUAGUAUAGUUGCUUAAGGACCAAUAAUUCGUCCACUCUAUGUGUUGUCAACGUUGCUUAUCUUUGGAUGUUAUGAUGAUUCUGCUGCCUAAACUUUCUAGCUAACCUUUUUGUGUCGCAACCACUUCCAAUUAUGUUGAUAACAUUAUAUACAUUCCAUUUUGUUAGGAAAUCUGACCUCCUUUUUCUGAGGUUUAUCUAACGUUGGCAAGAAAACUACUUACUUCAAAUUCAUGAUAGAUCAAGUUAUAAACAACCUUUGCAAGAGUUGCCUUACCUAUACCUCCCAUAUCACAGAUCCCUAUCAUACGAACAUCAUUAGGCCUUUUAUCCAUUAGAAUCGUUAGCUUCUCCAAGUGUGAAUCCAUUCCUACUACCUUCUUAAGAGUCUCUGAUUUUAAAGGAAUUUUGCUUGAUAUCUCAUUGACAAUCUCCAUAAUAAAGUCCGAUUCAUUCCUGCGGGUUGAAUAGAACAAGAAAAGAUUUGUGUUGGUGAGCUAAAGCUAGUGUGAGCGUAACAUAGUGUCAAAAAAUUACAUAAUAUAUGUCUACAAAACGGAAGUGAUAAAGUCAUAACUUGUGUUUGAUUAAUCUCUAGGUUAUUCUUCAUGUAACUCUUCUCUAAUUUCGCCUAUAACUCUUCAUAUGUAGAUAUUCAUUGAUCAAGUUAUUAUUUCAAUUAAAUCCUAUAAUUUUAACAAAUUCUUAUACAUUUAUUCUACUGUCUCUCCCUGCUCUUAUGCCUAAAAACUUGAUAAGUUCUAGAAUCCCUCUGCUCUACCACAUCAUUCACCCAACAACAGUGUAUAAAAUCUUGUCAUGUAAAGUUUAUUGGAAAAUUGUAGGCAAGUUGGUUGUUGCUAUAACGAGAUGAAUAUGAACGCUAUUUUGGUAAAAUCUUAUUGUUGAUACAAAUAUACACAUGCACAUGCACACACUGAACAUGAAACUAGUAAAUAAAUAUACUGAAUAAAUAUUGGCAGUUUUUUAAUAGUGGAGAAAUCCAAACAUUUUCUCACUUAUUAUGAUUCAUGCAGAACAAACAAAAAUUAGUUGAUCCACAUCUUAGAAAAUUAAUCAUUGAGAAUAAGAAUGAUUACCUAUCUUUCAAUUCCUAGCCAAAGAUAUUAGCCACCUCCUGCGGAGCGCCUCUCCAUUUUUGCACCUUUUCUAUAUUCUCCUUUAAGAACUUCUUCAUGAUUAGCAAUCGCUUCUUGACAACUUCAUAUAUGUUUCCUUACCACUGUUGGUUCAACAUCAUAGAAAAUUGGAAAAACCAAUUGUUGGCGAACAUGACGUGUUCUUCCAUUCAACAAUCUUAAGAAGUACAGUUUCUUGAGAAGACAAUAACUGAAAUUCUUGAUUCUUCAAUUACUUUAGAUUGUGCUGGUGAAAUGGAUAUUCCCCUUUCACGUUCUUUUUCAUCACUGAAUACAUUAAUUCCAGUUUUAUUCAAAGUGGACUAGAGGUGAUCUGAAAAGUUCUUGCAGUGCGGGUGUCUUGUCUUCACCUCUGAAGCUCAAGCAGACAUCGUAGUUCCCGGGAUGCUCAUGAUGCAAGCAAUUGACUCCACAGCCUCUUAUUGCAAUAAGUAACUGGCUGUUAAAUAAUCGUACUUCAGCAAACGAAAAUAAAAUACCAGCAAGUAAAUUAAAACAGUGGAAAACACCCAUAGUAUACCAGUAAAGUGGCAACAGUUUUGGUUCUUGGCAACAAGAGAAAAAAACAAUUCCCAUUCAACUCUUUAAUUGAAUUUCUUAUGUGAAUAAAUUGUAGGAACAGAUGUAUCGUCUCAUUGUUCAACACAUCAGGUGGGAUGCAUUCCUUCUUGGGCAUUUUAUCGAACAUAAUUUCUCAAAAAUUCCUUCCUUGAACUUAGCUUGCAAUUCCAUUUAUGGUGAGAUCGAUCAUCUACAUAUUUGUUUUUCAUCCUUCCAAUGCUUGAAUUUCUUCGAAAAUCCCUGCGAUAUAAUUUACUUGAUCUAGGAUGUUCUAACUUUUUUUCCUUUUUUUUUUAUGAAUCCUCACCAAAGUGAGGAGGUUUUAUUAAAAUAAAAUAAAAAUAUAGCAAGAAAACCAGCCAAACUAAAAUUACAAAAGCUAGCUGAACAGAUAGCUAGGCAGCCUAAAAACAUCCUCAUGCAAAAGAGAAGCAACAUGAGGGGUGCAGAGUCCCACCAAGUAAAGGAAUCCACCAUGGCACCUAAAUUGCUCAAACAAUCAGCUACUCCAUCAGCCUCCCUGAAGACACGAGAAAAGCGCAACGUCAUGGAAUCCAUGAGAGCAAUACAAUUAUUCCAUCGAUGAAUAAGAAACCAUGGGCGGAAGCCGCUUUUUACGAAGAUAAAGCAUAGUUAAAGUAGAUUCACAUUUGAUCCACGGCAUAGUCCAACAUCCAAAAGAAGCAUGCUCAAUCGCCAAGAUAACAGCCAACAGUUCAGCAACAAAAGCCGUUUCAACAUGUAAUGGACAAGAGAAAUCCCCCAGAAAUUCUCCCUCACAGUUUCUGAACACAGCCCCACAAGUGAAAACAUGCAAAGAAUGAUACACCUCUACGCAACCAAGGAUGUAUCGGAUUAAAUUUGCACUCUUCGAGUGAGUGUUGAUUCCAAAAAUAGAAAGAUCAGAGAUGAAUAUUAAGAAUGGAAAGAGAGGUUGAGACAGAGUGAUGAAGAGUAGGAAUCCAUAUUAUACUAGGAUUAGUUUCCUUAUUAACUAAAGUUUAAGACUUUUAAAUUCCUUUCUAAUUUAGAAUUUUGUUUCCCUUUCAAUUUAGGAUUUUGUUUUACUUCAUGAAUUAGGAUAAUUACUACUACUAUAAAUAGCUCCCUCUUGUAGCCUUUGAAAGCAGAGAUUUUUGAGUUUAAUAAUAUUUCAAUUUUCAAAUCUCUUUGUGAGUAUUUGAACAGUUAAUUCUCGGUAUUCUGCGGAAUCAACGAGUCUUAAUUCCUAAAUUCGCGGUAUUCUUUUGAAUCAACGUGAAUUUAGUUGUUCUUUUGUUCCGGUAUUCUCUAAAAUCAACGGAAUAUUUUGAACAUUAAACUUCCGCUGCAUCAGUUUGGUAUCAGAGCCAAAACCUGGUAUCACCAAUCUAACUCCAUCUACCACCAAACCUUUCCUUUUUCCCUUUUUGAUUUUUUCCAUUUAGCUUAAAAAAAAAAAAAAACCCACUUUUUCAGACAAACCACCACCAUCAUCUUACCAACCCAAAAUCUUUCAGAUCCACCCACCCUUACUCGAUUUUCGACCACCAUCAUCGGCAAUCUAAAACUUUUUGCUUAAUUACAGUUUCGGCCUAAAAUUUUAUUUACUUUCAGUUUAACCCCACUACCUUUUUAAACCCGAAUUUGAAAAAAUGCCUCCAAGAAAAGCUCGUGAUGCUCAUACUACAACUUACAAUCAAGAAGAUGUUUCGAAAGAUGAAUCCCUGGCUAGUAUGACAGCCAGAAUUGAUAUGUUAGCUGAACAAAUGGCACGAAUAGCAGAGUUACUUGACGAACGCCAUCGUACUCCAGAACGUGAAGACAAAUCAAGUGUAAGCUUUGCUAACCCAUUCUCUGGGCGUCGACCUAGAACUGAGUCUACUGAUGACAGAAGAUGGGAAUCUGGGUUGAGAAUUGACAUUCCCGAAUUUCAAGGAAGUGGUCGACCUGAAGAAUUAUUAGACUGGAUUAACGCCAUUGAGGAAGUUUUCGAAUACAAAGAAGUUCCUGAAAAUAAACUAGUUUCGCUUGCUGCAACUCGAUUUCGUGGAAGAGCAGCAGCUUGGUGGCAACAAACUAAGCUCACAAGGAUUAGGCAAGGCAAAAAGAAGAUUGAUUCUUGGGAAAAGUUCAAGAAGCACUUGCGUGGAGCAUUCUUGCCUCAUAAUUACGCCAAACUGUUAUACCAACAGCUACAGAAUUUAAGGCAAGGUAAUUGAUCAGUGGAUGAUUACACUACAGAAUUUCAUUGGUUGGUGGCCCGCAAUGACUUGACAGAGACAGAAGAACAACAGGUUUCCCGCUACAUUGAAGGCCUACGAUCUCAAUUUCAAGACCAAUUAAAUUUACUUGACCCAUACUCUGUUUCAGAGGCACACCAACAAGCCUUGCAGUUGGAGAAGCAAUUUAGUCGACGUACUAAUGACUCAAGCUUUCGGGGUGCUCGAAGUGUUGUUCGUGAUAAUUCAAACCCAACUUCCCAAUUUCGUAAUUUCACUCCUCCAAAUCCUCCAAAUAAAACUAGUAAACCUAGUGAAAUCGGUCAAAGCAGCAAAACUCAAUCAUCGGGUUCGGGAUUACGCUGUUUUAAUUGCGGAGAAAAUGGGCACCGAAUGACAGAAUGUAAAAAGGGAGGAAAAUAUGGUAAAGGCUUAUUCGUAGGCACAGAGGAAAGUGAAAGUGAAGACUACCAGGAGGAAGAAACUGAAGAGUUCGCUGUAGAGCCAACUUUUGAUAGUAGUGGUAGCACUCAAUCUGUUGAAGAACAUGGUGAUAGCGGGCCAAUGUUGAUCGUGAACCGCACAUUCUUCACUCCUAAAGGUCAAGACAAAGACAAGUGGCUACGACAGAAUAUCUUUCAGACUACUUGCACAAUCGGGGGUAAAGUAUGUCGUAUGAUCAUAGACUCCGGCAGUUGCGAGAAUGUCAUUUCGGAAGAAGCCAUAACAAAGCUAAAUUUAAAGACAGAACCUCAUCAAACUCCAUACAAGCUCACAUGGCUGAAGAAGGGAAAUCAAGUGACAGUAUCGAAACGUUGCUUAGUUUCCUUAUCCAUUGGUUCAAUUUAUAAAGACAAAAUUUGGUGUGAUGUUGUGGCUAUGGAUGCUUGUCAUCUAUUACUGGGUAGACCUUGGCAAUAUGAUCGAAACGUAGUGCAUGAUGGGAAGAGAAACACCUACAGCUUUAUGUUUAACAACACCAAGAUCGUUCUCCUACCUAACAAAGAGUUUACUCUCCAGCAAGACUUGGGUAAUUAUUUGUUAGGAAAGAAGCAAUUUAUAGAUGUUGUAGCAGAGACAAAGAGAGUCUACAUUUUAUUGGGAAAAGAGAGUAACGGUGAUUCGAAGAUUCCUGAAGCUGUGACACCUAUUCUGGUGGAAUUUCAAGAUUUGUUCCCUAAUGAGCUACCACAGGGUUUACCACCUCUUCGAGAUAUACAACACCAAAUUGAUUUGGUACCAGGUUCUACAUUACCAAAUCAACCUCAUUAUCGUAUGAGUCCUACAGAACAUGAGGAAUUAAGGCGCCAAGUGGAAGAGUUACUAGAAAAGGGAUUUAUCCGUGAAAGUCUUAGUCCCUGUGCAGUCCCUGCUUUAUUGACUCCAAAAAAAGAUGGUUCUUGGAGGAUGUGCGUGGACAGUCGAGCUAUCAAUAAAAUUACAGUUCGAUAUCGUUUUCCAAUCCCUCGAUUAGACGACUUGUUAGAUCAACUCAGUGGAGCAACAAUUUUUACCAAACUUGAUUUGAAAAGUGGCUACCAUCAAAUUUGAAUACGGCCUGGAGAUGAAUGGAAAGCAGCUUUUAAAAUUCGCGAAGGGUUAUGCGAGUGGUUGGUAAUGCCGUUUGGCUUAUCUAAUGCUCCGAGUACUUUUAUGCGAGUCAUGAAUCAAGUUCUUCGCCCUUUCAUUGGAAAGUUUGUGGUUGUUUACUUCGAUGAUAUACUUAUAUAUAGCACCAGUCACGAGUUACAUCUACAACAUUUGAGAGAAGUGCUUUUAGCCUUAAGAGCAACAAGUUUAUACACAGCAGUAAACAAGUGUAUUUUCUUGACCGAGAAAGUAUUAUUUUUGGGAUAUGUGGUGUCGAAGGAUGGUAUAUCUGUUGACCAAUCAAAAGUGGAUGCUAUUCGAGAUUGGCCUCAGCCAACUACUUUAUCCGCCACCAGAAGUUUCCAUGGAUUGGCCUCUUUUUACAGGCGAUUCAUUCCUCAUUUCAGUACUAUUAUGGCACCAAUCACAAAUUGCAUGAAAGGAGGACAAUUCUCUUGGACAGAGGCAGCUACUAAGGCAUUCAAGAUUAUCAAAGAAAAGUUGAUUACUGCCCCAGUACUUGCCCUACCAGAUUUUUCGCUCACUUUUGAGGUACAUUGUGAUGCUUCUAAGGUCGGCAUUGGAGCUGUUCUUAGCCAACAGGGUAAGCCUAUAGCUUAUUUCAGUGAGAAGUUGAAUCAAGCAAAGGCACACUACAGCACUUAUGACGUGGAAUUUUACGCAGUAGUCCAAGCGUUAAAACAUUGGCGACAUUAUCUAAUUCAUAAAGACUUUGUUUUAUACACUGACCAUGCCACGUUAAAGUAUCUCAAUAGUCAAGACAAGCUCUCUCACAGACAUGCCACGUGGACAGCAUUCCUUCAACAAUUUACCUUUGUGGUGAAGCAUACCUCUGGUGAAUCCAACCGGGCAGCAGAUGCACUUAGUCGACGAACUUCGUUAUUGACACAGAUGCAUAAUCAAGUUCUUGGAUUUGACACAUUUCGAGAGUUAUAUGCUUCUGAUCCUUACUUUGCUCCUAUAUUAGAAGACGUUGUUGCAGGGUUUCGCUCAGAUUAUCAUUUACAUGACGAAUUCCUUUUCAAGAGUAAUCAGUUGUGUGUUCCUAACUCAAGUUUGAGAUUGAAAAUCAUUUCAGAGUUACAUAAUGAAGGGCACAUGGGUCGUGACAAAACUCUGGCUCUAAUCGCCAACACUUAUUUUUGGCCUACUAUGAGGCGUGAAGUCUAUCACUAUGUUGAGACUUGUCGCAUUUGUCAAGUUUCCAAGGGUGCAGCAACUAAUGCUGGGUUAUAUAUGCCGCUGCCAAUUCCAACACAACCUUGGGCUGACAUUAGCAUGGAUUUUGUUUUGGGAUUACCCCGCACUCAGAGGGGUAUGGAUUCAAUAUUUGUUGUUGUUGAUCGAUUCUCGAAAAUGGCUCACUUCAUUGCUUGCAAGAAGACUACAGACGCUUUGACUGUUGCUCGCCUAUUCUUCAAGGAAGUCUAUAGAUUGCACGGUUUACCAAGUUCUAUAGUAUCUGACCGGGAUACACGAUUUCUUAGCCAUUUUUGGAAGACAUUAUGGAAGUUGACUAACACUCGCCUGAAUUUUAGUAGUGCUUACCACCCACAAACAGAUGGUCAAACUGAAGUUGUCAACCGCUCUUUAGGAAACCAUUUACGUAGUCUAGUUGGUGAUAACUUGAAGAUGUGGGAUCAGAAGUUAUAUCAAGUCGAGUUUACUUAUAACCGUGCAGUUAAGCGUAGUACUGGUUUAAGCCCUUUUCAGGUGAAUUACGGAUAUAAUCCACGAGCUCCUAUCGACUUGGCUCCAGUUCCAGAUUUAGUUCGCAAAAGCGGUAAAGCAGAAGACUUUAUUGAGCAGCUUCAGCAGAUUCAUGAAACUACGCAAGAGUCUUUGAAGCAGACGACCGAAGGUUAUAAAAUUAUGGCAGACAAAAAACGUCGAGCUUUAGAAUUUCAAGUAGGAGAUCUUGUUUGGGCUAUCUUAACUAAAGAUAGAUUCUCAGUUGGUGAGUACAACAAGCUUUCUGCCAGGAAAAUUGGCCCUUUGGAGAUUAUCGAGAAGAUAAAUCCUAAUGCAUACCGAUUACAGCUUCCUAGUCAUAUCCGCACCGCAGAUGUCUUUAAUGUCAAGCAUCUUAUUCCUUACAGAGGUGAUCAUGAUGAAGAUGUUAUUGCUGACAAUCUGAAUUCGAGGGCGAAUUCUCUUCACCCUGGGGGGAAUGAUGAAGAGUAGGAAUCCAUAUUAUACUAGGAUUAGUUUCCUUAUUAACUAAAGUUUAAGACUUUUAAAUUCCUUUCUAAUUUAGAAUUUUGUUUCCCUUUCAAUUUAGGAUUUUGUUUUACUUCAUGAAUUAGGAUAAUUACUACUACUAUAAAUAGCUCCCUCUUGUAGCCUUUGAAAGCAAAGAUUUUUGAGUUUAAUAAUAUUUCAAUUUUCAAAUCUCUUUGUGAGUAUUUGAACAGUUAAUUCUCGGUAUUCUGCGGAAUCAACGAGUCUUAAUCCCUAAAUUCGCGGUAUUCUUUUGAAUCAACGUGAAUUUAGUUGUUCUUUUGUUCCAGUAUUCUCUAAAAUCAACGGAAUAUUUUGAACAUUAAACUUCCGCUGCAUCACAGAGAGAAGAGCCAAGAGAAAUAGAAAGAGAUAUUUUAUUUCCUGAUACCCCAUACACGAAUUUGUUCUGCUCUACAUAUAUUCCUCUGUCCAAGACGUUAGCAAAAAUAUUACAGCUCAGCAACUUCUAACAGAAAAUAUGAUAGCAAAAACAAACCAACAAUCAUAAGGUACUAGCAAUUUCACCACACGACAUAAUCCUUAAACCACCCAGGGGCUCUUCUAACUCGUGUGCUUGCGUACCGUUCCUCAUGAGCUGAUUCUUCCUCAACCUGUGAUGUGGCUUCCUUCAUGGGCUGUUCAUAAUUGGACUCGUUGUUGGGCUGCCCUUCUUGUAAGCAAUCCGGUUGAUCCGACUGAAUGUGGAAGGUUGUAUCAAAGAACCUUCAGCGAUUUUUUACUAUAAACGUAAGCAUAUUUUAAUUUUAAUAUACGCAUUAAUGAUUUAACUAAUUUUAUGUAUGUAUUUAUAUUUUUAAUUUUUUCUCAUUCCUUUUUAUGUAAGCGUGAGUUGAGGCUCGACCCCGAUCCGGCCUUUAAACUAGACCUUGUUCCUUAUACAUGGGCUCAAAUGGACUUGGGUCAUUUAUUUCAAGAGUAGCCUUUCGACAUCCCUUAAAAUUUCUUAUAAAACUCAUUUUCUAUUAAAACGACUUGAAUAACUAUAAAUAAAUAUUUUUUUAAAAUUUUAAAUGGGAUUUCAAUUAAAUACUUAAAUAAAUUAAGGUUUUAAUAAAUAAUUUACACCCACAUCAUUUCAUAAUUUAUAUCUAUAUUUAUGAGAAGAUAUUUAAUUUUAAUAAAUGAGUUUAUAUUUUAUAAAUUAAAUAAGAAGUAUUUUAGGAAAUAAAAUUCAAUAAGUGGUGUUGUCUAUUACGUUUCAGACAGAUCACCAAAACUAUUGGUGUGUUAAACUUCACUUACUUUCAAAUCUUAUUGAAGACAACAUGAAUUUGAUCCAACUUAAUGCUAGUUUAUAUGAUGUUGGUUUAAUGCCUAUGUUGGGGGUGUCAAUGCCUUUGCAUUCAACCAUUUCAACUAUAGACAACAGAUCUCUGAUGUAUUUUCUUUGUGAUAAAUAUACACAAUGUGCGUCUUGCGACACUUUAAUUCCAAGGAAAUAAGAUAAUAUUCCUAGGUCUUUUAAGGCAAAUGCUUUCCUAAACUGAGUUAUAAAACUUUUUAACUUUAUAGUACUUGGACUUGUAAUGAGUGUUUCUUCUUAUGAAAAGAGAGGCAUCCAAAUUAAUAUUAAUAAAACCCCAAUGCAAUAAACAGCUUUUCAGCUUAUCAAACUAAGCUCUAGGAACUUGUUUGAGUCUAUAUAGACAUUUGUACAAUUUGCACACAAAUUCAGGUUUCUCAGCAUUAAUAAAGCCUUCUGGCUAACACAUGAAUACCUCCUCAGUUAACUCUCCAUUAAAAAAGGCAUUGUUAACAUUAACUUGCCUUAUUUUCCAUUAGUUCAUCACUCCUAGGCUCAGCACCACUCUAAUAAUAGCUAAUUUAACCACUUGACUGAAUGUUUUAAAGUAAUUCACCCCUGCCACUUGCUAAAAUCCUUUUGCAAUAAGCUUGGAUUUAUACUUAGCUACACUUCCAUCUUUGUUAUACUUGAUCCUUCACACCCAUUUAUUGUCAGCAACGUCAUGACCAGCUUGUCUUGGAACUAAUGUCCAUGUAUUAUUCUUAAUCAAAGCAUCAUAUUCUUCUUUCAUAGCUUGCAGCCGUCUGGAGUCAUCUAAUGCCUCUUGCACAUUAUCUGGUUCUUUGUGAAUGAGAGUAUCAGUUGUUGUGUCUUUUUUUUUCAUUUUGUUUAUUCAAUAACCACAAAACUGAUGUUGGAGUAUCUUCCAGCAAAUUAUAUACAAAACAGAAAUGUAAGUACAGUAAUAUUAUAUUCUUAAAUUAUGUCUACAAAUACAAAGUAAAUUAAAAUAAGAUUAAUGAAAUAAUAAAAAUGUAAAUAUUAAUGAUAGAUAAAAAAAAUAUGGGAUAUGAUAGUAAUGCCUUAGUAAACAAUAUUAUAGUAUAUGGCAAGUCCAGCUAUUUGAAGAGAACUUUAAAACCAUAUGAAUCUCAAAAAUUACCAAAAAUAAACUUUAUUAUACACUAAUUAUUCCGUGCCAUUUUCCUGAGCACUUUUGUUUAUUUUAGGAACGCAUACUUAAACAAUCUGAUCAAGCAUGAAAGCAUUUUCGAUUCAUGGAAGGUAACAACUUUGGAGAUGAUAUUUUGGUUUUGUGGUAACUUAACAUAUAUAAAAUAAAAAUUGCCAACUGAAAUUGAAGAUGCAUGCUUACUGAAAUAUUCAGAGAAUACUAAGCUGGCUUCUCCCUUUAUUUGAGUUCACUAAAUGGAUCCUUGAGGUUAUGGUUCCUCAUCACCUCAACAUAUGCAGCAAGGCUUUGCCUUGACAUUGUUGCUACAUCCCUCUUUGAUGCAAAAAAAAUUUGAGGGGAUCUAUUCAGAUUAUGAGUGGUAAAGCGAUUCCAUUGGAUUGUAGUUUUGUCAAACUCCUCCAUAUAAACUGGGUGGAUAUCACACCUCUCACCUCCGAUCCUGGCCAAAACACACCCCUGAGAAGUUACAUAAUUUAUGAUUAUAGUCCUCAAAGCAUUUGUACUUUUCUUGGGAAUGAAUGGAAAAAAUAUUAUCUAUUUAUUACAGCCCACUGUAUGAUUUUAAAGUUUUCCCAGACUUUCCCGCACUUUAAAAUUCUGGACCUGAAAACUACUCUAUUUGGCAAUGACACAGUCCACAAAGCAUUUGUACUUUUCUUUGGCUACUAACGCAUGAUAGAUUGAAAACGAAAACGAAGCUAAUGAGGAGGCAUAUUCCAAUAGGCAUUAUAUAUGAUCAUUAUGUUUUUUCGGUGAAGGAUAUGUUGCAUGAUCUUAGGGAUUGGAUCGUUGAAAAAAGACUUUGGAAUUGAUUCCUCCCUGUGGCACAAUGCCAUCAAUUCUUUUCUCUUAAUCUAAAGGAAUGAACUUGUCAAAAUCUAUUGCGUAAAAGGCUGUUGGGUUCAAAUUUGAAGUGGAGUACUUGAGUACUUUGUUUGGAGCUUUGCAAGUUUGUUAGUGAACAUCAAGCUUGUUUGGCAUUGUUAAAGUCUUGAAAAUAUGACAGGUGACCUUCAAGUAGUUGGAAGAGUUAAAAAGCUCAACAAGGAAAAUUACAAUACAUGGGCAACAUUGAUGGAGUCUUGCUUACAGGGUCAAGAUCUCUAGGAGAUUGUUUGUGGUAAUAAUAUGAGACCACCAACUGAGGAUGCCGCUUUAAAGAAGUGAAGCAUUAUAGCUGGAAGGCCAUGUUCGCCAUCAAGACUACAAUUGAAGAAGAAAUGCUACAACACAUAAAAAAGGUUAAAAUACCUAAGAAAACUUGAGAUACUUCUACAAUGAGUUUUUCAAAGAAGAAUAACAUAUGGCUACAACUUUUGAAAAAUGAGCUACUAUCAAUUUCAUAAUGAAACAUGACGAUUGACGAAUACUUAAACAAGUUAAAGCCUCUAUGCUAUGAAAUUUCUGGGUUAGAUUCUACUGCUGUAAUUUCUAAAUUUAGAAUAAAGAGAAUUAUUGUCAAUGGGUUGAGGCUUGAGGCUUGAGCUUAAGAGCUUUGUUACAGCUAUCUAAGGUUGUCCAACUCAACCAACCAUUGAGAAUUUUGAAAACUUACUUGCUGAUCAAGAAGUAAUUGAUAAGCAAUUGAGUGGGGCCUUAGUAAUGGAUGAUGAGGAAGCGUUUUUUAUUGAUAACACUACUAGAAAAAUGUCUUUCACUGAUACUAAGUUGUUGAUACUAAAUAAAAAAGUAUCAGUAUUUGAUGACUUAAGUAACUUUUAGUGUAUUUUACAUAUUAGUGCCAGUGGUUAUUAAUAAUAUAGUAUCAUAAACUUUUACUGAUACUAACAUAUAUAUUUUUAAUUUUAAUUUUAAUUUUUCUUAUUCCAAACGACGUAGUUUUACUUUUAAAAUUAGGGUAUCUUAAAUUCAACACAUGUGAAAUUUUAUGGCCUUAACGAAUGUACUAUUCGUCUAUUCCCUCUUCAUCUUCCCUCUCUCCCGAAUCCUUCCCACUCAUUUCAAGAAACCCUAAAUUGAAACAAAACAAAUCACCCAGCCUUUUCAGUCUUAACAAAACAAUUACGGGGUUUUUAAUUAAAUACCCUUUAAUAGUUUCAAAAUUAUUUAAAUACCUCCUCCCUUUUUUGUUUUCAUAGAUACCCUAACAAAUGUGAGUAAAGUCUGAAAUGUCCCUAAUGAAUGCAUCAAAUUCACUCAACUUCAUUGUCUUUAUAUUUCUUUCACCCAAAUCUCUUCUUGUUGCCGAAAUUCUCUCAAAAUCUCCUAGAAUCUCUCAAAAUCUCUCAUAACUUCUUACACAAAUACAAUUAUAUAUUUAUUUUUUUUAACACCCACUCUUUCUUUAACUGAAAUGAAGUGCAUUACUCAUUAAACAACCCAAUAAGGUAUGUUAAUGUUGUUGGGUUUUAAGUUUUUUAAUCUUUAGGAAAAUUUAGAAAUUUUCCUCACAUUAUAAUGUUUUAUUUUCACCAUUUUUUCUUAUAUGUAGAAAUAUAUGCAAUGUAGGUCGUUUCAUUAUUUUUUUCAGCAAUAUAAUUUAUUUAUGGUGAAAAUAUUUCACGUCGUGCAUUCCUUUUGAUACUGUGUACGUCAUGUAAUUAGUCAUGUAGGUCAUGUAAGUAAUAUAACCGUGUAAGUCGUGUAGUUUAUGUAAGUAAUAUAGUCAUGUAGGUUGUGUAAGUCAUGUAAGUAAUGUAGUCGUGUAAGUCGUGUAAGUCAUGUAAGUAAUGUAGUCGUGUAGGUCGUGUAAUUACUUGUAUAUGAAAUUUGAUAUUAUUAUUUUUGUUGUAUCAUCAGAUAUGGUUUUGGUACGUGUGCCUAUUCUCUUCAAUGGUGAAUGGAUUGAGCAAAAUGAUAAGUAUGAGUUCAAAGGUUCCAAGGCUAAAGGGAUAAUGAUACCACAAUCGACAACAUAUGUCGAAUUGGUGGAGAAGAUAGCUCAAGUUAUUGAUAUAGACACGUCAGAAUUCGAAAUCACAAUGAAAUUCACGCUUAAGACAUUUGAUCGUAUGCCACCAGUUACAAUUCAAACCAAUGAUGAUGUUGAAUUUUUUUAGAUUCCAAUUUAAUUUCACUUCUUUUUUCUAAUAAUUUUCGUUGACAUUUUAUGACACCAAAUCGUGUGUUCAUAAAUUGCAGAAAAAAACUAAAUUUGCACAUCCGACAGUUUGAGAAAUGAUUAAAUUAAUUAGUAUAAAUAAACAAAGUUAUCAGUGCACAAAUUUUUCAAUAUUUGAAUAAGAUACACUAAUGAACAUCGCAAUUAAACAUAUUAUAACCAUUUAAAAAAGCUUUUUUUGUUUUAUCUUCAAAGUGCUUUCUUCCUCUGCCCAAGCAUACAUGAGGAAUGCAUGCAUAUAAUUAAUCCAUGAAAUCAAUUAAGAAAUAAACAUCAACUAUAGGAAAUUAAUGUAAUGUUAUACACAUACGAACACCAUUUGCAGUCGUGUAAUCGUGCAAUACAUGAAGGUCGUGUAAUCGUGCAAUACAUGAAGGUCGUGUAAUCUUGCAAUACAUGAAUGUCGUGUAGUCGUGCAAUACAUGAAGGUCGUGUAAUACACAAUUUUGAAUCUUACAUAACCUUACACGACCAAAUCGUGUGUUACAUGAUAAAAUUAUAAUUAGCACAAUCCAUUAAUUUUUCACAAUUUGCAUGCAGCAAAACAACUAAAAAUUUGUUUUUGAACAUGCUAUGAGAGACCCGUAACUAAUUAAUCUAUUUUUUCAAUAUAAAACCCUAACUUUUUGUUUUUGAACUAGGCUUCUCUUUCUCAGUUGUGGCAGCUUCCCAUUCUCAAGCUCAAUUUGCUCGUGUUGAAGUUCGAUUUAGCAUGUAUGGAGAAUGAAUGUUUGUUUUGGUAGAGGUGAUGCCGGUGAGCGAAUUGCAGAGGUGAUGCUGGUUGAUAUUCGAUUUAGCAUGUAUGAGAAUGGGGGAUGAAUGUUUGUUUGUUUGUUUGAGUAAAGAUAAUGGAGGGAAUUGCAGCCGAUAUGAGUGUUUGUUUGCUUGAGUAGAGGGGGGAGAGGUACUGUCCGUUGAGUUGAAAUGUUUUAAAAUGAGGAUAGUUUAGUAAUUUUGUAUCAGCUUUUAAAGGGUAUUGAUAAAAAUUUUGGCAAAAUUAAAUUUUAGGGUAUUGAGAUAAUUUUUUAAGUAUGGAGGUGUACCUGCUGCAAUUAACUCAACAAUUACUCUCAGUCUCCCAACAAAAUAAAAUCAUCCUAGUUUUACUUUAUGAAGCGUAUGGGUCUUGAUUCUUCGGUCACCACCGAAGACAACCAAAGGAUGAAAAAAGUCAAACAAGAUGAGGAGGAAUAAGAAAGAGGAAGAGCAAGUCAAAGAAACUAGCUUCACAAAUCUAUAUGAGAAUUCCCUGCUCGAGGUGUUGAAACACGCGGACACCAGGACUUCGUUGCAGGUGGCCUUGCGUCAACAAGCUAUGGCACAAGACACUCAAAAUGAGCACCUUUGGAAAUUAAUUUGCACCCACCACUUCGCUAACGUUGGGUGCACUGCCCAACAACUCAGAUCUGUUGUCCUGGCUCUUGGUGGCUCCCGUCGCCUUCACUCCCUCUAUCUCGGUGGCUCCCGUCGCUUUCUCUCUCUGCCAUUCUUUCUCUCACAGUCGAAACCAAAACUCAAAUCCCUAACUCCCCAGCCACAAAACCUCUCAUUUGCCUCAACAAAACAAAAUCAAUCCGUACUCCUUCUCUUUGAUUAUUCGAAAGUUAGAAGCACCUUAAAUAGUUCUCUCUGAAAAGCCAUUCACCCAAACCCUAACCUCACUAAUAAAAUUUUUAUUAAUAGUGAUUUUUUCAAUUAAUUAAGAUAUGGGUUCAUUGGCAGAGAAACAAAGGUUAGUGUUUGCUCUAUUUCUUUCAUCGAUUUUCUUUCUCUUUUUGAAAUUUUUCUAAUUUUCUCUUAAUUUCGACUGUGAUUUUAUUGUUUCUAUAGCUGUAGUUUGAUAAAUGUUUCUUGAUUUGAUGGAAAGCAUGAUUUAUUACAUGUCUGCUUGAGAUAAGCCGGUUAGUAAUUUGUUUUUUAAAUAAUUAUAUGUAAUAUUUGUUUUGAUUCGCAUAUCGUAAACACGAUGUUAUUGCCUACUAACUAAUUAUAGACUUCGAUUUACAUUCACUUAAAUAGGAUAUGAUUAUGUAUCCUUUUUUUUUUUUUUGGCUGUUUGCUGAUUGUGUUAUUUAUAGUGUUGUUAUUGGCGGUUUAUAUGGUGAGUAGGGCAGUAUUUUAAUUGAAACAAUUAAAGAUAUGGGGAAUUAUUAGGUAGAAAGUGGCUGCAGGAGGAGGUUCUCCUAUUGCAGUAUGCCUAAAUAGUAUUCAUUUUGCCCCUUUUUUUUUUACUGCUGACUAUUGUUCCUUGUGAAUGCGUUUCUAAUCCAGAGACUUCGCCCUGUGGUAUCCACUUUGAGAAACUACUCAUCUGCAACUAAACAGGUAAUUGUGCCUUUUAUAACUUAUUACUUGUAAUGCAAUGAUUUUGGCUGUAUGAUGAUUGUAUUCUUCUAUAUGUAUAGGCUUUUAUUAUUAUUAUUAGUGAAUCAGCUGAAUGCUUAAGAUAUUCUAAUACUAAUAGUUAUGUUCUUCAUUAUACUUACAAUGUAUGGAUUUUGAUGCAUUUUAAGAAGAAUAUGAAAUUAAAUAUUUGACUGUAGGGACAACAAAUAUGUUCGAGCUUUUAUUAGUAUAAUAGUAUGUGAAUUAAAAAUAUUAUAAUUUGAACAAACUCCGAAGCUUUGAAACUAUGCACUUUCAUGUUGCUAUUUGUGACAGUGGAUUUUGAUUGCUCUUUGUUAGCGACUCGCUUUUACUUGUUUGCUAAUGUUUAUAAUUCGUCCAUCUCAUUAUACUUGAAAGUUGGUGAUUCUAUGUAAUUUAUAAAUCCAACCGGUAUCUUCUUAUUUAAAUCCGUAGGCCAGAAGCAAAGCAAUCUUUUUAUGCAUUGGCUGUAUUAGUAAAUCACAUAGAUAAAAUCACAGGGUUUAUAUUGUUACUUAUUUCUUUUCUGUUUGCAGGAAAAUUCCUAGGGAUUUGACAGAGGCAUCACUAUCUGGUGCAGGAUUAUCCAUAAUAGCAGCCCUUUCUAUGUUGUUUUUAUUUGGAAUGGUAGGUUGCCACUUGCAUAGUUGUGCCUCUUUUGUCGGAUAUCAUGGGUGCAUUUUGCAUAUUCAGUGUAUAUUAUCGUCCACCUGGAUUGUUUGUGUAACAUGAUGCUUUCAUGGAGUUCUAUUUGGCUUUUCAUUGUUUCUAGAACAGAUUAAAUUUAACAAAAACUAUUCGCAAUUUUUCUGUAGGACCUGAUUUAAGACCCACUGGUUCUGAAUUCCACUCAAUGCUUGUUAUACAUUCGCUUAAGCAUGGAGAGGAAGCUGAUGAUGAUUCUGUUGAAGGUUCUCAUACGCUAACUGCCAAUAAUUUUGAUAGCUAUUCACAUGAGUAAGUGAGCCUUCUCUGAACCACAACUUAUAAUUUUUAUUUUCAAUUCUGUGAUCACAAUAUUUCUCUGCUAUGUGGCAAUUGCAAUGAUGCCUUCUUUGAUUUGUAUUAUAUUUCCUUUCCAGGUAUCCUAUUUUAGCUGUCAAUUUUUAUGAUCCAUGGUGCUACUGGAGUAAAUGCCUGGUAUUUUUAUUUUCACCUUUUGUUUCUCAAAUUUUGUCUUGUUGCUUUUUGAUUAUUGUUGUCUAGAUUUACCUUAUUGGAUCUAUUCUUUCUCAUGUUUGUGUUGAUGUAAUUGCCAGAUAUAAUAUUUUAAAUUUAUUCACUUGGAUGUCAUGUUUGUGCCUGCUCAUAUGCACACAUAUUAAGUUGAUUAACUCCAUUGCUCUGUGCGUCCACUGACAGUUGCACACAAAUUCCUUCAUUACUUUGGUUAACUCCAUUGGUCUCUGUGUUUGUGUUGAACUUUCCAUGCCUGUUAUACAACCAAGCAUGGGUUUUCUUUUGUUUGUUUGACUGUAUUGUUAGACUUCCCCUCAUGAUGUUGUUAAUAAUUUCUCCUCUUUCUCUUGGACAACGGUUAAAAUAAUUUUUAUUGUUAGUAUAAUAUGCUUGUCUUGCAUGCAUUUAUAUGCCAUUAGGAAACUAUGCAGAUUGCAGCAUGUAAAUUUUAUCAGUUUUUUUAUUGUGCAUGUCUUGAAUGGUGCAGGAUGACUUACAAUAAACCAAAGCAUGUAUAUGGGUCAAAACUAAAUAAUUAGAGCAAAUGUCAAAUUGGUACAUGGAAACAAUAAUAGAAGACUUCAUUUCGAUUACCGAAAGAAAGAAUCCGCGAAGCAAUAAACAUGUGUUGGAAGAUUGUGCUGUUACUAUAUAUCAGAUUAUAAAUUAUUUGUAGUUGGUAAACAAUGUAAUAAGUUUCAAACAAUGUAAUAAUUUUUAAAUUGUUCAUUGCAAUGUAAUAGUUUUCAUAUGGAUGAAUGUAAAUUUCAAUUCAAAUGCCAAUUGCAAAUUUUCAAUUUCUAUUAUAUGGAUUUCUAUUUUUUUUUUUAAUUUUUCUCAAAUAAACAUUGAUACCAAAUUAUCGUUAUAUUUAUUAUGCUUUUGUAUCAUUAUUUGUUUGAUACCAUAGUCUCAUUAUAUAUGUGAUGUUCAAGCAUCAAUAUUUUUUUGGUACUAUAGUGACAUAGAUUCGCUGAUACAAAAAACUUGUGUCAGUAAAUUUCUUGCACCGUAUUCAGUGACACUAAACUCGGUGUCAGUAAAACAAGCUCUUGAUAUCAAAAUAGUAUCAAAGAAGGCCAUUUUUUUACUAGUGUAAGAGACAUCGAUUCAGACAACAUAGCAAUGAAGUAAUGUAGGAAGUAUAUUAGAUAAAAUAAAUUAGAAUUUAUUAGGAAUUAUAAUAUUUGGGUAUUUAGUAUUUUAUUAGAAUUUAUCUUAUUUUUUAAACUUAUUCGAUCAUGUUUAGAAUUCUAAUCUAAUUAAGAUUUUAGAUUAUUUAUCUUAUUUAAGAAGGAUUAAGAUUAAGUUGGCUACUUAGUAUAUAUAGGCUUGUUACUGAUAGUUCUUUAUAACAUACAUAAGCUUCUCAUCAAUAAUAUUUAAUAUUUCUUAAUUGAGAUACUUUCUCCUUCGUGAGAGCAUUUUUUCUUGAAUUUUCAAGAACGUAUGUUAUAAUGAAAUUUAGUAUCGCUUAUGCGAUGCGUCAAGUGGUAUCAGAGCCUUUCUUUGUAUUAGGCAGAGCUUUCCUGACCAUCAACCAUUCCCCAUACACAAAUCCUCCCUCCAUCAUCCAUUACUUUCAUUAAAAAAAAAAAAAAAGAAGAAGAAGAAGAAAAAGUCAGAAAAAUAGCAAAACCCGAAGCCACCUCACGUCCACCAUCUCCAGCUGCUGCCUCUGUCAUUCUUCACCUUUUUCAUGCUUUAAUAAAAUUUAACAUAAUGCUCACUAUUUUGUAUAUUAUUAAGGACCAUUGUAUGAUUAAUCAUGAAGUGUAUAUUAUUUUUCACAUUAAUUUAGCACAACCUAUACCAUGAAAUUACGGAUUAUAUUACAGUGAAUACUUUUAUAUGGUAGGAAUAUAAAUUUAAGUUUUACAAGCCUAUUUUCAUUUAAUUUUCCAAUAUCACUUUGUUGAUUUCGUAAAGUUGAAAUUAACAUACAUUCUUAAUUAGUUAUAUAGUUUAUGAAUCAUGAAAGAUUUUUGUUGUUGAUAUUCAUUGAUUGUGGUUACAAAAUUUUAUGUCACUAAGAGGCUGAUUGCAUUUAUGAUGGUAAUUAAUAUAAUAAGUAAAUAUUACCUCCAAUAAUAUUCAUGAAAUAUUACCUAUUUAUUUUAUAUUCUCGUUAUAAAAGCAUGGUUUUGGAUAUUUUAACUUAAAUUUUGACACAAAAAAUGAGCCAUUAAUCUCUCACAAUCUAAUGGUUGAUAUUAAAAGUCAAUGUAAAAUUUUAAAUCAUCCACCAUAGUAACUGAAUUGUGUGAAAUCAAUAAUUUCAAUUUUGUAUUAAAAAUUUAAGAUAAAAUAACUUAAAAGCAAAAGGAUACCUAAACGCCCUUUUGGCUAUAAUACCCUACAUAGGUAGUAACUUUUAAAAAAAUUAACGUUAAAAUAUUUUUAAUAAACACAAAUAUACUUUAAAUAGUUUAUUUUGUCUAAUAGACUAAAAAUAAUGGAAUAUUUGUAAUAUGUAUAAAAUAAUUUUUAAAAUGUAAAUUAUAAUAUUAUUUUAAUAAUAUCUUUUUAUCUAUUAUAUAAUUUUUAAAUAAAUAUUUGGGUUAAAUAGAUUUUACAACUAAUAAAAAAAUCUCAUGUAUUGAUAAUAUUAAAAUUAUUUUAUAUAAAUUUAAAAUAAUUCGAAUCUUUAUAUAUUUAUUUUAAUAUUAUGUUUAUAUCCAUUAUAAAAUUUAGUUUAAUCUAAUAUAAUACUGUAAAGUAUUAAAAUAUUUUUUGAAGAUUAAAAUUAUUUUAAUAUACAUAUGUUUAUUUUAUUUUUUUCCUUUCGGAAGCGAAAGCAAGUCCAUGCCCGACAACUUGGGAGGAGAGGCUAAAGGCAAAAACUGGAACAUUUUUUUUUUAUGUGAUAAUUUCUUCUUUCUAUUAUAUAAUUUCUUUUCAAAGAAUUUGUUAUUUUGUUGCUUGUUUAAUGGUAAUUCGGCAAUUUUUUUUGAAAAAACAGAGUAUCAAUGACUCUUAGGUCUCAAAAGUGAUAAGCUAUCCGCAUAUUUUAAUAUUUAACACACAACAUUAAAUAAUUAGUAAUUCUGGUCUCGAGCCCCUUCAAGUAUACCAAACAACUCGCGCUCAUCGCAUCUAUGUACGGCAUCUUUUCCAGAAAAAACAGAGUAAUAAAACAAAGCAGAGUAUUUACUUCGGUCCUUUACUUUCCUUAAUUUUCACCUCAUGAGAAAUCAAAUCUCAAAAUUCAAAGCUUCGAUUUGAUGGGCCAAGAAUGCAAUUUUGAUUCAUGGAAGGCACAUUCUGAUUCUGUCCAACUUUUUUAACCCAAGCCAGGCAUUUUCUGGUAAUUUAACAGGGAAAUAAGCAGCAAGAACUGAUACAAUAAACAAAUACAAAGAAAGUAAAUGAAAUGCGAUCUGCAGAGAAAAUAAAAUUGAAACUGAGAUGCGCACUUACACUGUUACACGUAGACUCAGAGAAAAUAAUAUUCACUAGGCUGUGCCCUUCAUUCGAGUUGUUUAAAUCUUUUAGGUUGUGGUUCCUCAUCAUCAUUACAGCAGCCACUUCCACUAGCUUCAGCCGCCCCAACAUAUUCUUCAAGACUUCGCUUUAGAAAGCUUCGCUCAGACGACGUUGUUGAUCCUGCAUCAUCCCGGCGGCAACUUCCACUGCCUUCUGCCCUGUCUAAGUCAUCAUUACGGCUAUGCGUAAAGGAUGUUGAUCCUGAACAAUCGUGACCAAAUUCGUUCAAAUUCCAAACCGGAUCAGUUGUUUGGUUGAACUUAUCCCCUUGAUGCACAUAUAUUGGAUGGACACCACACCUCUUCAACUCCAAUCCUGACGGCGAAGAAAAUUCCACUUCACUAAUAUCUUCCCUAUUCUGGUAGUAUAGGAAAAGAUGGUCUGACAUAGCCUGACCGAAUUGCUUUCUCAAAUAAAUGCUACACAUACCCGAGGAGGUAGGCUUUCUAUCUAUGGACAGCUCAUGUACGGGAAGCCCUUGUAUAUAAUAAGGAAGUGAAUAUUUAGGGACAUGAAAAACACAGCACAUAGCAUAUCCCACAAGCUUACUAUUCUUAUACGUCUUUGGAGGCGUGCUUAUUGUUAUUGAAGAACCCUCAUUAUUCUGAUACUCGAACCACUCUGGGAUUUCACUUCCAGGAACAAUUAUGUAACAAUAUCUCAUAUAGUCCUGAAACCUCACAAAUAUAUAUAUAUAUAUUAGAAAGCCAUACCAAUGCAUAAUUUUUAGGCAUAAUUUUAGCAACAGGUGAGAGACAGUGUAAGAAACUGACAUUAGUCUGUUUAAUGUACUUGUCCGACAGUGACAUAUUCUGCAACCCCACGGAAAAAAAAAGUGAGUAAAUAAAUAAAAUAAAAAGACAUAACAUGUAUUGCAUCAGUUUUAGGCAUAAUGUUAGCACAGGUGAGAGUGAGAGACUGACCUCAGAAUUUUUAAUGUACUCUUUCAGCAGUGAAAGCGCCAAAUCAUAGUUGCCAGCCAAUUUCAAGCAAUCCACACAAGGAAGGUGUAAGUACGGGAGUUGAUGCUCGUUUAAAUUUAAUACAUCUGAUAAUGUCUUCAACGAAACACAACCGUCUAACGAAAUCCAAUGUAUACUGGCUGGAAGUCGAGGCAGAUUUUGAAGCAUUUUGCAUUCCUCUAAAUCAAUACUCGAAAGUUUAGAAAGAUGGUAAAUGCUUGCCGGCAGCGUAAAAAAAUUGUUUCCACUCAGAUGUAACUCUUCUAAUGAGCAUAAGUCGCCAAUACUACUUGGGAUUGCUCCUUCCCCUAGAUCACAGUCACUGAUAUCCAAUUUCGUUAAACUACACAAACCUGACAGAGAAGACGACAAACUCAAAGCCACCGGAUCUGAACUCCAUCGCAUCAAAUUGAUAGGGAAGCGCAGAAACCAUGAUGCAGAUGAUGGUGAUCCUUUGCACCCAUGAAAAGAUAGUUCUUUAAGAUUCUUCAUAAGAAAAAUUGACGAUUGAGGUUGCCUUAUAGCUGUACCACUUAUAUCAAGGAUUUCCAAACUUUCUACUUGCCCAAUCGUCUCAGGCACAUUUUCAAGUUUGAAGCAGCCUGAGAGAUUCAAAGUUUUGAGGGAUUUCAAACCAUUUAUACUGCUAGGAAGUCUCACGAGACUUCUGCAGUCAUUCAAAUUUAACAAUUCAAGUCUGGUCAAAAGUU
rnacentral:lncRNA from 1 species